rnacentral:lncRNA from 1 species
GAUUACGUAAAUUUUUUGUGUGCACAAGGCUAUAGUACCAAAUUAUUGAAAGCUCUUACCGGGGAUAGCUAUAGCUGCUCAUCAUCACAAUCUAGUCAUGGAACACUCAGUGAUCAUCUAAACUAUCCUUCUGUUGCACUUUCCACCUCGAACCCUAAAUCCGUCAAAGGCAUUUUCAAUAGGACCGUCACAAAUGUUGGAUCACCAAAGUCCACAUAUAAAGCUAAAGUGAGUGCACCACCAGGACUUGAAAUCAAAGUUAAUCCAAGCGUUCUAAAGUUCACAUCUCUCGGGCAGAAGCUAUCGUUUCAAGUCAUGGUGAAAGGGUUGAUUGAAAAAACCAUAGUCUCUGGUUCUCUGGUGUGGGAUGAUGGUAAAUUCCAAGUGAGGAGCCCCAUUGUUGUGUAUUUUGUGUUUUGAGAACAAUAUGUGUAAUAAUGUAUGAUGCAUGAAUAAGCAAUUGCAUGAAACUAGAUAGGGCUUCAAUGAAACAAAAUUGCAACAUAUUGAUCACGAUGAUGUAUUUUAAAUGAAAACUAAAUUAUUAUAUAUUUAUGAACCUUUAAUAUGAUGUAGUACAUCGAAGUACAUUGAAAUUUGAAACGUACCCAUUUAAGGAUAUUUUAUAGCUCUCUAUGCAAUCUAAUUGUAUAUUUGAUAGUUCAUUUUUGGUCUGCAUGGGAAAUAUGGAUUUUCUCCUAUGUUGAUUACUUGAUUGAAGGCCCCAUCCCUCGUUGCCCGUUUAUACAGGUUGUACCUAUCACUAAAUCAAGUUAUCAACGAGACUUUAGUCGGAACCUUCCUGAUUAAAAACAAAAGACCGAAAAACUUCGGUGGGGACAUUUGCAAACAACGACGUAUACACAUGAAAAAUAUCAGAGUAGCAUCAUGUAUCGGUGGCAUAAAAAUCUUUACGCACCCACGUGUUCUAGAUGUUGGCACAUGAUCAUGCAUCGAUAGAUAUACGUAUGCACAAUGCAUGCCCUACCAUGCAAAUUAUGCCAAGAACAACAAUCAAUCGAGUGACCAGUGGUGGGAGAGCUAGGAAUAUUAGCAAGCUGCAUUUUCUCAAUUCCCACUCUCACUUGUUUGAGCAUACCGACUAAGAUGCUUGUUUCUUGACUUGUGGAUGUAUCCCAAGGUCAAUAUGGAUGCAUGGCAUGCGAUGUACGUCAGGAGGUUUUUCUUCUUUUCAAAAGCAGUAUAUGUUGGAAAAGUUAGACAUGGAAUUGAUACCACAGUUAAUAUGCUUUUGUACCUCAUUCCCUAUAACCAAAAAUUGCUUCAAGUAAAAAUUACCUUAUUUCGCAACAUUUCUUCAACUGGCUACUGGCUCUCUAGUUUUUCAAUUGUCAUCAUGGUCCAAGUACCUAAGCUGGGUCGGAUCAUUUUCUUCUUUGAGCAGAAGGACGUUAACCAUCGGAUUACCCUCGAUGAUUGCACAUGUUAUGCACUAAGAAAAGGUUGCAAGCGGUUAUUUGCUUGUAGAGCUACCGGCUGCCUUAUAGUACAAACUAGAAAGUUCUACCCGAACGUUGCUGCAGGAUUAAAAAUUGUGUAAAAAAAAUUAUGUUUCAAAGGUAUAAACCUAUCAACUUGUAUCACAUCUAACUGAACUACAACAACAUAUUGAAACACUUAAUAUGAAAUUCAUAAGCUAUUUGACAAUAUGAAAUCAAGCAAUUAUUGAAAAUCAGAAACGGAGCUUAGAAAGUAAAAAAUCCUACCUCAUUAUAUUAAAACAAUUAACAAAUUCUCGGUGAAUGAUCACAAAAAAUGCUCAGUUCUCACCAUAAUGAAAAUUAUGACAUCGUUUUAACAUGAACUCGAGUUCAUUUUAGUCACCAGCAUUAAUAAAACAAGUGACUUCAACCUGUGCAAGGAAACAACUGACUUAGACGCAAGCCAACCAACUUUGAAUCUAACCAAAUAAAAAAAGUAAUCACAAUCGAACUAACCUCUUCUUCCCAAAUGAAGUAGAUGUCCCCUGUUUUGCCAUUGUGAACAGUGUACUCUACUCUCAACACACAAAAAGAACACACUCAAAUUGCUGAGCAAUAUUAUAAAAGCUACACAUACAUCAUUGUAUAUAUAUUUGGACAUAAAGUAUAAAGAUCUGCUGACAGUAUCAAGCUUAAAUUUAACAAAAGCAGUAAUUACGAAUUGAAAUCAAACGAUAAUAUGGUUGUUAAAAAAAAUUCUAACUAAAUUUUACAAAUAGCAUCAUAAAUGUUAAAAAAAAAUAACACCAUUGAAAAAACUCAUUACUCAAAUAUGUAAUUCUAUAAAAACACAUCACUGAAAACUUCAAUUUCAUGUCAACCUAUAUCACAUCCAAAACCCAUUAAUAAUCUCUUCUUGUGUAUAGCUUGUCCUCAGAAUUCGCAGCUGAAAACGGAAUGUAAGUUCAGAGUAUGAUGAAAAAGAAGAAAUGAAAGAGUUGUGUCAAUGAAAAAAAAUGAGAGAGCGGGUAUCAGAACAAUCUACAAAGAAGAAGAAUUUGAGAUAAAUAAGUGGAUAAAUUGCUUACAUGAAGAGCUGAUUUCAAAUCGAUGAUCCAUUUCUCACCCAAAUAAUAUUUAACAAUUGCAAUUAGUAAAAUUUUCUUGAUAAGAUGAAAUCUAGGAGCAUAAUAAUAAGCAUUAGAAAUAGAAAAGCCUUAUAUGGUGAUUAAGGCCCUUAAUUAACUUGCGAAGCUUGAAAAGUCAUUCUCUUCACGUGGUUAAUUUGGAAGUUAUCCAAUGUAUGUAAAAACAUGAAUCAGAAGCAAAUUGAUGAAAUCGGAGGGAAAAAAUGUUACUUAGUAAUUGUAUAUGUUAUGAAGGCAUCAAAUAAAGUCCUGAUAAAAUACCAGCAUCUUUAUAUUAACCACUUUACAUAUAAAUUAUAAAUGAUUAUCAAACAUCCUUAAACAAAUUUCAUUUAGGGAAGACUGAUGAGGGAACUCCGCCUAUGUAAUUUUACAUUGCCGGUCCCAAGCCCGGAUAAAGGAGGAGGGGGAGGGCGUCAGGUAGUCGACAGCCUGCACUCCAUGAUCACGUCGAAUCCUUAUGAAAAUGAAUCCAGAACAAAAUCGCGCUAAAGCUAGGGCGUCACCCGUAAGUGGCGCGCUGUGUGGCCCGAGCACAGUGAUAAGUGAGCAAGGGUCGCUGUAUCUCCAUCGGCACCCGGAUGCAGUGUUAAAUGAGCAAGGGGGCCGUAGAAACUUCUUUUCGAACGACUCCACUCAAAGUUGUUUGGGAGCAUAUGCUCCUAUCAACUUUACACGGGACACACAAAAGAAGUACUUUGAUCCUAUUAGACGGGGGAGGGUGAAGAAGCUAGGACAGAAGGGUAGAGUUCAAGAGAGCAAAAUGCGUUUAGGAACGUGGAAUAUAGGAACCUUAACGGGAAAAUCUAUGGAAGUAGUGGAAGUUAUGGUGAGGAGAAGGAUAAAUAUUAUGUGCCUACAAGAAACUAAGUGGGUUGGUAGUAAGGCAAAUGAUCUAGAAAACUCAGGGUUUAAACUUUGGUAUUCGGGCACAAAUAGAACGAGAAACGGUGUUGGCAUCAUCGUGGACAAGACCUUGACACAAGAUGUUGUAGAUGUCAAGAGGGUAGGAGAUAGAAUCAUGGCAAUCAAGAUUGUAAUAGGACAAGAACUUAUCAAUGUGAUUAGUGCGUACGCACCUCAAGUAGGGUUGGAUACGAGUUCGAAGGAGAAAUUUUGGGAAGACCUUGGAGACUUGGUGCAAGGAAUUGCUCAGACGGAGAAGUUAUUUAUAGGAGGAGAUCUAAAUGGACACGUGGGCAGGGAGACAGGCAACUAUGGAGGUUUUCAUGGUGGCCAUGGUUUUGGAGAGAGAAACGAGGAUGGGGAAGCUAUCUUGGAUUUUGCAAUGGCAUAUGAUCUCUUCUUAGCCAACACCUUCUUUAAGAAGAGAGAAGAACAUGUGAUCACCUACAAGAGUGGGUCGUCAAAAACACAAAUAGAUUUUCUUCUAAUGAGGAAAGGGGAUCGUAUAACUUGUAAGGAUUGCAAAGUUAUACCAGGAGAGAGCGUGGCUAAUCAACAUCGCUUGUUGGUGAUGGAUGUACAUAUCAAAAGAGGGAGACAAAAGAACAAGACUUGGAAGUGCCCAAGGACUAGAUGGUGGAAUCUAAAAGAAGAAAAACAAGCCAUUUUCAAAGAGAAGGUAAUCACCCAAUGUGUGUGGGAUAGAGAGGGGGAAGCUAGCCAAAUGUGGGAUUCCAUGGCUAGUUGUAUCCGAAAAGUAGCAAAAGAGGUAUUAGGAGAGUCCAAGGGCUUUGCCCCACACCAAAAGGAAUCUUGGUGGUGGAAUGAGGAGGUACAAACAAAGGUGAAGGCUAAGAAGGAAUGUUGUAAAGCCUUAUACAAGGAGAGGACCGAUGAAAAUGGUGAAAGGUAUAGAAAAGCGAAGCAAGAGGCGAAGAAAGCGGUCAGAGAAGCUAAGUUAGCGGCUUACGACGAUAUGUAUAAACGACUAGAUACCAAAGAAGGAGAGUUGGAUAUCUAUAAAACUAGCUAGAGCAAGGGAAAAGAAGACAAGGGACCUAAACCAAGUGAGGUGCAUCAAGGAUGAGGAUGGAAAGGUUCUUGCUACAGAGAACGCGGUUAAAGACAGAUGGAGAGGUUAUUUUCAUAAUAUUUUCAAUGAAGGACAUGAAAGGAGUGCUUCUUUAGGGGAGUUGAGUAACUCAGAAGAGUGUAGAAACUACUCUUUUUAUCGUCGAAUCCGGAAGGAAGAAGUGGUUGUAGCUUUGAAGAAGAUGAAGCAUAGAAAAGCAAUAGGCCCAGACGAUAUACCAAUUGAAGUGUGGAAAGUUUUGGGAGAGACAGGUAUAACAUGGCUCACUGACCUUUUCAAUAGGAUUUUGAAAACAAAGAAGAUGCCAAAUGAGUGGCGAACGAGCACUUUGGUGCCUAUCUACAAGAAUAAGGGCGACGUACAAAAUUGCAUGAACUAUAGGGGUAUUAAGUUAAUGAGUCAUACAAUGAAGCUCUGGGAGAGAGUCAUUGAGCAUAGAUUGAGGCAAGAGACACGGGUUUCGGACAACCAAUUCGGGUUCAUGCCAAGGCGCUCAACCAUGGAGGCAAUCUAUCUCUUACGAAGAUUGAUGGAAAGAUAUAGAGAUGGGAAAAAGGAUUUACACAUGGUCUUUAUAGAUUUGGAAAAAGCGUAUGAUAGGGUCCCAAGAGACAUUCUUUGGAGGAUCUUAGAGAAGAAAGGAGUACGAGUAGCAUAUAUCCAAGCUAUAAAGGAUAUGUAUGAAGGAGCAAAGACUGCCGUAAGAACUCAUGAAGGACAAACCGAAAGCUUUCCCAUAACUGUAGGAUUACAUCAAGGCUCAUCCUUAAGUCCUUACCUUUUUGCGUUGGUAAUGGAUGAGUUAACAGGACAUAUUCAAGAUGAUAUUCCUUGGUGUAUGCUUUUCGCAGACGAUAUAGUGUUGAUAGAUGAAACUCAGGAAGGGGUAAAUGCAAAGCUUAACCUUUGGAGAGAAGUGUUGGAAUCUAAAGGUCUUCGCCUAAGCCGAUCAAAGACAGAAUAUAUGGAGUGCAAGUUCAGUGCAGAUGGAGGCCAAAACGAGUUAGGGGUGAGGAUCGGAGAUCAAGAAAUACCAAAGAGCGACCGUUUUCGUUACCUAGGAUCUAUCUUGCAAAAGAACGGAGAAUUAGAUGGAGAUCUCAACCAUAGAAUACAAGCUGGAUGGAUGAAGUGGAAGAGUGCAUCUGGCGUGUUGUGUGAUCGCCGUAUGCCAUUGAAGCUCAAGGGAAAAUUUUAUAGGACGGCAAUAAGGCCGGCGAUGCUGUAUGGCACAGAAUGUUGGGCGGUGAAGCAUCAACACGUACACAAAAUGGGUGUAGCGGAGAUGAGGAUGCUUCGUUAGAUGUGUGGGCACACGAGAAAGGAUAAAAUUAGGAAUGAGGAUAUCCGGGGUAAAGUAGGAGUAGCCGAAAUUGAAGGAAAGAUGAGAGAAAAUCGGUUACGGUGGUUUGGACAUGUGCAAAGAAGGCCUACUGACGCUCCGAUUAGAAGAUGCGACUAUGGGACAGAGGUUCAGGGCCGAAGGGGUAGAGGAAGACCUAGGAAAACUUUGGAAGAGACUCUAAGAAAAGACUUAGAGUACUUGGAUCUAACGAAGGACAUGACACAGGACCGAGCACAAUGGGACGUUCUAAGGCGUUCUAAUUCAUAUAGCCGAUCCCACUCAGUGACUUGGAUUUUCCAAGUCUCCAACCGAGAAGUUUUCCUCACUCGAAAAAUUAAGGGAACACUACCCCAACCUACAUGCUCCACUCAGAAAGCUUCAACAUACAAGCUUCAACAAAAGAAAAUUCAAAAGAACUUAGUGAAGAAGGCUUUGGUGUAUUUAACACAAUACGUUGAAAUGAAGGAAAACUUAUUUAUUGAUAUCCCCGAUAAGCUACAAAUAUGUACAUAUACAUGAGUCAAAAUAAACAAACAAGAUGGAGCCUUCACAAAGGUUGCUUAGGAGAAGUCUCAGCAGUCGGUAGAGCCCCAGAAAGAGAAGGCAUCGGAGGGGGAUCAUUCGGAGCCUCAGUACUGGACAGAACCCUAGAAGGAGGAGGCAUCAGAGGUUGAUCAUUUGGAGCUUCAUUACGCGGUACAGCCCCAGAAGACGAAGGCAAUAAAUGCCUUUGGAACAAACCCACAAAUCUCUGAUGAUCAAGUAAAACCUGACCAUCAGUUUCCUUCAUCUGGUCAAGCUUCCUCUUUCAUGUUUGUAGCAUAGUCAUGUGCGAGCCGGUGCAACUGUUUAUUCUCAUGCUUGAGCCCUCUAAUCUCCUGUUUGAGACUCAUCACUUCGGCCGCCAAUGAUUUCAACUUGGCGGGUUCGAGCAAAUAUAGGCGUUGGGCCAUAUUAGACACAGAACCUGCACACUGAACACUGAGAGCCAGUGAAUCCUUAACAGCUAACUCAUCAGACCGUUUGGAAAGUAGUCUGUUAUCUUUGGGAGUGAGAAGGUUCCUGGCCACCACCGCAGCGGUCAUAUCAUUCUUCAUCACGGAAUCCCCAACGGUAAGAGGACCAGUAGGGGAGACGAAGGAUGGGCGCCAUAUGUUGUCUGGAGAAGGCGGGGCUGCCUCUUCAACAAGGUUCAAGUCAAAACGACGGUCGGAGGGGCCAGACAUUUUCAAAGGGUAUUGAAGAGAGAAGAGGUCGGACAAAUCAAGAUCUUAGAAGUGCAAGAAUGGAGCUUCUACUGGUGGAGAUUCAAGUGUGCUUUGGAACUUAAUGCCAGCCCCUAUAAAAAGCUGCACUCGACGGAGCUUCAGACAUCGAAGAGGCGCCUGCUCAGAAAUCGAAGAGGCGUUUGCUUUCUCAAAAGCUGGGCUGCUUAGAGACCACGAGGGUUGAUCUCAUAAAUCGAAGAGGUGUCUGCUUUCUCAAAAGUUGGGCUGCUCAAAGACCACGAAAGCCGAUAUCAGAAAUCGAAGAGGCGCUCGCUUCCUCAAAAGCUGGGCUCCUCAGAGACCACGAGGGCCGAUCUCAGAAAUCGAAGAGGCACCUACUUUUCCAGCCUUGUCAGCACCUGUCACACGCACACUCAACUUUGCGGAAAUUAUGGGUAUUCUGUUGAAGACUUCUGGGGAAGUAGAAAACACAUGAAUCUUACUGUCCAAUCACCCACUUCCCACACGCAGCAAUAGCUCAUGGGUACCACAGAUAACUUUGCCAAAGUUCUCUGCCAAAGUUGAGCACGUGAAGCUUGCAGCUCCCACUACAUCGCUCUGACCAAUAAGGGUAAAAGAAUAGCAAAGAAACAGCACUAACAAAGUUUAGACCCAUAAAUUUUGAAGGUCUAGCUACCAUAUUAUUACCCACAAGGGUAAAGGAACAGUACCACUGUUGGAUAAUUGGAAAGUCCCUGUGUGUCAACCUCUGUGCCUCGUGGCAAGGUAGACUAGCAAACAUGCCCAACCUUUACUCACAUUCGAGAAAACACUCCCAAUAAGAUUGCUUGCUCCAAAAUCGAAGAGGCACCGUCCUCCGAAUCUCGAGAGCCAGACUCCCAACAUGACUACUUUCUCAAAAAUCGAAGAGAGGGUAAAGGAAACAGUACCAUUGCUGGAUAAUUGGAAAGUCCCUGUGUGUCAACCUCUGUGCUUCGUGGCAAGGUAGACUAGCAAACAUGCCCAACCUUUACUCUCACAUUCGAGAAAAACACUCCCAACAAGAUUGCUUGCUCCCAAAAUCGAAGAGGCACCGCCCUCCGAAUCUCGAGAGCCAGACUCCCAACAUGAUUACUUUCUCAAAAAUCGAAGAGACACUGCUCCCCGAAUCUCGAGAGCCAGACCCCCACCCCCAACAUGAUUGCUUUCUCAAAAAUCGAAGAGGCAUCGUUCUCCCGAAUCAAUCGAAGAGGCGCUCGCUUUCUCUCAAAAGCUGGGCUGCUCAGAGACCACGAGGGCCAAUCUCAGAAAUCGAAGAGGCACCUUCUUUUUCUAGCCUUGUCAGCACCUGUCACACGCACACUUAGCUUUUGCGGAAAUUAUGGGCAUUCUGUCGAAGACUUCUGGUGAAGUAGAAAGCACAUGAAUCUUACUGUUCAAUCACCCACUUCCCACACGCAACAAUAGCUCAGGGGUACCACAGAUAACUUUGUCAAAGUCUCUGCCAAAGUUGAGCACGUGAAGCUUGCAGCUCCCACUACAUCGCUCUGACCAAUAAGGGUAAAAGAAUAGCAAAGAAACAGCACUAACAAAGUUUAGACCCAUAAAUUUUGAAGGUCUAGCUACCAUAUUAUUACCCACAAGGGUAAAGGAACAGUACCAUUGCUGGAUAAUUGGAAAGUCCCUGUGUGUCAACCUCCGUGCUUCGUGGCAAGGUAGACUAGCAAACAUGCCCAACCUUUACUCACAUCCGAGAAAACACUCCCAACAAGAUUGCUUACUCCAAAAUCGAAGAGGCACCGCCUUCCGAAUCUCGAGAGCCAGACUCCCAACAUGAUUACUUUCUCAAAAAUCGAAGAGACACUGCUCCCCGAAUCUCGAGAGCCAGACCCCCACCAUGAUUGCUUUCUCAAAAAUCGAAGAAGCAUCGUUCUCCGAAUCUCGAGAGCCAGAUACCACAUACCACUUUUUCAAAGUGCUCUGACAGAGUUAAAACAUGUGAAGCUGGCAGCUCCCACUACCGUGCUAUGACCAAGCAGGGUAAAGGAAUAGCAUUACUACUUGUUGUUAGGGAGACUCCUAUAUAUGUCGACCUCCAUCCCCAACGGACAGGCAGACCUGCAAAAAUGCUCAACCCUUCCUCAUAUCUGAGAGGGCACUCCCAACGAAGCCUUUCGAAAUAUUCAGCUUUCUUUCCCCCCGAUAAUACCUUUGCAAACAAGCUAUACUAGAGCAAGAAUAUCUCAUAUCAUCAGGGUUAAAAGCAAGAGUAUCCCAUAUCAUGCUUUUUCCCUGUCUUUUCCUUUGGCCUUGUUUUUACCUGCAAGACAAGGAGAAAGAGAGCAAUCAGUCAGCACUUGAAAUCAAGCUUCCAGCCAGGAACUGACAGCCUGGAACCCCUUACCUGAUUACUUACCUGGCAUUGCUCUCGAGUACUCAUCUUCAACAUCUUAUGUUGCCAGGGAAGAUACCGCAUCUGCUUGAGGAACAGAUAGGGCAAGUGCGAAGGAUACAAGGAAGCAUGUGGAGACAAGCGUAACAGCACACGUGCCGAUCCAUCCAUUACUCUGUCAAAAGCAAAAGUAUCCCAUAUCAGCAGGGCCGAACGUACUCUAGAUUUGAUGGACUUGUUUUGACCCUCAAAUUCUUCAGUCGGCCUUAUACUCUGGAGGAAACCAGAAAACCCUCCAGCUCAGUUCAAGAAUAAGCCUGUGGAAAGUUACUUCUUCAAAAGCAAAAGUAUAUCCCAUAUCAUCUCUUCUCAUUUUUCUUCUCUUUAUCCUUCAUGCUGCUGCAAGAUGGGGAGAAGGUGAACAAUCAGCCGGAGCUCUGAUUGCUUACCUUGUCUGUCACCUCUUUCAGCAAAUCCCCUAGCUCGGCGACUUGGGGGACUCCUACUACAUGGUUUGUAUCGCGCUUGACCAAGCCUGAAACUACAAGUAAGCUUCAAGUGAAAUUGAUACAUUACCUAGUGCAUCUCCACCAGUUAAAGAUACCACCCCUGGAUGGAGGAAGAGUACUUCCAGAGAGCUGCCACAUCUACCUAUGAGACAGAUAAGGCAAGUCAAGAUGAUACCACACUCCGAUACUUAGAAGUUUCGUGAUUACGAGAUCAUUCUCCCACAAUAUUUCCUAAUGUCAUUUGUACUCACUAAAGGAGAGCUUGAACCUAUGUACUUGUGUAAACCCUUCACAAUUAAUGAGAACUCUUCUAUUCCGUGGACGUAGCCAAUCUGGGUGAACCACGUACAUCUUGUGUUUGCUUUCCUAUCUCUAUCCAUUUAUAUACUUAUCCACACUAAUGACCGGAGCAAUUUAGCGAAGAUCACAAAAAGCGACCGUUUUCGCUACCUAGGAUCUAUCUUACAAGAGAACGGAGAAUUAGAUGGAGAUCUCAACCAUAGAAUACGAGCUGGAUGGAUGAAGUGUAAGAGUGCAUCCAGCAUGUUGUGUGACCGUCGUAGGCCACUGAAGCUCAAGGGAAAAUUUUAUAAGACGGCAAUAAGGCCAGCGAUAUUGUAUGGCACAGAAUGUUGGGCGGUGAAACAUCAACACGUACACAAAAUGGGUGUAGCAGAGAUGAGGAUGCUUCGUGGGAUGUGUGGGCACACGAGAAAGGAUAAGAUUGAGAAUGAGGAUAUCCGAGGUAAAGUAGGAGUAGCCGAAAUUGAAGGAAAGAUGAGAGAAAUCGGUUUUGGUGAUUUGGACAUGUGCAAAGAAGGCCGACUGACGCUCUGGUUCGAAGAUGUGACUACGGGACAGAGGUUCAGGGCCGAAGGGGUAGAGGAAGACCUAGGAAAACUUUGGAAGAGACUCUAAGAAAAGGCUUAGAGUACUUGGAUCUAACGGAGGACAUGACACAAAACCAAGCGCAAUGGCGUUCUAGGAUUCAUAUAGCCGACCCCACUUAGUGGGAAAAGGCUUUGUUGUUGUUGUUGUUGUUGUUGUUGAAGACUGAUGAGGGGAUAUACGACUCACAAACAACUGAGACUGUCCUUUUUUUUUUCUUCUUUUUUUCAUAUCAACAAACACACAAAUUCUUAUAUUUCCGAAAGCACUUGCAUCCCAACAUAAAAACUUAAAUAAUACAUGAAUCAUCGAUGUUUUGCUUUGCAAACAGCCAAGGGGAUGGGAACUAAAAUAAAUUUCGUGACCAAGAACCUCUUAAAAACCAAGCUUGAAAGCAUAAAAACAAAGCUUUCAAUCUUUCUGUGCAAAUUAAUAUCAUAAUCAAUUCAACCACAUUUCCGCAAUCCAAAGCUUCAAACUUCAUACAAAAAUACAAUAAUUUUUAGAAUUUCACCCAAACAUAAAGAGAAUAAUAUUGUUAGGUGCGGAGAAGAAAAAACCAGGGAAAAAUGGAAGAUGGAUUUUAGCCUGGAAAAGCAAUUCACAGCAACAAUAAAAAGGUGAAAUUAAAAACUCAAUUGAAUCAAAUGAAGAAUUUUCUAGAGUGCAAACAAUUAGUGUUAUCAGCAAGAAGUUUCAGACCAUAAAAUGCAAAAGCAUGUGCCCAAAAUGCAAUCCUAUAAAACAUGAAACAGCAGCCAUAAGAUAAUCGGAAAUUUUCUAAUAAAAUGAACCGAAGACCAACUUUGAAUAAUUGGUAACGAUGAGGCUUUGACAUUGAUAGAGUGUGUAUGAGAGAGAGAGAGAGAGAGAGAGAGAGAGAUGGAAAUAGAGUUAGAAUUAGACCAAUGCAGAAAUCAACCUUAAGAUUCCCUCUGGGUCAAAUGGUUGCACCAUUGAUGAGAAACAGUCGGUCGGUAGAGGUUGAUAGUAGGAGAACUAACAUUGCAUUCCUGAAACACAAAGGAUUAACCUUUUUCAAUUAUCAUCAGUGAAUGCACUAAUACAGGACUUAAAUUCUGAUAUAUUCAAUAAUCUAGUUGUAAGAACUAUAUCACAGAUCAAAGAUAUGCCAGUAAGUUACCAAUACUCCAACAAUCGAACUAAGUGACAAAACUACAAACACGAAUAUGAAACCAAUGGAAAACAUACCUGCAGAACUUGAACUCGAAGAAGCCAUAGCAGCUUCACAACCAAGCAAUCUUCUCCUCUUUAGCAAAACUAGAAAACUCUCUGAAUAAUAGGUAUUCAAUACAAGAUGAGCCGUGUCUUUGCAAGAGCAGUGAUUGAGGUUAUAUACAACAUUAAUCCAACUCAUUCUCCUAUUAGAAUUAGUGUUGAACUCUAAAACAAAACCUUUUCACACAAUGAGUGUACAAGAUCAAUUAGUGUAGGAUCCGAAACCUUUUCCAGAGGAACACUAAAAGCACUCAUAAUCCUACAAGGACGAGGAUUCAACCAAACACCUUAUCAAGACUUUUCCAUUCAAGAAUUCAUCCAAUAUUAUAGCUAAUCCUCAAACAUGUUUCAUACUCAUAUUCCAACAUUCUCCCACUUGAGUAUGAAGACAUAAUGAUUAACUAAAUGAAUGAUGGAAGUGAUCACUAAGUCUAAUCAUAAGGCUCGCAAUUUCGUAUUCAAACUCACCUAUGCAAUUCAAAAUAUGGAACUCUUGAAUUCUAUCUGCACAAUUUCAGAUUUCAUCCAAGAAUUACAACAUAUCCAAGUUUGCAUGUUGUAACUGUACGAAUCAAUAAUCACAGUAAUGCCAAUACUCAUUACUCCCACUGAUUUAUGCCAAUUUUAACCCAAUCACAGUUAAAAUCUCAGCAAACAAUCAAAACAACAACCAUUCAAAACAGAACAGUACUCUAAAUAGUUCCAAAGUAUACCUCAGCAAAAUCACAAACUGAUUCACUAGCAAACUCAAACUAUUCUUAUUUCAAUACUAGCUUUCUGAAACAAUCAAUCACUAAAACGAAAAAAAAUUGAAUACUGAUGAAAACAAAAAUAAAAGUCAAGCUGGAAAAUUAGCUAGAUAAAGAUACCAGCUUGUCACAACUAAUUGAACUCGAGAAAUCUUCAAUUGCGGCAACAUAUAACCACUGCAGCCUUAAAAUAAUCCCAAAACCUGAUCACUGCUCACUCCCACUUAUCAAAAGAUUCUAACACUCCCAUUUUAGUAACAUGUGCCUUAAACGCAUUGUUUGGCAAGGCUUUAGUAAGAGGAUCAGCAAUCAUCUUUUCAGUAGGCAAAUAUAGAAUUUCGAUCUCUCCUUUUUUCACCAUUUCUCUGACUUUAAGAAACUUCACAUCCAUUAGUCUUGACGCUGAGGUUCUCUUAUUGUUCUUGGAGAAAAACACUGCAGCAUUAUUGUCACAAAACAUCUUUAAAGGCCUUUUAACUGAGUCAACAAUUCUCAUCUCAGCCACAAAGUUUCUCAACCAUACUGCUUGUUUCAUUCCUUCAAAACACGCAACGAAUUCAACUUCCAUUGUAGAAGUAGACACUAUUGUUUGCUUAGCACUUUUCCAGGAGAUAGCACCAUCAUUUAGCAUAAAGAUGUAUCCCCCAGUUGAUUUCCUCUCAUCUACGUCCCCAGCAAGAUCUGAAUCUGUAGACCCAACCAAUUCUAAGGUAUCAUCUCUGCCAUAAACUAAUUGAUAAGCUUUUGUUCUCUGCAUGUAUCGUAAUACUUUCUUUGCAGCCACCCAAUGAGAUUCUCCUGGAUUUGUUUGAAACCUUCCUAACAUUCCAACAAUGAAUGCUAAGUCAGGCCUCGUACAAAUAUUAGCAUACAUAAUGCUUCCAACUAAUGAGGCAUAAGGCUUCAACUUCAUCAAUUCGACCUCAUUCUCAUUCUUGGGACAUUGAUCUCUAGAAAACUUGUCACCUUUAUUAACUGGAAUUUGCCUUAUUGCAUUUCUCCAUAUUAAAUCUGUUCAAUACCCUUUCAAUGUAUCCCUUUUGAGACAGCCCCAGAAGCUUUCUUUUUCUGUCUCUUGUUAUUUCAAUCCCCAGAACAUAAUGUGCUUCCCCUAAAUCCUUCAUUUCAAAAUUGGUACUCAGAACAGUCUUCGUCUCUCGAAGUAAUUGCAUAUCGGAACUUGCAAGUAGAAUAUCAUCAACGUAUAGGACCAGAAAAAUGAACUUUGAUCCUUUGUGUUUUAAAUAUAUGCAAUCAUCCAUCUUGUUCUCAACAAAACCAUGAGCAGUAACUACCUGAUCAAAUUUGAGGAACCACUGCCUAGAUGCUUGUUUAAGUCCAUAAAUUGACUUGUUUAGCUUGCAGACCAUAUUAUCUUUCCCCUUUCAGAAAAUCCAGGAGGUUGGACCAUGUAUAUGUCUUCCUCUAAAUCACCAUUCAGAAAGGCGGUUUUAACAUCCAUCUGGUGUAGCUCUAGAUCAAAAUGAAAUGUCAAAGCCAUGAUGAUCCUCAUAGAAUCUUUGGAAGAAACAGGUGAAAACGUGUCAUUGUAAUCAAUCCCUUCUCUCUGAGUAAAGCCUUUGGCUACUAACUGAGCCUUGUAUCUCUCUAUGCUCCCUGCAGCAUCCCUUUUAGUUUUGUAGACCCACUUGCAACCUAUUGGUUUAGCAUUUGAAUUGGAGUUCACAAGGGUCCAUACUUUGUUCUUGGCCAUGGAAUCUAGCUCUUCCAUCAUCGCUUUCUUCCAUAAUGCAGCUUGAGAACAUUGAAUUGCUUGUUGAUAAGUGGCUGGAUCAUCUAUAUCACCUAUGUCGAAUUCUGCCUCUUGGAGAUAGACAUAAUCGGUUGAAAUUGCAGGUUUCUUGGCUCUACUUGAUUUCCUCAGAUUCAAUUGAUCAUUUACUGGACAUGUAUCUUUCUCAAUGGGAGAACUUGGAGCACUUAGGGGUAUAUUUCUUGCAGAAAAGGUAUCUCCAUGUUCAUUUUGUAUUUCAGCAACUAUUUCAUGUGUCAUCUCUUCAUCAAGAUCUUCUUCCUCUGUCUGAUUUCUAGGCAACACUGAAAUAUGGUUGUAGGCCAUUGGAACCGAGCCAACGAGUUGUUCUGAUUCUUCAAACUCAAAAGUGUCAUGCACUAAGUCUGAUACAUCUUGGUCUUCUAAGAAAACUGCAUUGUAAGUCUCUUGAAUUCUUGUCUGUGCUCGAGGACAAUAAAAUUUAAAACCCUUCGAUUUCUCUGAAUAUCCCACAAAGUAGCAUGAACUGGUUCUAGAAUCGAGCUUCCUUUCAUUUGGGUUGUAAAACCUAGCUUCUGCUUUGCAACCCCACACAUGAAAAUGAUGAAAACUUGGUGUUCUGCCAGUCCAUAGCUCAAAAGGUGUUUUUGGCACUGAUUUUGUAGGCACUCGGUUCAACACAUAGUUUGAUGUCCUCAAUGCUUCGCCCCACAGAAAACCAGGCAGCUUAGAUCUUGAAAUGAGACUUCUAACCAUUCCCAUCAAGGUUCGGUUUCUUCUCUCAGCCACUCCAUUCUGUUGGGGUUUUCCUGGAGUAGUAUACUGAGCCACAAUGCCUUGUAACUCAAGAAAUCGUGCAAACGGACCCUUCUGUUGCCCUGCUUCUGUGUGCCUGCCAAAAUAUUCUCCUCCCCUAUCUGAUCUAACAAUCUUAAUUUCAAGAUUUAGUUGUUUUUCUACUUCACAUUUAAAAACUUUAAAACACUCAAUGACUGCUGACUUUUCUUUUAUUAGAAAAAUGGAACCAUGUCUGGAGUAGUCAUCUAUAAAACUCACAAAAUAUGAAUUUCCACAAAUGGUUUUGACAGGAAAAGGUCCACAAACAUCUGUGUGUAUGAUCUCAAGUAAAUUUUUACUUCUAUUUGCAUCCAAUUUCCUAACAUUGGUGGUUUUACCUUUCAUACAAUCAAUGCAAUCAGAUGCAUCAUUAAAAUCUAAUGCAGGUAUAAAGUUUAACUUUGACAAUUGCAUGAUCCUAUCUUUUGAAAUGUGUCCUAGUCUUUUGUGCCACAACAUAUAGGAAUUGUCAAAGUUAUGCAUUCUUUUGGCAGUUGUGUUCAAAAUACUUAAUUCAAUAUUUAAUACCGUGCACUGCAUUUUCCACAAAUGAUCAUGCAAAAUAGCCUUUCCUAUUAGAGACCCUCUACUGAAAAAUUUCAUGCAUUCUUUGUUACCUAUGAAGGUGACACCUUCAUUUACUAACCUAGAUGCAGAUAUUAGAUUUCUCCUCAUUGCAGGCACAUAUAACACAUUUGACAAUUCUAACACAAAACCAAAAGACAAUUUGAGUUUUACCUUUCCUAUGGACUCAACUAUGACUCUGGUUCCUUCACCAACAUAAACAUUAUAUGCAUUUGCUUGUUUCUGUUUUUCAAAACCAUGCAGUGAAUUUGUUAUAUGCACAGAUGCACCAGUAUCAAACCACCAAGAAUUUGCAGGAAUUUCAAUGAGAUUUGAUUCCUCACAGACAUAUACAUUAGUCCUACCCUUAGCCCUCAGCCAUUCCUUGAAUAUUUCACAAUCCUUUCUAUAAUGACCUUUAGUUUUGCAAUGGUGACACCUAACCUUUUCUAUGUUUUUACUUUUGACCUUAAAAUUGUUAGAUUUAGAGGAGUUGAAAUUCUUAGCAGGCACAUAAGAUUUAUCAAGGUGUUUGGGUUUAGAAGUAUUACCAAAAUUUGCAUUGAAGUCUUUCUUUCGAGAUGUCUGCACAAAAUUGACAGCCUCAACUUCUUUUCCUCUAUCCAUCUUCUGUCGAUUUUCCUCUUGAACACACUGAGAUAUAAGCUCAUCCACUGACCAUGACUUAUCUUGAGUGUUGUAGGAGACUUUCAGUUGACUGAACUUCAAAGGAAGUGCUUGCAGGAUCAUGAACACCAGCUGUUUCUCACAAAUAUUCAUAUCUAAUGAAUUGAGUUUUUCAGCCGCAUCUGUCAUCUUCAUAAUAUGAUCUCUUAUUGAACCACCCUCUUCAAACUUGUAAGUUGUGAGCAGAGUCAUGUACUGAGCAAUUUCAGCCUUCUGUGAUUCCUUGAACUUAUUCUCAAUAGCUUUGAAAUAAUCUUUUGCAAGAUCACACCUUUUGAUGCCUCCUCGCACGGUGUCCGUCAUCCCACUUUCCAAAAUUGACAAUGCCACUUUAUUCGCUCUUGUCCAUCUUUCAAACUCUAACUUAUCAGCCUUUGAACUCUUAUCAGUAAGAGGUGCAGGCUGUGGUGUAUCCAGUGCUAUGUCAUAUUCAUUCAGUGUCAAAAGCAAUUCAAUUUCCCUUCUCCACUUUCUGUAAUUACUUCCACCCGUGAGUAUUGGCACAGCAGCCAAAUUCAUUGUUUUUAGUGAAACUGCAGAAGAUAACAAUGAAAUCAACACUUUGAAUCUUUUAGGAUUCAUGAUUUCUAUCUAUUUCACCAUGUAAUCCUCAUCAUGAGUCAAUUUUGUCAUACAUGGUUUCAAACUUUGAUAAAGAUAACCAUAUAUAGAGUAAACAACUCACAGAAGAUUGCAUUCAAGAAUCAUGUUCAAAAGGGAUGAUGUUCAUAUAUCACACCACAUGAAUCGAAUAUCAAAAUUCAAUAAACCCAAUAUAAAACAGCAGCGGAAACUCAAAAAUAAUUGAUUCAGUUUAUCCAUUUAGAUGAUUUUGAUUCGAAUUGGCGAGAUGCUAGCAAAUUCUCUAAUUAUAAGCAUAUAUACGGUAUUCUUUAGUUCAAAUAAUUUCUUACACUAAUUUCAAGUUUUAAAAUUGUAGACAUACCUUUUGGAACAAUCAAUGAAUGCAAUUGGCAUGAGAAGGAUAAAAAGGACGAAAAUUCCUUAAAUCGCUAUAAACCCAGAAACUGGGAAAAGGAAAAGAGCUAAGGGAGAGGAAAAGUCGCAAAACCCAGCAAACAUAAGGGUAAGACCCCUUUUUUUUUUUUUUUUUUUUUUUUUUUUUUUUAAUAAAACGGUGUCGUUUGCUAUUGUUAUUUUCAAAACAGGUUAUGAUUCUGGGUUUGGUAAUUAUAGGUUCUUGUCCAGAUUGUUGUGCAAAAAAAAAAAAUAAUAAUUCGAACUUAAUGGCAAUUAUCUCUCCCAAGCUCUAAUACCACAUGUAAGAACUAUAUCACAGAUCAAAGAUAUGCCAGUAAGUUACCAAUACUCCAACAAUCGAACUAAGUGACAAAACUACAAACACGAAUAUGAAACCAGUGGAAAACAUACCUGCAGAACUUGAACUCGAAGAAGCCAUAGCAGGUUCACAACCAAGCAAUCUUCUCCUCUUUAGCAAAACUAGAAAACUCUCUGAAUAAUAGGUAUUCAAUACAAGAUGAGCCGUGUCUUUGCAAGAGCAGUGAUUGAGGUUAUAUACAACAUUAAUCCAACUCAUUCUCCUAUUAGAAUUAGUGUUGAACUCUAAAACAAAACCUUUUCACACAAUGAGUGUACAAGAUCAAUUAGUGUAGGAUCCGAAACCUUUUCCAGAGGAACACUAAAAGCACUCAUAAUCCUACAAGGACGAGGAUUCAACCAAACACCUUAUCAAGACUUUUCCAUUCAAGAAUUCAUCCAAUAUUAUAGCUAAUCCUCAAACAUGUUUCAUACUCAUAUUCCAACACUAGUUACCAGAGAAUGACUUUUAUCCUUCUAUAAACAGGCAGUUGAUAAAGGUGACUCUGGCCCAAUAUAACUUGACUCAUAAACUGGAAACUUUGAGGCUUCAAACUCUGAGCCAAAAGUUGAAGCUUCUCACUCAACAAACAAAAAUUACAAAUCCAAAACUAAAAAGAAUCAGAAACAAACUAAAACAUGGGAUUGGUGAAGGCCAUACCUUCGAAAGCAUAGACGCAGACAGCUCUUCGAGAGCGAUCCCAACUCCGGGGUCGGAGGCGGAAACAGAGGCCAAUAUCCUCAAGAUUUUGCGUUGACGAUUGUGAGAUCGGGAUAAAACGGUCGAAACCAAAUUUGCAAGUUUUGAAAAAACGUUAAGGAAUCUGGGUUUCAAUGAAUAAGGAGGUUGCAAAUAAAAUCCCCAAAGAAACAAAAAAAAGGUCUCCCAUGUCGGUAUUUUGUGAGAGAAAAAGCGCAAGAUUCGAGAGCGAGUUCAACAGCAGCAGAAGCACAGAUUUGUGAGAAAGAAGAAAUCGAAGGAAAAAUCGAGAAGAUGCAAGAGAGGCUUGAGGCAAGCAUGGACAAAUGGGUAAUCUUACGUGUAAAGAGGAGAAAGAACGGAGCAGGAAAGCUGUUUGACAAGGCAAUAUCGCUAAUUUAAUUCUGGUGAGCAACGCUUUUCCACCAAGUGGAUGGCAAGGGCAAAAACACCUUUUUACUGUGAAAAAGACGCAAAAACAAAAUGGCACAUAAAAAAGCAUUCAGAGGGCAUUUUCGUCCGUUUACUGCUGGUGAACAGUGUUUUUUUGCUUGAGUUUUAGUAUAGGUUCAACUAAAAAUUGUUAUCCGCGUGAUUAGAAACUGUUAAAAAAAAUUAUCAUAGACUAUUAAUAUUAUUUACAUUAAAAAUGUUACACGAUUUUAACAAACAAAAAAUUUAAUCUAUACAGUAUACACACAAACAAUUGUAGAACUUUUGUCUUUACAUAAAAAAAAUAAAAAAAAUCUAAGUUAUUCACUGAAGCACCUAAAGUUUCUUGAUUGUGAAGAAAGCAACCUCAGCAAGGAAAAAUAUGAAAUAUUAAAAUACAUGCAAUUAAUUUAUACAUCAACGGGCUUAUAUUACAAAAAAAUAAGGAUAAAGUAUUGCUACCUAGUCUUUUUUUUUUUGGAGGAAAAUAAUCUGAUUUUAUACCAAUUAGAGAGAACUUUUUUUCAGCAAUUUAAUAGUCUAAUAAAUUGAUUAUACAAAAAAUCCAUUAAAAAAACCUAAAAACAAUAAACUAUUCACUAAUUUUUCAUACGAAAUAGAACAAAGCUAUAGAAUAUACCUUUUCAUAGUGAGUAUUGUGAAAAAUACAACAUAGCUUGAGACAAUGGUAAUUAACGUGUUUGGAAAAGUCUACCUGCGUGGUGGUGUAAUCGUCACAUAGAUAAACUUCAAUGCCAAUUGAUUGAACUAAGUUUUUUUUUUUUAACAAACAAUAUUAUCUACACUAAAGAGAAAGGUAAGCUUUAGCCUCACAACAAGAGAAGCCUUGCGCAGAGCUCUACCUCUAACAACUCAAUUAUAUCUUGAAAUCGGCUAAGUUGGUAUUGUAACACGGUAAGGUUGGGUAGAUUUUAGAUCCAAAUGUCACCAAACAAUAUUCUGCAGAAUGGCAGUGUUCUGUCUAGAUUGUCCAUGGCACGGACGUAAACUGGAUGAUAACGCAGGGCAACACUGGUACUAUACCCUAAACAUCCACAAGCUAUAAACAAAUAGUUAAAGUUCAUAUGCACCAAGGGUACUAAAACUCAACCCAUUGUUUAGUAAGAAGAACCACAAAAACAAAUUAGUAAAAACCGAAAUGGUUAUCAGAUGGACACAAAGGUUUUUGUACUACGUGAAACUUUGCGUCGAGAAAUUGAAACAACUAUCAGGAGACAGUUAUACGGAUUUCCUACAAUUCUAUAAAUAAUGUAUUCUUUCACCAUUGUUUCAAUUCAAACAAAAAUUAAAGAACAGAAAAGCUAGAAGCAGGAAAAUUGCAACUGAUCAAUAUUUUCCAAACAAAACCAACCUGCAAUGUCCUAGUUGCAAAUUCAACUCCAAUGGUGGACUUAGACUCCAAAGAAAACUCAUUCCUCGUAAACCUCGAAAGAAUGUUCGAUUUUCCAACACCCGAAUCUCCAAUCAAUACAAUCUUGAAGAGGUAAUCGUAUUCGUGAUCCACCUUGUACGCCAUACGUUCUACUCCUCACACACACACCCCCACAACACCUGCCCAGAUCCAGAAUUCACCAAACAAAAAGCUGUUAGCAGUCAAAAAACCAAAAAAAUAAACCCAUUCUCUUGUUUUGACAGAAGGGAUGAGAAAAGUGCUGAUCAGAGAGCAUUUUCUUUACCUACGGUUUCUUUCCAAUGUGAUUUUCCCGAGAAACAAACGGAAAUUGGGUAAUCAUAAAACAAUGACAAUGGCGCGUAGAAUGGUGAUUAACAAAAUAGAGGAUUUUUUGAAUGUUGGGUUUUGUUAUGUUUGCAUUGAAGUUUGUGGAAACAGAGGAGAGGAGAAAAGAAGAAGAAAAGGAUGGCGUUGUACAAAGUUAGAAACAGAACAAUGGAUGAAAAUGCACUUAAACGGCCUUUCACGAGGGAACUGACGCGCCGAAUUCGGAGUCUAUGUAAAGUAAACGACCAUUCAUAAGACAUGACGCAUAAAAUUUAAGCCCAUUCUCAAUAUGGGCUUAGGGCAUAUGUUUGUAACCCACUGAAAAGCUCCAUUAGGGUUUCCUAUCACACACUAUUUAUCUCUCUACACACUUAUGUCAUGUAGUCAUGUUUAAUCAUAUCAGUUGACUAUUGAUUUUAUCAACUUGGGUUACUAAAAAUUAAGAAAUGAGUGCAAUUAUCAUUUCUAACUGUUUUAAAAUGUUAGGAUGAUUCAUAAACAAAUUGGAAGUUCAAAAGAUAAGUCGGAAUGAGCCCCUAAAUUCAAAGGGCAUUUGCCAUGUCUCUCUGUUUUGUGAAUCAUUAAAAGUGACAUUAUUUAUCCUUACAUAUUUUGUCUUUGGUGCACAAAGUGACUACUACUACCUACCACUACAAACCUAACCUCUUACACCACCAUUGUUACCACCACGCCACCACCACGACCAUAACACACAAGCGUCACCACUACCACCACUUACCUCUGUGGCUCAACCACCACACCCCUUAAUCAGCAGCACCACCACCACUAUCACAACCAUUGUCCUAGCCACCGUUGUCAACGUCAUCACACAAAUUAUCAUGUCCAUUUUUGUUAUUAUAUACAAUUAUAUCAUUUUACAUUAAAUUUUACCAAACACGCUUUUACAAUGCUUUUCAUACUCACAACACUUAUAAAAAUACAGUUAUCAAACGCUCAGCUACUUUAUUUUGUAGCUGAUUAUUCUUAAAGCACAACAUAAACAAUUUUUUUUUAAAGCAUAGUACUCCCCAACUGGCCCUAAGUCCACAAAUGAGUCAUCCCAAGCAAAGCCGGUCUUGAGUUUUUUGGUGCCCGGAAAAGAAUCAGAAAGUGCCUUUUCUUAAUACACGGGUAUAUAUUAAAAAUAAAUAUUUAAAAAGAGUGGGCCAAACCCUUCAUACAUAUUAUAUUACUCAAGUGCAAAGGUAAACGUUCAUAGCUAAUAAGGAUAAAACUGUUAAAAGCAUAGUUAGUUAGAAUUGUUAUAAGGUGGUUAUGAUAGCUUGUAAUUAGUGAAUGUUUGUUUGGGUAUUUUUGUAAUUAGCUGGUUAGCUAAGACUAGUGAGUCACUAGUAUAUAUAUGUACAUACCAUUGUAUAAUUUUAUCUUGAUGAAAUGAAAAGAUAACAUUUCUAAUAUGGUAUCACCCACCUAAAAGUCUCACGACAUUUUCGAUCCUAUUUUUCCCGCCUCUCUCUCUGCAUCGUCUCCUAGGGUUUGCUUCUUCUUCUCCGAUCAAUCGAUCGCUUCAACACUCUUGCUUCUUCUUCUUCAUGCUAUGACGAGCUCUGCAGCUUAGUCUUCUUCCGCUUCAGAUUCUUCUAUUCAUCCAAUUCCUGCUGCUCUUUCUAACCCUAAUUCUGCAAUUACGAUCCAAAACAUUGGAUCCAUGGUUCCAAUCAAGCUUACAACGACGAACUACCUGACCUGGAGUGCUUUAUUCACUCCGAUUUUCCGCCGGUACAAUCUUACCAGAUUAAUUGACUGCACAAUGGCUGCUCCGUCGAAAUUCCUUCUCGAUGCAUCUGGAAAUUGCACCGCCACUCUGAAUCCCCAAUAUGUUGCGUGGUAUGAGAAUGAUCAGAACAUCUUGAUCUAGAUCAACUCUACGCUCUCGGAUGCAUUCUUUACACUGUUGGUGUUAAUUCGGCUCGGGAGUUAUGGUCCAAGUCAUGUAUUUCUCUUUCUAGUGUUUUAAAUAAAACUGUCUGCUCCAGCUGUGCUCUAGGCAAGUCUUCAAAAUUACCUUUUGUUUCUGUUUCCUGUACCUCCAAUAAACCUCUGGAAUUGUUACACACUGAUGUAUGGGGUCCAGCCCCUCUUCUUUCUAUCAAUGGACAUCGUUACUACAUCAUUUUUGUUGAUGAUUAUACCAAAUACACUUGGUUCUUUCCUCUUGCAUCCAAGUCUGAUGUCUUUGACACAUUUGUCAAAUUUAAAGCUCCCGUGGAAAAUCUACUCAGUUCUAAAAUAGUUACUAUAAGAUCUGAUUCUGGUGGAGAGUUUCUUAGUCUCAAGCUCAUCAAUUAUCUGCAAUUACAUGGCAUUUCACAUCAGUUAAGUUGCCCUCACACGCCUGAACAGAAUGGCUGUGCUGAACGCAAACAUCGGCAUCUAGUUGAAACUGCUAGAACUUUUCUAGCAGCCUCUCAAGUUCCUAAGCUCUAUUGGGAUGAUGAUUUUGCCACGGCUAUCUAUCUGAUUAAUAGAAUGCCAACAGCUACCAAGUAUUCUCCUUGGGAAUUACUCUUUCACAAACCUCCGGAUUAUUCCUCUCUGAAAGUGUUUGGCUGCAAAUGUUUUCCUUGGUUGAAGCCUUACAUUUCCUCUAAACUUGAUCCAAAGAGCAAAGUAUGUGUCUUUUUGGGUUAUAGUUUGAAUCACAAUGGUUAUAAAUGUCUCGAUCCUCAUACUGGCAGAGUAUAUCUUUCACGGCAUGUUAUUUUUUAUGAAGUCACUUUUCCUUUUGCUCAACAAGACUUAUCUCAGUCUCUCCCAUCUAGUUCUAGUUCUUCUAUACUGAGGAAUCAUCACACCAUUCCCACAACCUUAACUUUUCCCACUAUAUCUUCACCUUUACCAUCUCAUUCCCUUACUGCACCUAGUUCCCUUAUUGCAUCUAGUUCUCUUGCUGCACCUAUUUCCUCUUCCUCAUCUCCUCACCUUAUUUCUCAUCCCAUCUCUGCCCCUAAUCCACUUGCCGCACCCUCCAUACCUCAAAACACUCAUGCCAUGCAAACUCGUUCCAAAUCCAGUAUUGUCAAACUAAAGGUUUUUUUAGCAACCAAACAUCCCAUUUCCUCUGAGAUGUCACUGGACUAUAUACCAUCCACUUAUCUUCAAGCCUCCAAACACUCUCACUGGAGGCAAGCUAUGCAGGAAGAAUUUAAUGCUCUUAUUCAAACUGGCACUUGGUCUUUGGUCCCUUCUCAUUCUUCUCAGAAUUUGGUUGGUGCAAAAUGGGUAUUCAGAAAUAAACGCAAGCCUGAUGGUACCAUUGACAGGUACAAAGCAAGGCUUGUUGCCAAAAGAUUUCAUCAGCAACAAGGUUUGGACUACACUGAAACAUUUAGUCCAGUUGCAAAGCCGGUUACCAUUCGGCUUCUUCUCACUUUGGCUGCCAAGUUUGAUUGGUUCCUCAAUCAACUUGAUAUUAGCAAUGCAUUUUUGCAUGGUAAUCUCACUGAAUCUGUGUUUAUGGUACAACCACCAGGAUUUGAAGACCUUACAAUGCCUUCUCAUGUUUAUCAUUUGCAUAAGUCUUUGUAUGGUUUGAAGCAAGCCCUCAGGGCUUGGUAUGAGAAAUUAACAACUGCCUUAAAGUCUCUCGAUUUCUCUGGUUCUCAGAAUGACUAUUCUCUAUUUGUAAAACGGGAACCAGCUCUGGUCUUCAUUCUAAUUUUGUUGAUGACAUUAUUGUCACUGGUCCAAGUUCCCAUCUUUGCCAAGAGGUUAUAACUCAACUCGGUGUCUUAUUUCCUGUCAAAGAUCUUGGCCCCCUUUAUUACUUUCUUGGCAUUGAAGUAACAAGAUCAUCCUCGGGGAUAUUGCUUUCUCAGACCAAAUAUAUUCUUGAUCUCCUCACUAAAGCUCAUAUAGAGGGUUCCAAGCCUUGUGUUACCUCGAUUAGCACCACUAAAUUGGAUCAUAAAUCUCCUUUGCUUGAUAAUCCUGAAGAAUAUCGAUCUUUGGUUGGUGGUUUGCAGUAUUUAACUUGGACUAGGCCCGACUUAUCUUAUGCAGUGAAUUUGGUCUGUCAAUUCAUGCAUAGUCCUCGGCAAGCACAUUUCCAGGCCGUCAAGCGCAUUCUUCGAUAUCUUAAGGGUUCCUUGCAAAUUGGCUUAUGGUUUCCUAAGUGUUCCAAGUCUCUCACUCUCACUGCCUUCUCCGAUGCAGAUUGGGCAGGUUGCAGUAUUGACAGACGAUCCACUAGUGGUUUUGUAAUUUUUUUGGGAGACAAAGAGUGCAAAGAAACAGCCUACUGUGGCUCGAUCCUCAACUGAGGCUGAAUAUCGAUCUUUUGCAAACACUGCGGCUGAACUCACCUAGAUUUGCAAGUUACUGACUGAUGUUGCUCUUGUUCUUCCCUCUUAUCCACAACUUUGGUGUGAUAAUAUCUCUGCAAUUUCCUUGGCUAAGAACCCUAUUUUUCAUGCACGAACCAAACAUGUGGAGAUAGAUUAUCACUAUAUCCGCGCAAAAAUUGCUCGCCAAUCAAGUGCAAGUUCUUUUUGUCUGCACGGAGGAUCAACUUGCUGACAUUUGUACUAAACCUCUAUCCAAGCCUCGGUUCAUCUUCCUUCGCAACAAACUCUCUCUUCGGUUCCCUCAGUUAGGUUUGCAGGGGGGAUAAUAAGGAUAAAACUGUUAAAAGCACAGUUAGUUAGAAUUGUUAUAAGGUGGUUAUGACAGCUUGUAAUUAGUGAAUGUUUGUUUGGGUAUUUUUGUAAUUAGCUGGUUAGCUAAGACUAGUGAGUCACUAGUAUAUAUAUGUACAUACCAUUGUAUAAUUUUAUCUUGAUGAAAUGAAAAGAUAACAUUUCUAAUAAUAGCCACUUUAAACUAUAAUCAUUAAGUUCAUCUCCAACUGAACGCUGGCCAAAUGGCUUGUUUUAGCCAUCUGAUCCUCCAAGAAAUUAAUAUUUUAAUGAACUGUGCAUGAUCAUAUUCUUACCAUCUCCAACCGAGGGCCAAACAUAAUUUAUUAUUUAAAUUUAAAAACUACAACUUAAAUUAAAAAAACUACAACUAAAAUUUAAUAACUACAAGUAAAAUUUAUAAAAUACAACUUAUAUAUUUCAAGUCAAAUGUGAGAGGUUUUAUUUAGAGUAGCAAAAAAGGAAAUAAGUGGGAGAGGAAGUAGGAGAAACUAAAAAUGUGGAAGUGGGUGGGAGAGGAAGUAUAAAAAUAUAAAAAAAAUGGAAGUGGGUGGGAGUCCCACAUCGGUUGUGAGAAAGAUUUGAGCAAGUUCCAAAGCCUAUAAAAAGAACACCUAACAUUCAAUGAAACAUACUUUCUGGGCCUAUAAUUGAAUAUAUUUUUUUAAAAAUUUUGGCCAACAAAAAAAAAAUUCAAAUAACUGUAAAAAAAACAAAAAAAAGGGCUAGCUAACUUUAGCUAGUUGACAGUUGCUUUUGAAUUUUAGCCCGGCCAGUUGGCCCUUUGACCCUUUUUUAUCUAGUGGGGCCCACAAUCCCUUUGGUCUAGUUCUUGGUUUGAGGCAAUUUUAAGGUCAUUUUCGACCCUCUGACACCUUUUGGUUGAAGAUGACCUAACAGAAAAAAAUUGAACAUUUUAUGAGACUUCUCUCUCCGAAGAGGUCCCAAAUUUAAGUACUAGUAAACGGGUGCAUUUUUACUCACCCACAUUAACUUAGGUGUAUGCUCACCACACAACUCCAAGCUUGCCAAGUGUCCCUUUGCUUUAAUCCUAGUUAACAUUUUCAUUUGUUAUUAAUAUUUUACUAUAAUAAUACAUUAAUAAUCAUCUUAACAUUUAUCUUUGAACUUUUUAAUCAAUAUUUGUAUCUCAACCGUCCAUCUCCCCUCUUCCUCCCCCCUCCCAUCUCUCUCCUCUGUCACUUUUCCCCCUUUUCUGUCAUUUGGGUGAAUAUCCCAAAUCUAAAAUCUCAAAUUCUAAUACAAAUUUAAAGGGGAAUGGGUGAAUUGAUUUGACGGGGUGAAGUCCAUCAAUAUCGUGAGAAAGGAGCAUGAUGAGUAGAUUUUAUAUUAUAUAUGUUACCCUAAUCUUAGUAUAUUUUGGUUAACAUUUUGGAAGAAUUUUGAUACUUUGAAUUGUAUUUCCAAUAUAGGACUUUCGACUUCUUCUGGAGCAAAACAGAAUCAAAUGGACGAUUUUUUGAGUAAUUCUAGUUGGAGAACGUUCGUGAGUCACUUAUAUUGAUCGUAUCAAAAUCUGGGAUUUUUCCACUAAGCAGUUAUUUUCUGGCGAUAAAAUAAAGGAGCGAUGUGCAGUGCUGGAAAAUGACGUUUUUUGGCUUAAAUUACGUUUUUGUAGCCCAAGAUGACCUCGGAUGGGUUCGUGGCCUUCUGGAGAAGUGUUCAUAAUGUUCCAAACAUUAAAUUCAGCUAUAUUGGGCUGGUUUUGGAGCAGCUUAUGGGUCCAAAAUGUGGCUGUUCAGAUUUUAGGCGAAUUUUCCCAUUUAAUUUAGGAUUAUGUUUCCUAUUUUAUUUAUUGUUACUAUUAGUUUCCUAGAGGAAAAAAGGACCUGUUUUUAGGGUUUGUGUGGUGGUUUAGCAAAUAUAUUGCUUAGCCGUCUACCACAUUUUUCUCUACGCUUUAUUUUAUGCAAUUUUGAAGACAGAGAGAAGUGCUAGGGUUUUGGAGAUUUUCUACUUGAAGGUGUUUUCAAUCAUUUUCUUAAUAAUAUUUUCUAUGAUUUCAAUUAUGAAUAUGCAUAACUAAUUUCCUAUUGCUAGGGCGAAGCCUUGAGCCUUAACAUGAAUACGUGAUUUUUAUUUAAUUGCUUAUGAUUGAUUGCAUGCAUACUUUGAAUUGUUAAUCACCGGGAUAAAAACUAUCUAAUUAUCUUAAUGCAUGAUCACCAUUAUGAUCUUUAGAAAAGUAAUUUGAUGCAAUUUUGGUCGGAAGGUUCCCUGAAAUUGACGCUGGCUUCAUGUGAUUAAUAAUUGUAAUUUCACUUAAGAUGAACACCACGUCUUAAAGGUUGCAUGGUUUUUCAAAGGAUUUUCAUAAAGUAUAAUGAGUCUUUGAUGUUCAGAUUUGAUCUGAAUGUCCGGACAUGUUGCAUGUUAGAUAUACGUUCUAUGUUGGAGGUUCCAAGUAGAAUAUGAAUUAGGAAAAUCUAACCUUCAAAGUGGCAUGUGUAGAUCAUAAGUAAUUGGUAAAAAUUCAUAGGAUUGCUAGGUGAUGGUGGAACCCUAGUGUUUUCUUAAUUUGAUUCUUCCAAAACUGUUUUCUUUUUCCCCCAAUUUUAAUAUUGCAGAUUGUCUUAUUUGUUUUAAUUAAAUUCGUUUUUUAAUUUAAGUAGGCUAUAAAAUCAAUCAUCAUAAUUUCUACUUUACAAUAAUUAAUUGAACUUUGGUUUGUUUCAAAUUAUUUCAUAAUCUCUGUGGAGAACGACCUUGCGAGAUCCGUUUACACUACAACAACCUUGUGAUUCUUGCAAGUAUUAUAGGAAUUUUUAUCUCAUUCACAUGAUUAGUAAAAUCCCUAUCAGAGCACAGGUUGCCUCCAUUCACUCGAAGCAAAGAUGCACAGAUAAGUGAAGAAAAUUUGUACCUAGAAAACUGUUCCAAAUUGUGGGUGGUUGGCAUGGGGUGGUGAGAGGUGGGAGGGAGCAAAUAGCAAGUGAGAGGAAUAAAGGGUCGUCAUUGCUGCUUCAAAUGCUCGAGCAAUUUCCAUUAGAAUAUUAUACAUAAAUAAAAUUACAAUUAGGAGAUAAUUUCUGUGAUUCGAAACGCCAUGGAUGAUUUGGUGGAGGAGGACAAUUUCUUUGAAACUGAAUAAACGCUUCGGGAGGUGAGUUGCAGACGGUUUUUUAUUUGUCUAUUUUUAGUUUAUUUUUAUUUCUUUAUUAAAUUAAUAAAGAGUAAUUAAAUCACAGUUAACCAAGGUUAAGGCAAAGGGACACUUGGCAAGCUUGGAGAUGUGUGGUGAGCAUACACCCAAAAUGGGUGAGCAAAAAUGCACCCCUAGCAAACUUAUUCGGUUCUUUAAUUAUCAUCACAUCAAAUGCCCAGAAAGGUUUUGCCCACAUCAACAUUUUUCUAUUUUUUAAAUUACAUAUAAUUUGUUUAAAGCCAUCUUCACUUCACCUUGUAACUAAUUGCUUACAAUAUAGGAAAUUUUAUUUUCAUGGUCCUAUAAACUCCUACGUUUUAAUGACUCUUUUGAUAUAAAAAUAAUUCAUUAAAGUAAUUUAAACUUUUACAUUGUUAAACGACUCUUUCUAUAAAAAAAAAUAAGGGUAAAGUAUAAAAAACUAUCUCAACUAUUAGUGUCACGAUACUUUCAUAUCUCAUCUUUUAAAAUUGAUAAUGUCAUACUUCAUCUUUAGAAUUUGGUCCAAUAUUAUACCUUCUGUUACUUGGCUGUUUACUUUUCAAUUAAAUGUUGACGUGACUUGAUUCAGAGCCCACUUUCUAUUAGAAAAUCAUUAAAAUAUUAUUAAAAGCUAAAAAAAAUAUUUAAUAAUUUUAAAUAUUAAAAUAAUAAAAAAAGUAAAAAAAAAAAAAAAAAAACAACCCUAAGUUCGCCCCUCCCCUUCCCCAUCUUCAUCUUCAUCUUCAUCUUCAUCUUCAUCUUCUUCACCCCCCCCCCACCCAAAAAAAAUGAAUAAUAAAAAACUCAUAUCCCGUCGGCGGGAAGAUGAGUGCGCGGAGAAGGUGGAGGAUGGGUGUGGAAUAGGAUGUGGAGAAUGGAUGAGUGGUGGAUUUGGGGUUGGGUUUUUUUUUUUGGGGGGGGGGGACGAACUGGGUUCGCUUUGGAUUUUUUCUUUCUUUCCUUUUCUUCUUCUUCUUCUUCUUCCUCUUCUUCUUCUUUUUCUUCCUCCUUCUUCUUUCUGGGUUGUUGGGGGUUGAGCGAACUGGGUUGGGUUGGAAUUUUUUUUUUCCUCUUCUUCUUCUUCCUCCUUCUCCUUCUUCUUCUUCUUCUUCGGGGGAGGGGGGGUUCUUCUUCCUUCUGGAUUGUUGGGGGUUGGGCGAACUGGGUUGGGUUGGAAAUUUUUUUUUUCCUCUUCUUCUUCUUCCUCCUCCUUUUUUUUUCCUCUUCUUCUUCCUCCUUCUCCUUCUUCUUCUUCUUCUUCUUCGGGGGAGGGGGUUCUUCUUCCCCCUUCUUCUUUUUGGGUUGUUGGGGGUUGGGCGAACUGAGUUGGGUUGGAAAUUUUUUUUUUUCCUCUUCUUCUUCUUCCUCCUUUUUUUUUCCUCUUCUUCUUCCUCCUUCUCCUUCUUCUUCUUCUUCGAGGGAGGGGGGUUGAUGCGUUUUCAAAUUUAUUUAUUUUUGGUUGAAGAUUAAGCAGGGAAGAAGAUGAAGAUGGGAAGAGAAAGGGGGAAGGGACGAACAGAGGGAUUUUUAUUUAUUUUUUUACUUUUCUUUAUUAUUAAAAAAAUAUUAAAUAAUAAUUUUUUUAUUAAAAAUGAGCCCCGAAUCAAGUCACGUCAGCAUUUAACUGAAAAAGUAAACGGCCAAGUAACGGAAGAUAUAAUAUUAGACCAAAUUCUAAAGAUGAGGUAUGAAAGUGUCGUGACACCAAUAGUUGAGGUAAUUUUUUGUACUUUACCAAAAAAAAUAAAUAAUUAAAGUAACUUCUCAUUAUACCAUCUUCAAUGGUGGGCUAAAUACUAAAUUACCCCCCAAUUCCCCGCGUCGUGACACCAAUAAUUGAGGUAGUUUUUUGUACUUUACCAAAAAAAAAAAUAAUUAAAGUAACUUCUCAUUAUACCAUCUUCAAUGGUGGGCUAAAUACUAAAUUACCCCCCAAUUCCCCGCCCCCCCCCCACCAAACAAUCUCCAACCCAUGAUAAAACAUUGGGCUAAAUGCCAAAUGUUAAAGCUGGGCCAAAUACCCCCCAAAAUUCCCUCCCCAUGCGACUGGAUUCGCUAGCAAUUGGGCCAGUCUCAGCCCGGUCACGCUCCAACGCAUCCCACGCGGUGCGCUUGCAAACCUUUCCCAACAGGGGUGUGCCCCUCUGUCAGUCGUUCGUCUGCUACCCAAAAAUCCCAACAGCUAUAAUUUGAAUCCAAGGGCUUGGUUUAAUGGAUCGUUGGUUGAUCCAACAGUCCAGAUUCAAAUUUAAUUUUUUUAAAUAUGUUAUUUUAAAAUACAUUGAAUCCAAUGACUGAGUUCGAACAUCCACACAACUCAAUUUUCUCCUACUAUUAUCCAAUUUAUCUUUUUACCUUUUCUUUCCAUUUCCAAAUUGUUCAACAUGACAAGAGAGCAUAUUAGAGGUCGUAAUUGGACCUAUGAGGAAGAUGUUGCUUUAUGUUUGGCAUGAUUUUCUAUUAGCGAAGAUGGUGGAGUUAGCACAAAUCAAAAUAAGAAGGUUUUGUGGGAUAAAAUCAUUGCAAAGUUUUAAGAAAACUGCAAUGGCGGCGGGCAUGAUGGUGGUGGUGUUUAUGAUUGGUGGAAGACUAUCAACAAAGCAUGUACUUUAUGGAAUAUAAGUUUUGAGAGAGCCGUGGUGGGCAUGGCUAGUGGAAGAAGGGCCACAGAGAUUGUGAGUUUUGUUCUUAAUAUUUUAUUUGUCAUGUACAUAAUAUUAUUUUCCAACUAAGUAUUUUUAUGUAUUUUUUGCAUAAGGUGCCAAAGCAAUGAAAAUUUAUGAGGCCAUCUCUAACCGAAGGGUCCAGAGGGCCAGAUGGCCGUAAAUAGCCCUAAAACUGUCUCCAACUGAGGGCUAGGCUAGAGGGCUCUGGAAUCUGGGAGGGCCCCACGGGAUCAGAGAGGGCUGGCUAUUUUUUUUAAUGUUUUCCUAUUGCUGUCGGUUAUAACCGACAGCAUUAAAGAAGAAUUUUUUAAUACUGUCAGUUAUAACCGACAGUAAUAAUUAUUCAAAGCAAAAUUUUUCUUUUUAAUUACUAUUAGUGUCGGUUAUAACCGACACUAAUUGUUUGAAUUUUUUUUAAUAUAACGACUAGUAGCCGUUGUAUUAACUUUUUUUUUUUAUGAAUUUAAACUUCUUUUUUUUCCCUUUUUUUUCCUUUUCAUAUGAAUCAAAUUUUGUUUCAUAUUUUUUUUCAAUUCUAUUUUACAAAAUUUGUUUCAAUUUUUUUUUAAAUUCUAUUUUUUUCCUAUAACUUCUAUUUUACAAAAUUUGAUUCAUAUUUUUUUUCAUAUAACUUCUAUUUUACAAAAUUUGUUUCAUAUUUUUUUAAAUUCCAUUUUUUUCCUAUAACUUCUAUUUCACAAAAAAAAAUUCAUAUUUUUUUUCAAUUCUAUUUUUUUCCUAUAACUUCCUAGGCCAUUUAUACAACAUUAAAUUAAAUUAAGUAACAUGAAACAACAUUAAAUAACAUUAACCAACAUUAAACAAUUGUAAUUUUUAAAUAAUAAAUUAUGUUUGGCCCUAUGGCCCUUUGACCCUCGGUUGGAGACGAUUUUUGGUGACAGGGCUAAAACGAGCCAUCUGGCCCUUUAGCUCUCGGUUGGAGACGGAGGCCAAUAUGGCCCUGUACUGUUCAUUAAAAUAUUAAUAUCUUGGGAAAUCUUGGAGGGCCAGAGGGCUAAAACGAGCCCUCUGACCAGCGUUCGGUUAGAGAUGGCCUAAGACAAGAGCAACACCAGAAAAUCAAGUUUUAAGUUGCAACAUGCUUAGAACGUCCUCAAGGAUUGUCCGAGGUGGGGAACCGAUGCGGACCAAUAAUGGGAAAGAUUAUUUCAACGUGAAGCCGCACAGACAAAUGCCAGAGAUGAAGGUGUCGAUGAAAUGACCCUAUCUCCUUCUUUUGCAAGGCCCCCAGGAAGAGAUAAGCAAAAGGAAGCAAAGAGAAAAGGGAAGUCCCAAGAUCCGAUGAGUGGACACUUUGGUACUAGAAUUGCAAAAUUGAACGAAACUCAUAGCGCUCGCUAAGAAGAAACGGCCCGAAUGCGUUUGCAAAUGAAGGAAAUCUCAGAUCGGGAGCAAGAUAGGUUUGAAAUUGAAUUCAUGAUGGAGGAACUCAACAAAUACACUUUAAAGAGGAAGAAGUUCUUACGUGGUAAGCAAAAGGAAAUUUUGCAAAAGUCUGUCUCAAGGAGUAUGUUUCAAGAUGAUGAAUCCUCUGAAUCCUAUAUCCCAAGAUUUCAACAAAGUCCAUCACCAAGUGAAGAUGGUGGAUAUGAUUAUUAAGUUUAUGUAGUGUAUGAACUAUGUGCUUUAUUAAUUGAGUUUAUUAAUUGUCGAUUGUAUUAAGUUUAUGUGGUUUAUGAAUUAUCGAUUGUAUUAAGUUUAUGUGGUUUAUGUAUUAUCAGUUGUAUUGUUUCUAUUAAUUUAGAUGUCUUCAAUAAUUAUUGUACUUAUUAUUCCACACUUUGAUGUAGAAUAGAUGUCUUCAAUAAUUCAACGUACUAGACAAAAUACUUUGCACAAGAAGACACUUAAAUUUAUUACUAGAAAAUAACAACAUAGUACACUUAAAAUUAAUCUAGAUGCCUUCAAUAAUUAUUGUACUUAUUAUUCCACACUCUUCUAUAUCACGCUACACAUAUGAACGCUCCGUGACAGAACCACGAUGGUUAGAUUCACUAUGUGGUCAGAUUGCAUAAAUGAGUUGACAAGUUCAACUUUGGCGUUGAACAAUUAUGCAUCCUCAAUCUCGAUCCUUGCUUGGUAUUGUGUCAUCUGCAUUGUCAUGCUACAUAUUCUUUUAUCACCAAUUGAUGAGAUAUUGAGGAUUUUUAGGUAAUAAAAACUCUUUGAAAGUUGAAAGAUUAGUGAAUAUAGAGGAUGAUUGAAGGUUAAAAGGUUGUGUGAUCAACAAAUAGUGGUCAUAUGUUUAUAUAGAGGAUGAUUGAUGAAAGUUGAACAGUUGGUGAAAGUUGAAAGUUUGGUGUUGAACGAUUGGUGAAAGUUGAAAGUUUGGUGUUGAAGGGUUGGUGAAUUGAAAAUUUGGUAUUGAACGGUUGAUGAAUUGAAAGUUAGCACAUGGUUGAAAGAUUGAUGAAAGUUGAAGGCUUGCUUUGUGAAAAAUUUAGUGAUUUUUCAAUAUUUAUUGGAAUUUAAAUUUUUUUAGAUUAAAAUGUUCAUAAAAUUAAUUUACGAUAGUCUACAUAUUUAUUUAAAAAAAUUAAUUUAAGAAAAAUAAUCGCCUAAAUUUAUUCUUUAAUAAUCCCAGGCUAAAAUUUUAGGACAGAACAGUUGGAGCAGAAAAACUGUUUCUGAGCUAAAAUAUUUGGCUUUUAGCCCAACCAUUAGAGAUGGUCUUAUUAGGACAAAAAGUAUUAAAACUUAUGUUUUGAAAACAAAUGUACCAAAAAUUCAAGAAAAUUUUAACAAAAAACUCCCGGUACUGUUUACUUUAACUAAAAACCACAUUUUUGCACUAAAGAAUCAAUUCUGGUACUAUUCACUUUAUCUUUUAUUUUGUCCUUAUCGUUAAAACUCAAAGUUUUUAAGCCAAUUUCAUUAAUUUUCCUAAAAUUCAAAUGUACCAAGAAGCCAAAUGAACCAAAAAUUCAAAUGUAGCAAGUAACAACAUGUACCAUUAUAAUUAAAUGUACCAAUAUAACCAAACGUACCUAUCAACGAGUUUUGUUACAUUCUAUUUAAUUUACUAAAAUAACUAUUUUAAUAAAAAAUAAAAAAAUCUUAAAUCAUCAUAAUUAGAGAUACAUAAAAAUUGGAAGAAAAAAGAAAAUGCUAUCGUGAAUAGACUUUUAAUGAAAUAAAAUUAAGGGUAAAGUACAAAAAACUACCUCAACUAUUGGUGUUACGACACUUUCAUAUCUCAUCUUUUAAAAUUGACAAUAUCAUACCUCAUCUUACGAAUUUGUGUCAAUGGUAUAUCUUUCGUUAGGGUUGGCAUGAAUUUCUCAAUUAAAUGCUGAUGUGGCUUAAUCCAAGACCAAUUUUCUAUUAAAAAUUAUUAAAAAUUAAAAAAAAAUAAUAUUUUUUAAAUAUUAAAAAAAAAAAAACCAACACUCAGUUCAGUUCGUCCCCUCCCCCCUUCUCUCUCUUCUCCCCAUCAUCAUCUUCUUCCCCCUUCCUGCAACUGCAACCCAGAAAAAAAGAAGAGAAAAAAAAAAACCAAUUUGUCUUCCCCCCUCCCCACCCCCUCUUCACCCCGCACCCCCGCACCCCCGCACCCACUCUCCGCACCCAACCUCCCCACCUUUGCACCCAACCUCACACCCACUACCAGCAACCCAAAAAAAAAAAAACCCCAAAUCCUGUUGAGGUGGAAUUAGGAAACCUUCGCCAAGACGAUUUCGAAGGUUGAGACCCUAAGCGCGGAGAAAAUAGGGGGAAUGGGUGUGGAGGGAAAAGGGUGGGUGUCGCGGGGGGGGGGGACGGACGAACUGGGUUUCCUUUUUAUUUUUUAUUUAUUCUCUCUCUUCUUCUUCUUCUUCUUUCUGGGUUUGUUCGGGGGGAGGGGAUUGGGUUGGGUUGGGUUUUUUUUUUUUUUUUUUUUUGUCUUCUUCUGCUUCUUCUUCCUCAUUUUUUCUGGGUUGCAAGGGGUUGGGUUUGUGGUGGUGGGAGAGGGGACGAACUGGGUUUGGUUUGGGGUUUUGUUUUUCCUUCUUCUUCUUCUUCUUCUUCUUUCUGGGUUUGUUGUUGAGGGGAGGGGGAAUUGGGUUGGGUUUUUUUUUUUUUUUUUCCUUCCUCCUUUUUUUUUUUUUUUUGUCAAUCCUUUUGCUUGGGUUGCAGGAAGAUGGGGAGAGAGAGAGAGGGGGAAAGAUGAACUGACCUGAGGUUUUUUUUUUCCCCUUUAUUAUUUUAAUAUUUAAAAAAAUAUUAAAUAAUUUUUUUUUAGUUUGUAAUAAUUUUUUAAUAGAAAAUGAAACCGAAUCAAGCCACAUUAGCAUUUAAUUAAAAAAUUUACGAUCAAGUAAUAGAAUGUAUAACAUUAGCACAAAUUCGUAAGAUGAUGUAUGACAUUAUCAAUUUUAAAAGAUGAGUCAUGAAAGUUAAUGGUAAUUUUUUGUAGUUUACCUAAAAUUACGUACCAAAAAUUGUAGGAAAAAUGUUUAAUCAAAUUUGCAUAAUAGACGUUCAGUAACAUUUAAAAAGUUUUGCCCAACUCAAUAAACACGAGUCAACAACUUUCAAGAAUCUGUAUAAUGUGUUCGUCCCUUAGAGCAAAUCCACCCCAAAACCAACUCCCCAGCACCCAGCCAAAAAAAUAGGCCAGGCCCCUGUUUUUUUGCUCCAGCUCGUUACAUUGCCUGGCACCCAGCCCAUGCCAGGCAACAGCCCAGCACAUUUUGGACUGACCCAGAAGCCGGCCUGUUUCUCAGGCGCGUGCAACACAAGCGCGCAAGGCGCGAGUGGGUUUCAGGGAAACCUGAAAAGGUGUCAGCCCACUUGGGCUCAGUGACGUGGCUUCACGAUAGCCGUUGGAUUUCCAACGGCUAGUUUUUCUAGACCGUUGGAUUUCCAACAAUAAAAAAAAUUUAAAUUUUACUUUUAAACUGGACCGUUCGAUCAAAGAUCAACGGUCCAGAUUAAUUAACUUAAUUAAAAUUUAUUAAAAAAUACAGAAAAUUAAAAAAAAAAUUAUUUUUUUCUUUCUAUAGUUUAUUUGAUGAGUUUAUGUAAUUUUAUUUUAGUGUGUUUUUUUUUUAAGUUUAUUUGAUGAGUAUGUAAUUUUAUUUCAGUGUGUUUUUUUUUUAAGUUUAUUUGAAAUUUUAUCCAAAAUUGGUUAAAAAUCAUAUCCGAAAUAAACUUAAAAAAAAAAAAAACAUACCAAAUAAAUGCGCUGGGUGCCAGCGCAUUUUUUUAGGGGUGGAGAUGCUUUGGUCUGUUACUGUUCACUAGGGUCUAUUACUGUUCACUUGAGUGGAUAAAUGCGCUGGGUGCUGGCACAAAGUCCUUAGGGGUGGACUUGCUCUUGUAAAAACAUAUCACUUGAGGUGAUUAAUUAUACGAACAUAAUCAACUUCUAGAAACUUAAAAUUACAUGAUUAACCAAAAUCAUACUUAGGAAUCUAAGCAAAGAAUCAGAAGAAAUAUGAGAAAAAAGGAAUGGGGAACUUACAAGAUCUUUGAAAAUGAUAAAAGCGAUUACGAAGACAACAAAAGAAGAUUUCGAUCUCGGCGAAUGGAACGAACCGAAAGACCGACUUGACACCCUGAGUCAAUGCGGAUGCAUUUGAAACUCGCUUCGCCACGGCUGCGCGGUCGGGUUGGGCUUUGGAGUCGGAUUUAAUACCAUCGGAAUUAGAUCGGCGAUCAUCCGAUGAGCGAUGGUGGUCAGGUGGUGGUGUGAUUGGUGUCACGGAUGGGUGGAGCCGCGGAGAGCGGGAGGCGGAGGUGGAGGCAGGCAGGUCUGUGUGGACAGUUGGAUCUGGGUGUGGGUGGACGAUGCGGCCUUAGCCUGUAGUCUGGUCGCGAAGAACUUAUGAAGACGAAGAGAAAGGCUUGGAGCUUGGAAGACGGAGAGACCGAAGCGUCGAUGGUGAAGAUUCGAAGACGCAGGAGGGUGAAAAUUUGGUGCCCUCAGCAAUUUUGGGCCCAGGACAGGAGCCCUGUUAGCACUGGGCCAGGGCCAGGCCUGCUCCAAAGUGAAAAAAUGAUGCGAUGCUCUAAUGGCUCUAAUUCAAUGGUUUCUCAUGCUUCUCAGCCUCCCGUGCACUUUGAUUGUUGAUGUUACUCACUCUACUCCUAACGGCAAUGCCCGAAGGGCAUGCAAAAAUCUCUUUUCACUUGGAACAACGCAACAAGCCAAAGCGCGAGAUUUCCCCUACCACAUCGGAUGUUCAUGUAAACAUGCUACAAAUCCUAGUUUGCAGCAAUAUUAUUAGUCCACCACCCAUAAGAUGGAAGGGCACAUUCCAAAGCUCUGGUAGUUUUACUUGCGACAAGUAAAAUCAUUGGGGCACAGUAUUACCGUGCUAAUGGAUUUGACGUAGGUGAUGCCCAAUUUUCAAGAGACACUAUUGAAAAUGAAACUCAUGUUCAUGAAAAGAGAAAUUUUGCAUGAGCUUAUAAGAGGUUGGGCUACUCUCUAUAUUGCUAAUUGGUUUUGUAGUGGAAUCCCAACUUUCUUCAUGGUAUCAGAACAAGUUGUUUCAUGUGUAAAGCCAAAUGGCCACACGGGCUCCAUGUCACCCCGUUGUGCUGUGUACGUGUUAGGCUUGAAAAUUUGCCAAAGGUGAAAUUAGAGGAGGGACCUUGCAUUAGCUUAUAAGAGGUUGAACUACUCCCUAUAUUGCCAAUUGGUUUAAUUUUAAGGUGUGAAAUCAGAGGAGGGACCUUGCAUUAGCUUGUUUUUUUUUAUGAAUGUAUGUAUAGGUAUGGAUGGUGUGGUGUCCGUUUUCCCCAGUGAAAAGAAGAAGCUCCUCACAAGAACGUUAUGGGACUUCAUUGGCUUCCCGGAAAGAGAGUCGAGUAGCAACAAUCUUGACGAAAGCAAUAUCAUUGUAGGAGUGACUGAUACUGGAAUUUGGCCGGAAUCUGACCUAAAAAUGGGAAGGCACUUGACAAUCCUAAGCCAACAUUACUUGUAAUUUGUAUGGCAAACUAGUUUGUUGUCUGUUACUCCAAUCAUCAAUACAUCUAGAAUGUUUUUUAUUAAAUUUGAUCAUGUGAAAUGAUAACUUUUGAAAACAUUAGGAAAUAGGAAAAGCCUAUAGUUUUCAAAUAAGGAUUUGGAUCUCAUCUGGAUCUAAAUUGUGGGGAUCAUAGGGAUCCUCAUAUUCUAACUAUUUAUCGUAUAUCGUGCGAUCAGAAAUCAUUUUGAAUUUUUUAUUUAAAAAUUAAACGUAAAUAGUACUUAACGAAAACUGAUCGCACGUUAUACGAUGAACGAUUAUGAUGUGAGAAUCCUUAGGCCAUCUCCAACCGAAGGGUCAAAAUGGCUGAAAGUACCAAGAUGUUCAAUCUCAAUGACCUUCUCUUUAACUUUGUCUUGAACUUUCAGAUAUUCGAUGUCCAUUAGCCUCAAUGCUUUUGAUCUUCUUUUGGUACCUUGGAACUUUCUUUUAGAUAUUCGAUAUGAUUCAAUUAUUUGUCAAAUGAUUAUUAUUUUUUAUUUAUUUUUUUGAACAAACAAUAUAAUCUACACUAACAGGGAGAGGGUGUGCUUAGCCUCACAAUGGGUUAGCAAUAAUGUGAUUCAAUCAGUUAUUUAUUAAAUAUUAUUUUCUCUAUUUUUAAACACGUUCAAAACAUCUUAAGAGGUGCAUACCACCGAUGAUAAAAAAAAGGUCUUUCGCACGCGCACAAUAAUGUGAUUCAAUCAGUUGUUUAUUAAAUAUUAUUUUCUCUAUUUCUAAACACUUAAGAGGCAUGCAAUGCCGGUUAUAAAAAAGGCAUUUUGCACGCGCAUAACAAUGUGAUUCAAUGACACACCCUGACCCGGAAUGUCCACUAGGACUCCGAAUCGAGCUGUGUUGGUGGAAGGUGAUGAAGCCAUAAAGUAUAGUGAUGUGGAAAAUGUGAAUAAAUUAAAACCUAAAAGUGCCUAAACAUAAUAGUGCAUUGUGAGCGGGAAUGAACCCAUUUCACACGCGACGUCAAAGCAUAAGUAAAGUACAGUAGUGUGGGUAAGGAUCAUACCCUCAGAGGUAGCCACCUAUACUGAGAUUCCCCAAGAGUCCUCGUCGAUACAAACUUUCAGCAGCUAAAACCAGGAGGGGCAAAAAAUAAGGGUGAGUGAGCCUAAAAAUAAAGUUUUAAUAAAAAUCUUUUGAAAACGUUUUAACCCCUCGCUGUAAAACUUGUAUAGUUUCUAGAAAAUAAUACUACGUAUAUAUGUAAAACAAUGCACAAAAACAGUAUAAACCAAGUAUGAAGGUAAAAUAAUAUGCCAGUUGGAGUCACCUAACGUGACCUGUAUGGCUGAACCUAUAGCUCAUCAACCCAUGCCUGCACACGAGUCGGAACCACCUAAUGUGGUCUGUACGACAUGUUGGGUGUAAAUAAGUACGCUCAAGUGCUACGAUCACGUAAAGGCUGUGCGAAUAAUCGCAGGUCACCUAUGAGUCGGAACCACCUAUUGUGGUCUGUACGACAAGGCUGGCAUCAAACUUGGAUCCAAGGUGAACGUGCGGUGCGGGAGGUGAACAUCACGUGAAGGACUGUGCCCUGGCCUCGGGCGGGAGCACUAACACCAGAGUGCAGCAAUGAUGAGCUCUAAAUGCAUCUAUGCAUAACAAUGUGCAAUACAACCAAUACCAUUACAAUAUACUCACCUGAAGCUUACCUAAGCCUCUGCAGCAUCAAACGAUAUAAUGCAUAACAAUAGUAAUGAAAUACUAAAAAUAUAAUUCAUUCAUGACAUGGCAUUCAAAGCAUAGCUCAUAUAAAAAUGUUUCUAGAAACCGUAAAGCAUAUAUAUAAAUACUAUAAAAGGAAGAAGAUCCACUCACUUAGAGUCCGCGUUACAAUUCCCUAGCAUAAACAUCGAGGCAUCAUAAACGAUUGGCGCCUAGAACAAUUAUCAAACCACAUCUCAGAAUCCUUAUCAAUAGAACACGUAACUUGCAUAAAACACAUCCCCAAGGACGUUCUAGAGUGAUUUGAGGCCCAUUGACCACAAGUCAACCGUUGGUCAAAGAUUGACAGUAGGGUCUACAACCCUAGAUAAUUCGAUUUGGAAGAUCCGCACCUCAGAUUUUCCGAUUCGUAACUUCCAAAUAUCCACAUUAUGCUUCUAAAACAUCAUACUAAAUUUUCAUUACAAUCCAACCAUUGGAUCUUCGCCAAUUGCCCAAACCAAGUGGCGGCCAACGUUUUAUUUUACGAACUUACAAAUCCAAUUUGGAAAUACCCACAUUUCGGAUUCCUGAUCUGUAAAUUCUUAUGGUCCUUAAAUAUUACAUACUAUAAUGUACUAAAUUUUGGUGACGAUCUAACGGUCGGAUCGUCGAUUACUGUUCUAAUCAAGUGGUGGAUUUUAAUGGAACUAGGUUCAAACCAUAGAAAUUCGUCAAUCAGACUUCAAAAAUGGAAUCAGGGUAUUCAAAUUUAGCCUAAGAAGGUCAGGAGACGUCUCGGCCCACGCGCUGCCGCACGUGCCACCGCAAGUGGCGGUUGGCCGCCCCGACUCGCAGGAAAAAUCAACUAUUUCUAAAAAUUACCAAAUUUUACAAACAAGUAUAUCUCAGUAAGGGGAACAAUUUUCAUACCUGUGGCCAAGUCCAAUUUGGGCGGGAAGCACCUGAAAUCCACCUUGAUCCGUGAAAACCCUUGAAAUGGGUGUUCUUGACUCGACUCCACACAAGCUCCGACGACUCAACCAUUGCUUAGGCUUUGUUCCUGUAGUUAAGGGGAUUCUAUUGGUGGUGGUGGUCGACAGGAUUAGCUUCAAAUUUUGAUGAUUCGAACCCAAAACCGUCCCCCCUACCGUGCAGGUUCUCCCAAUAUCAAGGUCAAAUCCCUUGAUUUUUGGGGUGUAAUAGGAAGGGGGAAGGUCAUGAAGGGUUUUCCAAGUGGUGGUUUGAUGAAAUUCGCUGGAAAAACGGAUGAUUCACCGUUGAAAAACCUCCCAGAAAUGGGUCGGGUCACGGGUUAAGGGGAGGGUCUGAUUCUCUCUUUCUUUUCUCCCUCAUUUCCUUUCCUCCUGAUUGGCCGGUUCCCUCCCUCAUUUCUCUCAUUUCUCUUCUCUCCUUCUCAUCCCAGCCAUCUAUUUCUUCCUUCCCUUUUCUUUUCCUUUCAUCCCAGCCACACACGUGGCAUUUCACAUGGCUUCAGAUUUUCUGGAGCCUUCUAAAGAAGGUUAAAAUUACCAAAAUAUCCCUAACUUUAUACGUUAAUAUCUCCUUUGUUGUAACUCCAAAUUAUGUUCCGGUUGCGCCCACGCGUUCGUAACGACGAAUACUGCAAGGAUACGUUAAGAAAAUAGAUCUUACAUGACAUGACGAGGCGGUAAAACAAAAUCAACGUAUUUUCCUCAAAGGGCAUUUCCGUACAUUCACUCAUUAAAAUAAAAAAAAAACUAUAAAAUUGGAAAUGGAUCGUUACAUUCAAUUAGUUAUCAAAUGAUCGUUUUUUUUUUUAACAAACGAUAUUAUCUACCCUAAGGAGGAGGAGGUGAGCUUAGCCUCACAAUAGGCUAAUGUCAUUCAAUCAAUUGUUUAUUAAAUAUUAUUUUCUCUAUUUUUAAUGUAAAUUCAAUAGAAUGUAGAUAAAAAUUGAAAGACCGAUUUUAUUAUGUGGAUUUAGCUGCUUUGAUUGGUUUAUGAGGGGUUUCUUAUAGUGUUGUCUAAUAUUAUUCAUUUAGUCCAAAUAUUUGACUUUCUUUUUGUCAUGAAAAUAAAAAUAUUGAAGCAAUUCACGCAUAUAAAUGCAUUUAAAAUGUGUAAGUAGCACGUAGGACACCGUAUUCAAAUAUGCCUUCUGGACGUGUGUAAGCGCUUGCAUUAAGGCUAGUGAUACGAAAUGAAAGGACAAGUUUGAAAAUAAACUAUUCAAUAUUUGUGGUAAUCUUUAUUCAGUAGAAUAUCCAAUAGUUCUCAUUCUCCAAUGCAUCUACCAUUUCAUCUCAAAUACGCUACAAAGAAAGGUAGGCCUACAAAUAACAAUCAGAGGUAGUACAAAAGGUGACCAAAAUAUAGCCACAUCUUCAAUUAUACAUGAAUUAAAAUUUCCACUGAAUGUGUUGACUUCAUGACUUAGUAAUUUAAAGUCUUGGUCCUUGGAAUUAUUAGUUCAUAAAAUACAAUAUUUGUUAACUUGAAGUGCAUGCAUAAAGUUGGAUAAAAUCUAUAUGGUCUUUUAAUCAAUCAGCUGUAGCAAAUAAAUAGACAGUUCAUAAUACUUAAUCUCAGUUGACUACCCUCGAGUUUUUUGGUUUUUGACAUUUGGUACAUCAAAUUUUUUUUCAUCCCAGAAUGGUACUUGAAGUCAUAAUUUAGAGAAACUUUCAUACAUAUGUUAAGGUUAAUGUUAAAUCAAUCGUUGACCAGUGAUGUGAUGCCCACAUGGACAAUACCUGGACGUGUGAUUUACUCGGGAUUUUAUUCGUUUUAAAUGUUGUUUGCCUUAGUCCUUUGGCAUGUGUGAUUUACUUGUUGUGCAUGUGUAAAGUUGGAUAAAAUCUAUAAGGUCGUUUAGUCAAUCAGCUGUGGCAAAUAAAUAGACAGUUCAUAAUACUUUUACUCAUUUGUUUUUAUAUAGUUGAAUGACUUAAUGAUUUCAUAUUUUAUUAUUAUUAUUUUUUAGAUAUGACAUUUACAAAGUAUUUUAUAAUAUGAAUAAUUUUGAUCAUAAACACGAAAUUUCGUGAAUUGAAAACUAAGUAUUUUGAGGAAGUUAAUUUAAUAAAAAAAAUGAUACUAUUGUAUAUAAUGACAAAUAUAGGCAUAGUUGUGGGGAUGGUGGCAACAACAGCAGUGGUAGGGGUAGCGGCAGUGAUGGUAGCGGCAAAUGUGGGGGCUUUGGUUGUGACAAUAAUAGGGUGUGGUGGUUGGGUUGUAGAGGUAAUAGUGGUGGUAGCGGUAGUAGUGACGAUUGUGGUGGUGGUAAUGGUGGUGGUGAUAUAAGGUUAAUUGUUGUAGUGGUAGGUGGUGGCGGUCUUUGUUCUCCGAGGGCAAAAAUAUAUGUAAAAGGAUAAAUAAUGUCAGUUUUCAUUAAUGAGGGUAUUAUAAGAAUUAAAAAAAAAUAUUCAUUAAACGCUUAGCUCCGCUUUUUAUAAAAGCAAGUUUUAAAAGCAACCUAUAUGUUGCUUUUAAAAGCUGUUGACUGGAUGUGACUGUAUUAAAAAUAGGUAUGAUAUAGGUGUAGAGAGUAAGUUAGGUGUAAAAAAAGGUUAUAUGAGUUCAAAUAAAAUUUCUCAUUUGUUUUUGUUAUGAAUAAUGCUAGGAAGACUAAAUUUUUAACAAAAUGCUACUUUUAUCAUCUAAUUGUACCAUCGUUUGUAUCAUAUCUCUAAUAGAGAUGGAACCCAUAUGUGUUGACAGACCUUACCUCUAUUAGAAUUAGAAAGAUGGUACAACUAGGUGGUAAGUGUAACAUUACUCAAUUUUUAAUCAAAUUUGCAAACCAAAUGACGUGUACCAAUAAGAAAUAAGCAUAUUAAUUAACAUUUAACUAAUAAUAACAAUCAUGUCAUUUGGUUAGUAAAUUUGGUUUAAAAAUUUGGUCUUCCUAGCAUUAUCCUUUUGUUAUUGUGCGGUGAUUUGUGGUUUGUGUUAACCUAAAACAAGAUCCAUUUUUUGUCCGUAAUUAAUAUCAAAUCCAAUAGUGAAUGACCAUAUAUUUCUUGGUCACCACAAGAGAACAUUUUUGGAUUUUGGUCAUCCAAAUUUUGUGACACUAGGUUCAAAGUACUCAAUGCCUAAGCUGGAGCAUAACAAAAUCAUGCACAUGGAAGUAGUUUACAUCUCAAAAUACAAGAUUGCAUCAGAUUUAUAUAGACAAGAAAGUCUUUGCAAAUUUAAAGAGAAAAAAAAAUGAGGAGCAAAAAUAUCUGCUACAAGGUAUGGUGGACUUGUAUUUGCACCAUUAGUGUUACAAUCAUAUCAAUUUUAUAUGAUGGCGAAUUUCUUUGGGUUCUUAGUCAUCUCAGCAAAAUUUCGGAUGUCAUUUCGUCUCAAACACUGUACAAAAGAGUAGUUGACUUAACGUAAUUAUUUGAGUCAAAUCUAGGUUCUACUCCUCCAGUUGGCUUGCAAUUUCGUCCUCUGUGCACUUCAUCGUCAUUGUAGCAUCCCCAUGUCAAAAUUCACAUGUAGGACGAUGACUAAUGGUAAAAUGACAAAAGCACAAUAAUUCCCCAUCUUAAAAACAAUUACAAUCAAGAUCAAGUGGCAGAAACACAAUUAAUCAAGAGUGCAUUGCCUUUGUCCCUGUCAAGUCUAGUUUUGAAAAGUCAAUACGUCGAGUUUUUUUUGUCCAACCGUGCAAGUGGGUAAGGGAGGGUCCGCUUUCAUUCGGUUUGGUUUUUUUUUCGGUUUUCAGUCUUUUGAAUCCACCCCUACAAGUGGGUCGAAAUUUCAAUGGUGGUGUUGUCGUAGAGUCUUUUCAUAUGUAACAAGUCUAUUAACUUUACCUGCGUAUGCUCACGCAAACUUUCAUAACACAUCUGUGUGGACAAUAUCAGCCAUUAGAAACAGAUCUUGCAACCAUAUAAAUUUGAACUUUUUUCAUUUAUUUUCUACGCGCAACGAAAUGUCUUUCAUUUGCUCAUUUCUCUUGUUCCUUCAUAUUCUUUCUAUGGUAAUACCGAUCAAUGUCACCGACUAUAUAUUUGGGUGGAGAAAUUUCAAGUCAUGGGACUAAAAACCAAAUUAUAAAAAGAGAAUACCACAAAAUGAGAAAAUUCUUCAAGGACACGUAAUAAUGAAAGAUGCGGAAUGAAUGAAUAAGAUUGAAAAUAGACUAUUCAAUACUUGUGGAAAUCUUUGUACAAUAAAAUAACUAAUGGUUCUCCUUCUCCAACGCAUUUUCCAUUUCAUGUGCUACAAACAAAGGUAGGCCUACAAGUAACUAUCAGAGGCAAUUCAACAAGUGACCAAAACAUGGCCACAUUUUUAAUUAUAUAGGAAUUAAAGUUUCCACAAUUCAAGUGGGAAUGUAUUGACUUCUUUAAACUCUGGUCCUUGAAAUUAUUAGUUCAAAACAUACAAUAUUUGUUGACUUAUCGUGCAUGCAUAAAGUUGGAUAAAAUCUAAUACUCAAUAUUUAUUAUCCGUUUUAAAUGUUGUUUGCCUUAUAGCCCUUUGGCAUGUGUGUGGUUUACUUGUAUUGCAUGCGUAAAGUUGUACAAAAUAUGUAAGGUUGUUUAAUCAAUUAGCUGUAGCAAAUAAAUAGACAGUUUAUAAUAUUUUUAUUUGUUUGUUUUUAUAUAGUUGAAUGACCAAAUGAGGCCUUAGUGUUACAAGUUUACACCAAGGGUGGAGAGAAUAAAUUUGUUAUAUUUACACCUUUUUCUUAAUACUUUUUCUUUAAUACUUUUUGAAUUCCUUGCUAUAUUUACAUCAAGGAUUGAUGAGAAUGAAUUGAUUACAAAAUCGUAAUACACGAUUCGAACCUAAAUUUUCUUUUAUUUCAAGUAGAGAAAAUGGAGCUUUAUAUAUAGAGACAAAAAACCUUCACUAUAUUUCAAGGAACUCCACUAAUUUUUAAACAUGUUAAUGAGAGACAAAAAUAUUAAAAAAAAAUAAACCCCAUCUCAAUAACAUGGAACAAUGCUUUAAAAUAGCAAUCAUACCUUUGAAGCUUUAGGGUUGUUAAUAGAACACAACCCUCACAAUUCCAACAAAAUUAAUAUGUGACAUAAACUCAACUCAUCAUCAACUAUUUCUGCAGAAUCAAUUUUGAAACUAUAUGUAGAAUCAGUUUGUAUCCUUUAUUACUAGAAAUAGUUUACUAUGUCCUCGAUCAUUUUUGCAGAAUCAGUUCAACCCGUCAUCGACCAUUUUUGCAGAAUCAGUUCAACUCGUUCUCGUCUAUUUUUGCAUAAUUAGUUCAACCCGUUCUCGACCAUUUUUGCAGAAUCAGUUUAACCUGUGGUCGACCAUUGUUGCAGAAUCAGUUCAACCCGUCUUGGUCAUUUUUGCAAAACCAAUCCAACUCGUCCUUGACCAUUUUUGCAGAAUCAGUUCAACCCGUCCUCGACCAUUGUUGCAGAAUCAGUUCCACAUGUUCUCGACCAUUUUUGCAUCAUCAGUUCAACCUAUCUUUGACCAUUUUUUCAAAAUCACUUCACCAUUUUUGUAGAACCAGUUUAACUUGUCCUCUGUCAUUUUUGCAAAAUCUGUUUAACCCGUGCUCGACCAUUGUACAAAAUCAGUUUAACCCGUCCUCGAUCAUUUUUUGCAGAAUCAGUUCAACCCGUCAUUGAUCAUUUUUGCAAAAUCAGUUCAACCUUUGAGUGCAAAUCUUAACCCUAAAGCCGAAAUCGCAUACGGUGUUGGCCUAAUAAAUCCUAGUAGGGCUCCGUAUCCUGGUUUGGUAUACGAUGCUGCUGAAAUCGAUUAGGUAAAUUUUUUGUGUGCACAUGGCUAUAGUACCAGAUUAUUGAAAGCUCUUAACGGGGAUAGCUGCUCAUCAUCACAAUCUAAUCAUGGAACACUCAGUGAUCAUCCAAACUAUCCUUCUGUUGCACUUUCCACCUCAAACCCUAAAUCCGUCAAUGGCAUUUUCAAAAGAACCGUCACAAAUGUUGGAUCACCAAAGUCCACAUAUAAAGCUAAAGUGAGUGCACCACCAGGACUUGAAAUCAAAGUUAAUCCAAGCAUUUUAAAGUUCACAUCUCUCGGGCAGAAGCUAUCGUUUAGUCACGGUGAAAGGGUUGAUUGAAAAAACCAUAGUCUCUGGUUCUCUGGUGUGGGAUGAUGGUAAUUUCCAAGUGAGGAGCCCCAUUGUUGUGUAUUUUGUGUUUUGAGAAUAAGGUAUGUGUGGAGCCAAAAAUAAUCAUAAGGGGACAUGUGGAUCUUUGGAUAUAAAAGCACAAAAAUACCCUUGAGGCAUAUCAGGAUUCCUACGCGCGAGCAGCGGACAAUCAUCCCUCAACCAAGUCAAAAGUGCCCAAAAUAGGUAUUUAUUCAAAACUUAUUUCAUCCAUCUUCUCCACAAGGUAACCCCCAAAAAAUUCCUUUUAAAUUAUGUUAAUUGGCUAAUUAAUGGAUUUAUUACCCAAUUAAUCUAUUAAUGGCCAAUUAAACUACCAAUUACACCAAAAAAACACACAAGAGGUCGGUCACCUUCUCUUCCAAGGGAACUGGUCAUGCCUUAUAUAUUCUACCUCAUUUUCUCUAAAAAGCUAAGUCUACACUCUUACUAAAUACUCAAAAUUCUCCAAACACUUUUCCCUCAAAAUUCUAACUUUGGCAUCGAAGGUUCUUCGGCCAAAGCCCCCCUCUCCCAAAUUCAUCGUGGGCGCGUGAGGCUUUUGGCCUUGACCUAAGGUGUUAUUUGUUUUGUAGGUGCAAUUUUGUCCAAGAUCAAGGAGGAAGAAAUAUGCAUCGACAAAUUGGUGCUUUCAUUGAAAGUUGAGUCACACACUCGUAGAAGACUCUUGCAUCAAGGUUUUUUCUAUUUUCUUAUCCAUUUGUAGAUUUUUCGUACGUUUUUAUUAUUAGAUUUUUUUUAUUUGAAAAAAUUCUUUGAUAAAACGUAAAAGAGAAGUACAAUGACAAGAAAUUUAGAAAAUUCAACAAGUGAAAAUUACAAUAUUCAAGAAAUAGGACUGCGGUGAUCCACGAGGCUAAAUGUGACAAUAAGUGGAGCGGCACCACCACCACGGUGAGGUCCAUAGUGUCACCACCACGGCCUAAGCCGUGCCAUCCAAGGCUCACGGCACCAAGGCCACAACCCAAGCCAUGUCACUUCAUGCCCAAUGCGAGCCCAACACGUUGCCAAGCCGAGCCUAAGCCUCGUACCCGCGUGCAUCACACGACUAGCAGCCCACUCCCGUGGCCCAUCCUGCUUUCAUAGCCCAGCUUGUUCCCGUGGUGUCCCAAGCAGCCCAAGUCAGCCCAAGACUAUCUCAACCAUCUGGACCUACCAUCGAAUCGGAGGCAUUCUCACCACAUUUCUCCGCAGAUUUGACAUUUUCCAACUCAAAUCUCGUGCCCAAAGUCUACCACCCUUCCACUGCUCAAUAAGGCACAUUCCUUCCAAGCUCUUCCAAUUCGAAUGACGAACAACACUUGUCCCGACAAGUCAUAGAGUUGACGAGCGCCCUUGCACAACAGACGACCUUGAUGAAUCAGUUCUUGCAACACACCGAGAUCCAAUGCGCCCUAGAUGAGGUGUCAUGAAGUAGGACAAGGGCAGACGAGGAACCUUUCAACAGCGUCCCGGCAAGCAGCCACUCAACCAGGCACGAACCGAGCAUUCGGGCAGUUUACACUUCCUAUUGGGCCCCCGAGAUAGCGUAUACUCCCGCCUUAGCGCGUGAAUGAGUGUGCACUCUCGACUAAGCCCAUAGACAAGUAUACACUCAUGGCUGGGACCACACACUGAUGAUCAACAUGAGCAGCCUUCCAGGCAAAGCGUUCAUUCGUUGCUAAGCCCACAAGAAAGAGCUUCCACAUCUCAUCGGAGUAGGCAACACGGCGGACAGAGAGAAGUAGUCACUCAAUUUGGCUCAAGUUCAACUGGCAGCCUGCAAAGAAUUCCCCUGCCUACUAGGAAUGAACCACAUGCAAUACCGCCAUAACAUGGACAAGCCGAGAACAUAGAAGAGCAACCUAGACCAGCAGGUCAAGAACGAGAGCAGCCGAGAGCUCCGCUACCCCAACAAAAGCAAAUCCAAAAAGAGGUAAAAAAGACUCAUCAACGAAUGAUUGUGUGAUUUUCAAUGCAACAAAGUGGCCGAUGAAGCACUACAGUGAGAUAUAACCAACAUGAGCAGCUUACCCUUUAUGGAUGAGAUUGAGCAGGCAAAGCCUCCACAUAAGUUUAGCAUGCCACACUUCACAUCUUUCAAAAGAGAUGGAGAUCCGGAGAAGCACAUGAAGCACUACCGAAGUGCGAUGGUCCUUUAUCAGAACAACGAUGCCAUUAUGUGCAAAAUAUUUACCACUACUUCAAAGGCGAGGCGCAAGAGUGGUUUCACACCUUGCCACCAAGAUCUAUCCGAAGUUUUGAUGAUAUUUCCUUGGUUUUCACCAAAGAUUACUCAUCUUAUCGUUCGAUCAAGAAAAAGUCCGACCACUUGUUCAAUGUGAAGAAAAACCCAAAGGAGUCACUUUGCGAUUACGUGAAGAGGUUCAAAGCAGAGAAGGCAAAUAUCGUCGAAUGCGACGACUCAAUAACAAGUACAGCCUUCCAAAAAUGACUCCCAGCAGACCACCCACCGUUCGAAGAAAUGAUCAUGAAAUAAGACUUAACUCUAGCAGACUCUUUUGCUUUGGCAGAGAAGCAUGCACUUUGGGAUGAGGCUCGACGAGCAGACAAGGCACCCGAGCAGCCUCGAAAAGAGUCGGCAGUGGCUUAAAGAAAGGAGGACGGGAAGUAGUCCAGCAAAAGCAAACAGGAGGCCAAACGUAAGGACCGACCCACGACCAAAGAAAGCUUGACGACCAAGAACUACUCUAAGUUCUCAAUUCUGAUCCAUCAAAUCUUUCACAACAUAAAAAACGAGCCAUUAUUCAAGUUGCCGAAACAAUCAAAGGGAUAUACUUCUAAGUUGGAUCACACCAAAUACUGCGCAUUCCACCAAGGUCUUGGUCACACAACCGACGACUGCUACACUUGGAAGAACUCCCUAGAGAAGCUCAUGAAAGAAGGCAAGGUCGAUAGAUACUUGGACAAGCUAGUUGCGCAGCCUAGAAGGAAUGUAGACAAUGACGAGAAGCCGUCAACCAAGACGAUUUGAGUUAAUGGUAUCUUCGUCGAAUUCGAACACUUGGGGGCCACCAACAACUCUAAAAAAAAGAAAGUUCCAACAGGCUCUACUAGUCUCACAGGUUCAAACAGUCGACACCCAACCUAGACCCAUGAUUGGCUUCACCGAGCAGGAUGCAGAAGGCGUCAAUUUCCCACACGAUGACGCACUAGUAGUAUCUGUCCAACUAGACCAUGCUAUAGUUGAUAGAAUGAUGGUUGACAAUGGAAAUGCAAUUAACUUACUUUAACUCUUAGUCAUUCAGGAGAUGAGCCUGAAAAACACAAUCAUACACCGAGCAGAGGUACUCACCGGAUUCAACCGGCACACCUCAACUAUCAUUGGUCACAUCACACUUGACGUAAAAACACCGCCAGUUGUCUCAAAACAGACGUUCACGAUCGUAAGUGACCUAUCUCCCUGCAAUGGGAUUCUUAGGAGACCUCGGUUGAUUAAGCUGGACGCCGUCACUUCCGUCAAGUCUAACCAGGCCGCACUCUGACGAUGUACUAUGCAAGUGUUGAAUGAAUCAAAGAAGAAGGCCUUUACCCCCGUGGAGGCUACCGAAGUCCAAAGGGACGAAGAGGCUACUAAAUAACAAUUACAGUAAGCGGAUCAAGAAUGUGGUGCCCAAGCAGACAAGAUAGGAUGGAAAUCUGAAUAGGACAUCGAAGACAUCAUUCUUGAUCCCCAGCAGCCAGAAAAGAUAGUUAAAAUCGGCUCACGUCUAAGCCCAGCCGAGAAGGAAGAACUCACGGCUUUCCUUAGGGAAAACCGAGACAUCUUUGCAUGGUCAUCAUCAAACAUGCCUAGCAUCGACCCCGAGGUAGCUUACCACAAGCUGCACGUCAACCCUGCUACCAAACCGGUAAUCCAAAAGAGAAGACAUUUUGCACCCGAACGAGUAACGAUCAUUGAGGCAUAAAUUGACAAGCUACUGGAGGUCGGAUUCAUUGAAGAGGUAGCACACUCAGCAUGGCUUGCUAACAUCAUGCUAGUCGUAAAGAAAGAGAAGAGCAAAUAGAGGGUUUGCGUAAACUACAUCAACCUCAACAAAGCAUGCCCAGGAUAUCCUUAUCCGCUUCUCCGGAUUGAUCUAUUGGUAUAUUCGACUUCUGGAAACCAGCUACUCAGCUUCUUGGGUGCAUGCUCUGGCUACAACCAAAUAGCCAUGUCGACCGCGCAUCCAACUACAAAGGCUCAAGGGUAGGCGUGGUCAUUGUCACCCCAAACGGUUCAAUCACAAUUCAUUCCGAUUCCCAGCUAAUCACCAGCCAAACUACUGGGGAGUACACGGCAAAACAUCCAAGGAUGACGUAGUACCUAGAGAAGGUAUGCAAGCAGCUUGAGGCAUUUUAGACUUACACUCUCACUCAAUUUCUACGGGUAGACAAUGCCCACACAGAUGCGCUAGCCGGCCUAGGCUCUGCCCUCGACCAUCAACUCAAAUACUCUGUUCUAGUGGAAUAUCUAGACAAGCCAAGCAUAACGACGAAGCCGACAGCCGAAGUGUCACAAGUUAGUAUAACUCCUAACUGGCAAAGUUAUAUUAUAUACUACUUGGUCAACGACACACUCCCCCCAGAAAGAUUGGAGUCUAUGAAGCUCCAAAUCAAGGCAGCACGCUACUAAAUGUGGAACGACAUUUUCAUCCGAAGAUCCUACACCAAACCACGUCUCUGCUACCUAGUGCCUCCCGAUGAGUUGAAGGUUCUAAGCUCAAUCCACGAAGACGUUUGUGGAAAUCACUCUGGAGGUCGAUCCUUAGCACAUAAUGCUCUUAACACAGGCUACUACUAGCCUACCAUGUACCAAGAUGCUAAGGAGUUAGUACAAAAGUACGACCGUUGCCAACGCUACAAGCCGGUACCAGCACUGCCUGCCAGCAAGCUAUACCCACAGACGAGUCCUUGGCCAUUCAUGUAGUGGGCAAUCAACCUGGUAGGACCUAAGCCACCUGCUACUGGGGGCAGAUGCAUGAUGAUCGUGGCAACUAACUACUUCACCAAAUAGGUAGAAGCAAAGCCUAUGACAACCACAACUCAGACGGACAUAGAGCGCUUCAUAUAGAGGAACAUCAUUUACCGAUUUGGCAUCCCUCAGUCUAUCUUCACCAACAAUGGCCCGCAAUUUUUGGGUAAAGAUUUGGUGAAGUUUUUCCAAAUGUAUGGCAUCAAGCAGCACAUGUCCACCCCAAGAUAUCUUCAAGGCAAUGGGCAAGUUGAAGCAUCUAACAACACGAUCGUCGACUUCCUCAAGAAAUCCCUCAUGGACAAGAAAGGAAAAUGGCCAGACGAACUCAUGGGCUUAUCACAUCACCAAAAGAUGAGCAACUGGUGAGACACAUUUCUCUUUAGCAUUUGGUUCGGAAGCAAUCAUUCCUCCCAACAUGUUAUGAACGAGACUUUAGUCGGAACCUUCCUGAUUAAAAACAAAGAUCGAAAAACUUCGGUGGAGACAUUUGCAAAUAACUACGUAAACACAUGAAAAAUAUCAGAGUAGCAUCAAGAAUCGGUGGCAUAAAAAUCUUUACGCACCCACUUGUUCCAGAUGUUGGCACAUGAUCAUGCAUCGAUAGAUAUAUGUAUGGACAAUGGAUGCCCUACCUUGCAAAUUAUGCCAAGAACAACAAUCGAUCGAGUGACCAGCGGUGGGACUUGGGAGAGCUAGGAAUAUUAGCAAGCUGCAUUUUCUCAAUUCCCACUCUCACUUGUUUGAGCAUACCAACUAAUAUGCUUGUUUCUUGACUUAUGGAUGUAUCCAAAGUUCAAUAUGGAUGCAUGACAUGUGAUGUAGGUCAGGAGGUUUUUCUUCUUUUCAAAAGUAGUAUAUGUUGGAAAAGUUAGACAUGGAAUUGAUACCAGAGUUAAUAUGCUUUUGUACCGUCAUUCCCUAUAACCAAGGAAGAAAAAAUCGAUAAUAUCAGCGAUAUUAUCGUUUUUUUUUUGUCCGAUAUUUUUUUAACUAUCCAAAUGGUUUUGUCAAAAUAUCGCGAUAUUAUCGAUAAUAUCGUGAUAUUUUCGAAACUAUCGUGAUAUUUUGGCACUGUGCUAAUCGGAGAAGAACGCCGGAGCAAAUUAACCGAAUCCCUAAAUCCCCAAAUUCGAAUUCAAAGCAAAUUAACUGAAUCCCUAAAUCCCCAAAUUCGAAUUCAAAGCAAAUUAACUGAAUCCCUAAUUCCUAAAUCCUUAAAUUCAAAUUCAGUACAAAAAUGAAAUUACAUGCAGAAAAUUCGAAUUUUGUACAAAAAUGAAAUUACAUGUCGAGAAGAAGAGAAGUAGGAGCCUGGGAACGUCGUCUUCCUCACGAAUCCAAGAUGGCUGGGACAACGUCGUCCUCCUCAUCGACGACUACGAUGAGUUCCGGUCCAUCAUUUGGUGUCCGCUGCCUCGCUCAGUUUCUCCACAACCAUUGAUUUGCGAUGACGCGAUAGUUACGACUCGACGACUGGGACUAACGACACGGCUUCUCCAUGGAACAAGGUUGUUUACAAGGCGGUUAUGGAGUGGCGUCGACGGCUAGGUUUAGGGCGGGUGAGAUGGGAGGAGCAGAGGGAAACGCGGACGAGGAAGAUCGAGAGAUGGAUCGAGAUUCGAGAGAUGAUGUCUGUGUGUGCAUGUGGAAGAACUGGAGAAGGGGGAAGGGAGAAGACUGAGAAAAGAGAAUGAAGGGAGAAGACUCAGAAGAGAGAAGAGAGAGAAGGAAGGAUCGAGAGAGAGAUUGAGCCCAGUCUCUGUGUGCGUGUGUGGUGUGGUGUGGGGGGUCUCGAAGUGCGUGUGUGGUGGAAUGUGAGUGUGACUCACUCUUUAACUGUCUGUGUGUGUGGUGGCGUGUGAGAAAAAAAAAAGCAUCUUGAGUGUGACUCACAAUGUUUGCCAGCUCGCUAUAUAAUCAACUUGAUAAUGUUAAAUUCAUCAUGCAAUGCAUUUCCUUCCAAUUUUUUGUGAUAAACUAAUAGAUAAUUGACUAAAUAAAUAUCCUGCAAAGUUUCAAUAAAAAUUUCCAAGUUUUUCUUACAAUUUCCGUGGUUUCCAUGUAAUUUUUAUCGAUAUCGAUAUUAUCCCGAUAUUUCCAUCGAUAUUUCCAUGUUUUUGGACUACCGAUAUUUCCGAUAUUACCAAUAUUUUCUUCCUUGCCUAUAACCAAAAAUUCCUUAUUGUCAUUAAAAAAAAGAGAAUUUUUUAUUUCUAUUAUUAUAUUUAAUUAGUCUCUUGCUACAUUAAAUAAAAGUUAUUAAUACUUCCAUAAGAAAGCUUCAUUAAUUUGGUAAAAUUUUACAUAUAGUUAUAUAAAUGUAUUUAAAACUUAUGAUACAUUUGAAAAUAAACAUACUGAUUUUGGGUAAGUUUAGAUUUUAAAUGAACUAAUAAACAAAUGUACCAUAAAACUAAAGUGUAAAUUGUAGUUAUGGUCCCUUAACUUUAACUCAAUUGGAGCAAUGGUCCCUCAACUCAUCAAAAUGUGCAGCUAUGGUCCCUCAACUAAAAAUCCAUUACUAUUGGUCCCUCAACUUUAAUUCAACUGGAGAAAUGGUCCUUUAACUUUAACCCAAUUGUAGCAAUGGUCCUUCCAACAUAACUCAUUUUGACAAAAAAUCUAAUGCAGUUGACGAAAAUGACCAUAAUUACACACUCUGAUGAGUUGAGGGACCCUAAUUAUAUAAAUGGUUCUUCCAACAUAACUUAUUUUGACAAAAUUUUGACAAAAUUGAUGAAAAUGAUUAUAACUAUACAUUUUGAUAAGUUGAUGGACCAAUGGUAAUGGAUUUUUAGUUGAGGGACCAUUGCUCCAAUUUGAUUAAAGUUGAGGGACCAUUGCUACAAUUUACUUCUAAAACUAAAAUUACCCAUAUUUUAGGUAAUCAAUUGUACCAAUACAAUCAAACGAUCAUACAAUCAAAUGUACCUUUACUAUGAUUAUGUAUGUGAUAAUGAGUUUUGAACCUUCUAUUUAAUUCACUAAACCAAAUAUUAUAAUAAACAAUAAAAAAUCUAAAAUCUCCAGAACGAGAGAUGCAUAUAACUAUAACAGAUUCAUAGGUAAGGAAUUAUAGGGUAAAAAGGAAAACGAAAGUAAAGAUGUAAUGUGAAAUUUUUUAGGGUGGCUAGCAAACAAUUUCACGAAAAUAAAGGUAAAAAGAAAAAGAAAAAAAGGAACGUUUAAAAUUGAACUUUUAAUAAAAUGAAAUUAAGCACCAAAACUGUACGAAAAAUGUUUAACCAAAUUCUUAAAAGUAAUAGAAGUUUAAUCACCAAAAUUGAAAAACAAGGCAUUUAUAUCAAAACGCCCCCAAACUAUGUAAAAUAAUCAUGGGAACACAAACCAUACCCCUAAGAAUAAAGAGAAAUUGCAACCCGUGAAAUGCAUGGCUUUUCAUUUUUAGUAUAAACAGGGUUGUUCUGAAAUUUCGGGGAUCCUGUGCAAAUUUAUAAAAGGGCCAUUCUUAAGAUAAUCUUAAAAAAAAAUUAAAAAAAAAUUUGAACUUCGUGGUUGUUUUUCUUUAACAAAAAACCUAUCAAUAACUCGUUUUUUAGACGAGUAAAUUGUUCAACUUUUUUUUCUUUGGCGUUUCAAGUAGCCACAUAAAUAUUUUUUAGUAGGUGUCAUCUUUUAUAUCUCAAACAAUAUCAUAAUUAAAUUAUACUAAGUAUAUACAAUAAAACCUGAUAGUUCGCAAUGCAUGUGCAUCUAGUGGUUUUUGUUUACUGCUCCCCUCUUGCUAUGACAAUUACUUGAUUGAUUUUUAUGAGUUUUGCCCUAAAAAGUACAAAAGGAAAAAAAAUAUCAUUAUUAAUAAAAAUACCUAAAUCUUCUAAUUCCAACGUAAUAUACUUGAACUAGUAAUACCUUAUUUUAAUCGAAGUCUACACCACUAUGACCACUUCAAUUGUCUUCGUGAUUUGGACAAUUUUCUUCAAUGACAGGAAAUUUUGAAUUUAGGGUUUAAUGGUCUAUGUAAAAAAAAGUAGUGAGGAUGGGAGAUACAUGGGAAGUGGGAGAGGGGGUGUCUCGAUGAGAGAAAGAAGUGGACCAUGACUCUUGGAGUGAGAAUUGAGAAACAUUGUGAGGAAUAUCAUUAUUUUAUAAUUUUUAUAAAAUUUCUUACAAUUUGAUGACUUAUGUAGGCAUUCAUGUAGCUUGUGGCUUGUGGGCCCACUAGGAUUUUUAUAACUUUUAUUGAGUUCUGAUUAGCCUUUUUAUUUAUAUAAAUAAUAUAAUAUUAUUUCAUAGGAUAUCCGAUUAGAUAUAAACUAUUUUGGCCUCUUAAAUUUUGUGGCCCUGUGCCAUUGAACCGAUAGCUCCCCCUCAAUGCCGGCUCUAAGUAUAAAUACAUGAUGGUGUUCUUGGAUGAGAUUCUCCAUCUUUUACAUGCUUUCUAGAACUUCGCUACAAUGGCUUUAACCCCAUGGUUUCUCCUUCUCAUCAGCCUCAUAUCUACUCUGCCAGUUGAUGUCACUCUAUCUGCUGCUCACCAGGAUACCCGGAAGGCAUUCAUAAAAUAUGCAUUUUGAACAAUUCCGUUUCUCUGCUCUAAAUAUGUUCAUUAAUUAAUUUAAUCUUCUGAUCUUGGAUAUAUUAACUGCAGGAUUAUAUUGUGUAUAUGGGUGACAAGCCAAAGCCAGAGGUUUCCACCACUACCACAUCAGCUCUUCAUGUAAACAUGCUACAAAACGUCAUCGAUGACAGGUUUAAUUAAUUAUCACAUAUGAUAGUGAGCUUAAUUAUAUAUUCUGAUCAGUGUUUUAAAAUACUCGCAUCGAGGGCCUUAGAGUAUGGACGGGUGGCUUGCCGUCUCUAUUUUGUGGGAGUCGGCGAAAAACUCACAUAGCUUCGUCGGGGCGUGCCUCAGGACGUUUGAUUGGGCGUCAGUUUUGUAUAAAGGUUGUCGAAAUCUGAAAAAAAAAUUUGAUUGAAAUCUGGGUUUUGUUUUCAGUUGCAUAGCAGUCUGAAGAAGAUGAAGACGCCAACUUGUAGGCUGAUUUUUCUUUUCUUUUUUUUUUUAUUAUUUUUUUCACUUUAUUAACCGCUGUUAAAUCAUAUCUUUUAGCAUAUUCUAUUUUUUAAGUUUUUGUUUUUUAUAUUAUUUUAUAGAUAUUAAAAAAAAUAAAAGAUAAACAGAAAGAAAAUAUUUUUAUACUUUUUAUGAAGUAUAUAGACCUAAAAAAACCUCAAAAGACCCUAAAAAACCUCAAAAUAUAUCUUUACUUUUUAACGUUAUAUAUUACCCUUUCCUUUUCUUUUUAAGACUCCACAUCCACAUAUCUCAUCAAAAUAUUAUGUAUAUGUAUGUAUGUAUUGUAUAUAUAUUAAAAAAUUUAAGUUCCAUGAGAUUUCGCCUCAAGGCUUUCGGCUAGGCAGAGCUAUCCAUAACACGCCUCACCUACGCCUUCGCCUUUUAAAACAUUGAUACUGAUUAACAUUAUUCGUGACAAGGGUACCAUUUAAUUUAGUCAUCUCUCAUACAUACACAUCUUCUCUUUGUUUUUCAAGCUUAAUUAUCGCAGAGUUUGAAAGUGUCAAAUUUUUGAAGAUUUUGAUUUUUGACGUUUAUUUAUCCAGCAAUAUUGCGCACGAAUCUCUGCUUCUGCACAGCUACAAGAGAACCUUCAAUGGCUUUGCUGCCAAGCUAACAGAGGAAGAAGCACAGAAGUUGGCUGGUUGUCUUAUGAACCCAACUUAAUUUUAUUUUUCAACUUGAAUAAACAUUAAAAGUGACCAUUGUAUGACUUGAAAAAUAUAUGCAGGAAUGGAUGGUGUGGUGUCAGUUUUCCCUAGUGAAACUAAGAAGCUCCAAACAACAAGGUCAUGGGACUUCAUUGGGUUUCCUGAAAUGGUGAAGAGAAGCGCCAUUGAAACUGAUAUCAUUGUCGGGGUAAUUGACACUGGAAUUUGGCCUGAAUCUGCCAGCUUCAGUGACGCCGGGUUUGGUCCACCCCCCAAAAGGUGGAAAGGCGCAUGCAAGGGCGAAGGCAAUUUUACUUGCAAUAAGUAAAGCAAACCAGUUUAUUUCAACCAUCCACUGCACAUUUCAAAAUAAAAAAAUAAAAAUUCACGUGUUGUUGUUAAUUACACUUGGACAGAAAAAAAAAGAAAAAAAAAGUGCGAACUUGAUUAUAAUUUAUAUGAUAUGUUGUCAAAUUGUAACUCUGACUAAAAUAAUGACAUAUUUGUUACACUUGGACAGUAAAAUUAUCGGAGCACGGUAUUACCGCAGUCAACCCUCCCCCCAAAAUAGCAGUGAUGUCAUGUCUCCGAGGGACACGGAAGGCCAUGGAACCCACACUGCAUCAACAGCAGCAGGGAACUUAGUUAGCAAGGCAAGUCUGUAUGGUUUAGGGUUGGGGACAGCAAGAGGAGGGGUGCCAUCAGCACGCAUUGCGGUGUACAAAGUUUGUUGGUCAGACGGGUGCCCGGAUGCUGAUAUUCUAGCGGCAUUCGAUGAUGCCAUAGCUGACGGUGUUGACAUACUCUCUGUCUCCAUUGGGGGGUUUAAACCGUAGAUUAUUUCAGAAAUUCCAUUGACAUUGGAGCUUUUCACGCUUUAAGAAAAGGAAUAUUCACUUCCGCGUCUGCUGGUAAUCAAGGUCCAAACCUGAAAACCAUUACAAACUUUGCACCAUGGUCUCUUGCUGUAGCUGCUAGCACCAUAGAUCGCCACUUUGAUACCAAGGUUCAAUUGGGAAACCACAAAAUUUAUGAGGUAAUUGAUACAGAAUCUAACCUUUGCUCAUUUAGGGCUUUGUUUGGCAGUGAUCCUGGUUGGGCAAUAUAUAAUCACUUAUGGAGAAUCAACAAUAUAUAUGCUGAAGAUGCACCAAAAUACUAGAGAAGUGAUUAACAUGAGAGUUGAUUAUGAUUUGUUUUUGCUUCCUUAAUUGGUAGGGAAUAGUAACAAACACAUUUGAACUCAAGGGUAAAUUCUACCCCAUAGUAUAUGCUGCAGACGUUCCAGAUAGGGCAGCAGGUUUCGAUGGGGAAAUUUCCAGGUAUGUGUACGCAUUUUGAGAGUAUAUAUUGUAAGAACUUGUAAACAAACAAACACCAAGACCAAAACAUGAACCACAAACAAAAGGAAACCAACCCAGUUAUGUGCACAUAAAUAACCAGAAAGGAAAACAUACCUGCAGCUGCACCAGAACUCCUAGCCAUUGCAGCAAACUUUCAGUGAUCCUUCUCUUCUCUUGCAGAUUGUCAAGAGCUCGACUCACAGAUAGGUUAUGGUCCAAUAUGAGCGUUAGUUCUAUGAGAAGAGAGGUCACUGUAUAUAUACAUAUAGACUUCACCAAAAUAGAUCAGGAUUUCCUAUCAAAAUGCUCAUCGGAAACAAACACUUGUUUCCUGAUGCUAACCAAAAUCCUUUUCAGUCAAGGAUCAGCAUUCCUUUCAUCAAUAGGACUUUCUAUCCAAAUUGAAUACCUAUAACCGGUCCUAAUACUUCUCUAUCUCAUACUCAUAUUCUUACAUUCUCCCACUUGAGUAUGAGAACAAUUUCAAGUACUCAGUUUAUCCAAUCAUACUUAGAUAGAAGUAAUCACUAACAGAUAAUCAUCUCAAAUUAUUAUAAAGGUGAUCACAUAAUUAAGUCAUUCACCAACACACAAGUACAUAGACACAACCAGCUUACAUAAACCAAAACAAUGAAUGUAUAAUUGCCUCUGCAACACAAAAUACAGAUUUAACUUACAAAUCACAAUGUCCAGUUCAUGUUCAUAGCAAUGUAUCUAAGCUCAAAAGUAAACCAAGACGUCUACUCCCACUCAUAAAGCCACCAAAUCUUUUGGAUAACAAAAGCUUAACCUCACAUACAACUUACCCAUGCAUUUUAAAGUAUUGAACUUAAGAAUUUUUUCUGUUACAUCGCAGAAUUAAUUCAAAAGUCACAACAUACUUAAUUUGCACUUUGUAAUUAUGUGAACCAAUAUAGCAAAAACCAAACCAAUUUGCUCCCACUUAUCUAGGAUAUACUUAACACAAACAAGUUAAGUAUAAGUUAAUAUCAACUGUAUUAACUAACAGUCAUUGCAAUACACUGAAUGUCUUAUCAAUGUGAUCAAUUGCCGCAACCAAUGCAAACAAAUUCCAUGAUCACAUUCAUCCAAUUUGUAUUUACAACAAUGUGAUUUUACUUGACCAGAACAAACACAUAAAUUGAUUUGCUCCCACUAUAUCAAGUUAAGUUUAGUUCCAGCAAAUAGCACUAAACUUCUCAUUACUUAAACAAAUUAAGUAACAUAAAUAAUUACCAAUUGCUUCAAUAAAACCAUAAUCUGGUUUUCAAGCAUCCAAAUGAAUUAUAAUGGCCGGCCUAAAUAACCUUAUGCUUACAUUCGAACAUAUGAUUCUCCCACUUAAGCAUAAGCAGAAUGUACUGCACAACCAAUAAAGAAACCGGAGAUAUGAACCAAUUGAUUCCCGAUUCCUUACCAAUUGCAUAAUCUCAGUUUAGUCAAAUACACCUAAACCAUUAUGCAAACAGUCUAUGUAUCAAAAGAUAGUCACAAUCCAUUCGAUUUGAUCCUAACUAGUUUCAACAAUAAUCAAAAUCAGAAUAGCAAGCACAAUAUUCUUGCAUUCAAUUUGAUCCUAACUAGUUCAAUACCCAUCGAGCAAGAUCAACUAAAAUUUGAUAAUGUCUGGAUAUAAAGGCACAAGUCAUCUUGAUUAAAACAAGAUAAUCAAGAUGAUCAUCCAAUAAAAUUUAGUGUACUUACAGAUUUAAUACAUAAUAUCAAAUCUCUUACACUUACAAUAUAUCAAGUGAGAUGAGUUUCAGAAUACAUUCUUGCCAACAAGGUUUCACUAAACAAUUUAUACCAUUUCAUACAGGUACUAACACAAGAGCCUUCACAUGUUUUUGGUUAUACAGUGCACAUAUUGGCAUUAACGAACCCAAAAAUUCCGAACUACAUCAUUCACAUAUAUGGCAACACCCCCAAAACCUAUUAUAUAUAGUCUAACCAAAAUUGGGAUAUGAAUUACACUCAUAAUUUUAAAAACGUCAUUAUGGAUACCCGUAUAAUCCAAUUUUGCUUUUCUAGAAUAAUUCAAACCAAUUAGACCCACAUAAAAGCCACAGGUAUUUGGUAGCAACAAUAAGUCAAAUUCUAUUAUCAUAAUUCAUAAUGGAAAAUCAUGAUGCAAGCUUCCAAGUUUCAAGCAAGUUAAUGAGAAACCUUACAUUUGCUUGAGACAACAAAAUAGCAACAAAACAAUAUUUUCCACCCAAUCUAAUUACACAGGCUCUAACUCAAAAAUAGAAGAGCAAUGUGUACACCAAAUAUUAGUCUAAUGAAUCUUUAUGCAAAAAGAAUGAUUCCAGUCAUCUCACAUAAAUCAUAAGUUGGCAUUUAUAGGGAUUUCGAGUUUAAUUGUGCCUUCACAAAAUAAACAAGCAUACUCGGAAUAGCAAAAGCCCUAAUUCAUUAUGCUCCAACUCAUCGCACUAUAAUCACGCAUAUAGGAGAACAAUUAAUUAUGCAUGAAACAGUGAACUGAGUUACCUGAAUGCAUCAUUGGACUCGUAUUCGACAACCCGAUUGCAAUUCCACGGCUCCAAAUCAACGAAACAAAUUAUCCAUCAAUGCUCGAGACCCAUCCAUACGGAUUGCCAUGGUUACAGACGCGCCGAACCAAAAUCAUCGCCAAAGCAACGACUAGAAUCCCGUGGACCCAAAUUCCCACAAAAAAAGACAAACCAUGAAUGUUAAUAUCUCUUAGACAAACAAAAACUUAUUAAUGUCGCCAUAAUCAAGAUUUCAUCUUUCUUUUAUCUUACUAAUAUUUGGUGAGGCAUAUUUUAUGCACAUCUUUAUUCAUAUAAAGGAUUAAGAAACCACAACUACCUCAAUCUUCAGACAUCAUAAUGAACACAGCGGAAGCAAUAAUUCUCAAAAUUAGAACUAUGAUGUUUAAGAUAAAUGUGUUUUGCUAAAUCACUUUAUUGAUCUCCAAAGAAGCAAGCAAGAAUAAGUUCACCCUUUCCCACGUGCAGCAUAAUAUAAAUUGUUAUCAUACCAGAUUCACAUAAUUUGCAGAAGCAAAGCAGAUUCAUAUGCGCUAAAACAUACACAGGUAUUGAAAGAAUUAAAAGCAAUCAUACCUUUUAAUCACUGCAGACUUAUAGACAACAUAUGCAACAAUAGGCAUCAACAGACGUCUCAUGCAUAAUGAUCAUUUUUCAUGGUUGUUUAAGAAACACAAAACCAUCAGUAGAAAAUGCAAAUCAAAAUUUUUCCGCAGAUAUGGAAAAAUUCAGCCUUGAUUAUCAGCUCUAAUCAGAAAUAUCAACACAUACCUCCUGCAGAUUUCAAUUUGGAACAGCGCAACGGAAAUAAUUAUCCAAAUUGAAAAAAAUUAAUUUAAGAGUUGAGAGAAUCACAAAACCCAAAAAAUGUUUUGAUCGAUGAAGUUGCUAAUCAAAACCCCAAAUUGAGAAAACAACCUCAACCAAUAGAUUUGCAGAAAAAAAAACCAAUGGUAAUAGUUUAAAUAUAUUUUGUCAUUAUCUGGAGAUCACAUACCACCGAUGCAUCUAAGAUGAAAACAUUGAGGUUUGCACCAACAAUUGGCCCGAUAUCAAUCCCCAAAAAUCCUAACGGUCAAUUUUAUUUUAUUAAUUCUCUGCUUAUUGAAAACGCAAUGUCGUUUUCGUGAAACUCUUUUCCAGCGAAUUCGUUUAAACCAGUUUCGAAACCUGGAAGUCGCAAAAUUUAUUUAUCUAUUUAUAAACACAUUCGACUUUUCUCCUUUACAGAUUUGAACUCAUGUUUGUGUCUUGUGGCUCUGAUACCACAUGUAAGAACUUGUAAACAAACAAACACCAAGACCAAAACAUGAACCACAAACAAAAGGAAACCAACCCAGUUAUGUGCACAUAAAUAACCAGAAAGGAAAACAUACCUGCAGCUGCACCAGAACUCGUAGCCAUUGCAGCAAACUUUCAGUGAUCCUUCUCUUCUCUUGCAGAUUGUCAAGAGCUCGACUCAUAGAUAGGUUAUGGUCCAAUAUGAGCGUUAGUUCUGUGAGAAGAGAGGUCACUAUAUAUAUACAUAUAGACUUCACCAAAAUAGAUCAGGAUUUCCUAUCAAAAUCCUCAUCGGAAACAAACACUUGUUUCCUGAUGCUAACCAAUCCUUUUCAGUCAAGGAUCAGCAUUCCUUUCAUCAAUAGGACUUUCUAUCCAAAUUGAAUACCUAUAACCGGUCCUAAAACUUCUCUAUCUCAUACUCAUAUUCUUACAUAUAUACCAUUUAUAUUGAAGAACCACGGUAGUCUAGCGUAAGUCUAACCAGGUGCUAAUAACAUGGAUAUAUAUGGAACAGGUUUUGCAUAAUAGGCAGCACGUUAGACCAAAAGCUGGUGAAGGAUAAAAUUGUUCUUUGCGAUGGGCCUACUGGGGAUGGGGCUGUAGAGGCAGGCGCAUCUGGUUAUGUUUUGACAAGCCGAAAUGCAGCAGAUGUAAUCGAUCCUGUUCCUGUACCAGCAGCUUCCGUUUGGUUCCAUGUUGGUAACGAAAUUGCCCAUUACAUAAACUCAACCAGGUAUCAAUAUUUGAGAAUGAUAGUGCGAGAUUGAUUUAAAAUAUUGCUAAUGUGCGAAACUAACAUAAAUCAAAAGACCCCUUAUUAUGUUAUUGCUAAUAAAUCCUGAAUCCCUGUAAUGAUUCGUAGGAACCCAACAGCAACAAUUUGGAAAAGUACUGAGGGUAGGGAUGCACUGGCCCCAUACGUACCUUCAUUCUCAUCAAGGGGUCCAAAUCCAAACACUCCUAACAUUCUCAAGGUAACUUCAAGGCCCUGUAGGUGUGUGAAUGCUGACUUAAAAAAUGAACAAACCGAAUCAUGAAUAUUGAGGGGUCUUAAUUUUCCUCCUUGUUUUCUCCUAUAUGUUGCAGCCAGAUAUCGCUUCUCCUGGAGUUUCCAUUCUAGCCGCAUGGUCUCCAAUUGCCCCAGUUUCAGGUUUUGAAGGUGAUGACAGGGUAACUUCAUACAAUAUAAUCUCGGGGACAUCAAUGGCAUGCCCACAUGCUGCGGGCGUGGCUGCAUACGUCAAAUCAUUUCACCCCAAUUGGUCACCUGCUGCAAUCCUGUCAGCUCUUACAAGUACUGGUAUAGAUGCAUUUUCAUAAAUGUACCCAUUACAAUACAACCGUUCUCUCACAUAUUUGAUGAGUUGUGUGACCAAUUAUUAUCAGAGAUCAUGUGACCAAGUCUUGUGAGAGAGACCCUACAUAUAAUAAGACUUUGUCCAUGAUGUACAUUGUAUUACCUAAGAUUUAUAUGUUUGAUUAAUUUGUAACGAUUUUGCAGCCAAACCUAUGAGUACAAAUCUUAACCCUGAAGCCGAAUUCGCGUACGGUGCUGGCCUACUAAAUCCUAGUAGGGCUCCGUAUCCUGGUUUGGUAUACGACACUGCUGAAAUCGAUUACGUAAAUUUUUUGUGUGCACAAGGCUAUAGUACCAGAUUAUUGAAAGCUCUUACCGGGGAUAGCUAUAGCUGCUCAUCAUCACAAUCUAGUCAUGGAACACUCAGUGAUCAUCUAAACUAUCCUUCUGUUGCACUUUCCACCUCGAACCCUAAAUCCGUCAAUGGCAUUUUCAAUAGGACCGUCACAAAUGUUGGAUCACCAAAGUCCACAUAUAAAGCUAAAGUGAGUGCACCACCAGGACUUGAUAUCAAAGUUAAUCCAAGCAUUCUAAAGUUCACAUCUCUCGGGCAGAAGCUAUCGUUUCAAGUCACGGUGAAAGGGUUGAUUGAAAAACCAUAGUCUCUGGUUCUCUGGUGUGGGAUGAUGGUAAAUUCCAAGUGAGGAGCCCCAUUGUUGUGUAUUUUGUGUUUUGAGAACAAUAUGUGUAAUAAUGUAUGAUGCAUGAAUAAGCAAUUGCAUGAAACUAGAUAGGGCUUCAAUGAAACAAAAUUGCAACAUAUUGAUCACGAUGAUGUAUUUUAAAUGAAAACUAAAUUAUUAUAUAUUUAUGAACCUUUAAUAUGAUGUAGUACAUCGAAGUACAUCGAAAUUUGAAACGUACCCAUUUAAGGAUAUUUUAUAGCUCUCUAUGCAAUCUAAUUGUAUAUUUGAUAGUUCAUUUUUGGUCUGCAUGGGAAAUAUGGAUUUUCUCCUAUGUUGAUUACUUGAUUGAAGGCCCCAUCCCUCGUUGCCCGUGUAUACAGGUUGUACCUAUCACUACAUCAAGUUAUCAACGAGACUUUAGUCGGAACCUUCCUGAUUAAAAACAAAAGACCGAAAAACUUCGGUGGGGACAUUUGCAAACAACGACGUAUACAACAACAACAACAACAAAGCCUUUUCUCACUAAGUGGGGUCGGCUAUAUGAAUCCUAGAACGCCAUUGCGCUCGGUUUUGUGUCAUGUCCUCCGUUAGAUCCAAGUACUCUAAGUCUUUUCUUAGAGUCUCUUCCAAAGUUUUCCUAGGUCUUCCUCUACCCCUUCGGCCCUGAACCUUUGUCCCGUAGUCACAUCUUCAAACUGGAGCGUCAGUAGGCCUUCUUUGCACAUGUCCAAAUCACCGGAACCGAUUUUCUCUCCUCUUUCCUUCAAUUUCGGCUACUCCUACUUUACCUCGGAAAUCCUCAAUCCCAAUCUUAUCUUUUCUCGUGUGCCCACACAUCCCACGAAGCAUCCUCAUCUCCGCUACACCCAUUUUGUGUACGUGUUGAUGCUUCACCGCCCAACAUUUUGUGUCAUACAACAUCGCUGGCCUUAUUGCCGUCCUAUAAAAUUUUCCCUUGAGCUUCAGUGGUCUACGACGGUCACACAACACGCCGGAUGCACUCUUACACUUCAUCCAUCCAGCUUGUAUUCUAUGGUUGAGAUCUCCAUCUAAUUCUCCGUUCUCUUGCAAGAUAGAUCCUAGGUAGCGAAAACGGUCGCUUUUUGUGAUCUUUGCUAGAUUGCUCCGGUCAUUAGUGUGGAUAAGUAUAUAAAUGGAUAGAGAUAGGAAAGCAAACACAAGAUGUACGUGGUUCACCCAGAUUGGCUACGUCCACGGAAUAGAGGAGUUCUCAUUAAUUGUGAAGGGUUUACACAAGUACAUAGGUUCAAGUUCUCCUUUAGUGAGUACAAGUGAAUGAUUUAGUACAAAUGACAUUAGGAAAUAUUGUGGGAGAAUGAUCUCGUAAUCACGAAACUUCUAAGUAUCGGAGUGUGGUAUCGUCUUGACUUGCCUUAUCUGUCUCAUAGGUAGAUGUGGCAUCUUCUCUGGAAGUACUCUUCCUCCAUCCAGGAGUGGUAUCUUUAACUGGUGGAGAUGCACAAGGUAAUGUAUCAAUUUCACUUGAAGCUUACUUGUAGUUUCAGGCUUGGUCAAGCGCGAUACAAACCAUGUAGUAGGAGUCCCCCAAGUCGCCGAGCUAGGGGAUUUGCUGAAAGAGGUGACAGACAAGGUAAGCAAUCAGAGCUCCGGCUGAUUGUUCACAUUCUCCCUAUCUUGCAGGCAGCAUGAAGGAUAAAGAGAAGAAAAAUGAGAAGGGGUGAUAUGGGAUACUUUUGCUUUUGAAGAAGUAACUUUCCACAGGUUUAUUCUUGAACUGAGCUGGAGGGUUUUCUUGUUUCCUCCAGAGUAUAAGGCCAACUGAAGAAUUUGAGGGUCAAAACAAGUCCAUCAAAUCUAGAGUACGUUCGACCCUGCUAAUAUGGGAUACUUUUGCUUUUGACAGAGUAGUGGAUGUAUCGACACGUGUGCUGUUACGCUUGUCUCCACAUGCUUCCUUGUAUCCUUCUCACUUGCCCUAUCUGUUCCUCAGGCAGAUGCGGUAUCUUCCUUGGAAGCAUAAGAUGUUGAAGAUGAGUACUCGAGAGCAAUGCCAGGUAAGUAAUCAGGUAAGAGGUUCCAGGCAGUCAGUUCCUGGCUGGAAUCUUGAUUCCAAGUGCUGACUGAUUGCUCUCUUUCUCCUUGUCUUGCAGGUAAGAAUAAGGCCAAAGGAAAAAACAGGGAAAAAGCAUGAUAUGGGAUACUCUUGCUUUUAACCUUGAUGAUAUGAGAUAUUCUUGCUCUAGUAUAGCUUGUUUGCAGAGGUAUUAUCCGGGGGAAAGAAAGCUGAAUAUUUCGAAAGGCUUCGUUGGGAGUGCCCUCUCAGAUAUGAGGAAGGGUUGAGCAUUUUUGCAGGUCUGCCUGUCCGUUGGGGAUGGAGGUCGACAUAUAUAGGAGUAUCCCUAACAACAAGUAGUAAUGCUAUUCCUUUACCCUGCUUGGUCAUAGCACGGUAGUGGGGGCUGCCAGUUUACAUGUUUUAACUCUGUCAGAGCACUUUGAAAAAGUGGUCUGUGGUAUCUGGAAAGCUGAUGUUGCGUGUGAAGAUUACAGACAAGCUUUAUCCAAGGAUAUCCGGCUCUUGAAGUUGGGAAAGUGGUGCCUCUUCGGUUUUCGAACAAGCAAUCCUAUCGGGGAUCUGGCUCACGAGAUUCAGAGAACGAUGCCUCUUCGAUUUUUGAGAAAGCAAUCAUGCUGGAGGUCUGGCUCUCGAGAUUCGGAGAGCGAUGUCUCUUCGAUUUUUUAGAAAGUAAUCAUGUUGGGAGUCUGGCUCUCGAGGUUCGGAGGGCAGUGCCUCUUCGAUUUUGGAGCAAGCAAUCUUGUUGGGAGUGUUUUCUCGAAUGUAAGUAAAGGUUGGGCAUGUUUGCUAGUCUACCUUGCCACGAAGCACAAAGGUUGACACACAGGGACUUUCCAAUUAUCCAGCAAUGGUACUGUUCCUUUACCCUCUCUUCGAUUUUUGAGAAAGUAGUCAUGUUGGGAGUCUGGCUCUCGAGAUUCGGAGGACGGUGCCUCUUCGAUUUUGGAGCAAGCAAUCUUGUUGGGAGUGUUUUCUCGAAUGUGAGUACAGGUUGGGCAUGUUUGCUAGUCUACCUUGCCACGAAGCACAUAGGUUGACACACAGGGACUUUCCAAUUAUCCAGCAGUGGUACUGUUCCUUUACCCUUGUGGGUAAUAAUAUGGUAGCUAGACCUUCAAAAUUUAUGUGUCUAAACUUUGUUAGUGCUAUUUCUUUGCUAUUCUUUUACCCUUCUUGGUCAGAGCGAUGUAGUGGGAGCUGCAAGCUUCACGUGUCUCAACUUUGGCAGAGAACUUUGGCAAAGUUAUCUAUGGUACCCAUGAGCUACUGUUGCGUGUGGGAAGUAGGUGAUUGAACAAUAAGAUUCAUGUGCUUUCUACUUCACCAGAAGUCUUCGACAGAAUGCCCAUAAUUUCCGCAAAGCUGAGUGUGCGUGUGACAGAUGCUGACAAGGCUGGAAAAGUAGGUGCCUCUUCGAUUUCUGAGAUCGGCCUUCGUGGUCUCUGAGCAGCCCAGCUUUUGAGAAAGCAAGCGCCUCUUCGAUUUCUGAGAUCGGCCUUCGUGGUUUUUGAGCAGCCCAGCUUUUGAGAAAGCAAACGCCUCUUCGAUUUCUGAGCAGACGCCUCUUCGAUUUCUGAAGCUCUGUCAAGUGCAGAUUUUUAUAGGGGCUGGCAUUAAGUUCCAAAGCACACUUGAAUCUCCACCAGUAGAAGCUCUACUCUUGCACUUCUAAGAUCUUGAUUUGUCCGACCUUUUCUCUCUUCAACACCUUUGAAAAUGUCUGGCCCCUCCGACCGUCGUUUUGACUUGAACCUUGUUGAAGAGGCAGCCCCGCCUUCUCCAGACAACAUAUGGCGCCCCCUUCAUGGUCCUCUUCCGUUGGGGAUCCCUACUGAUGAAGAAUCUUACCGUUGGGAUUCCGGAUGAAGAAUGAACCCGCUGCGGUGGUGGCCAGGAACCUUCUCACUCCCAAAGAUAACAGACUACUUUCCAAACGGUCUGAUGAGUUAGCUGUUAAGGAUUCUCUGUCAGUGUUCAGUGUGCAGGUUCUGUGUCUAAUAUGGCCCAACGCCUAUUUGCUCGAACCCGCCAAGUUGAAUCAUUGGCGGCUGAAGUGAUGAGUCUCAAACAGAAGAUUAGAGGGCUCAAGCAUGAGAAUAAACAGUUGCACCGGCUCGCACAUGACUAUGCUACAAACAUGAAGAGGAAGCUUGACCAGAUGAAGGAAUCUGAUGGUCAGGUUUUACUUGAUCAUCAGAGAUUUGUGGGUUUGUUCCAAAGGCAUUUAUUGCCUUCAUCUUCUGGGGUUGUACCGCUUAAUGAAGCUCCAAAUGAUCAACCUCUGAUGCCUCAUCCUUCUAGGGUUCUGUCCAGUACUGAGGCUCCGAAUGAUCCCCCUCCGGUGCCUUCUCUUUCUGGGGCUCUACCGACUGCUGAGACUUCUCCUAAGCAACCUUUGUGAAGGCUUCCUCUUGUUUGUUUAUUUUGACUUAUGUAUAUGUACAUAUUUGUAACUUAUUGGGGAUAUCAAUAAAUAAGCUUUCCUUCAUUUCAACGUAUUGUGUUAAAUACACCAAAGCCUUCUUCGCUAAGUUCUUUGAAUUUUCUUUUGUUGAAGCUUGUAUGUUGAAGCUUGUAUGUUGAAGCUUUGUGAGUGGAGCAUGUAGGUUGAGGUAGUGUUCCCUUAAUUUCCCGAGUGAGGAAAACUUCUCGGUUGGAGACUUGGAAAAUCCAAGUCACUGAGUGGGAUCGGCUAUAUGAAUCUUAGAACGCCAUUGUGCUCGGUCCUGUGUCAUGUCCUUCGUUAGAUCCAAGUACUCUAAGUCUUUUCUUAGAGUUUCUUCCAAAGUUUUUCUAGGUCUUCCUCUACCCCUUCGGCCUGAACCUCUGUUCCAUAGUUGCCUCUUCUAAUCGGAGCGUCAGUAGGCCUUCUUUGCACAUGUCCAAACAACGACGUAUACACAUGUAAAAUAUCAGAGUAGCAUCAUGUAUCGGUGGCAUAAAAAUCUUUACGCACCCACGUGUUCUAGAUGUUGGCACAUGAUCAUGCAUCGAUAGAUAUACGUAUGGACAAUGCAUGCCCUACCAUGCAAAUUAUGCCAAGAACAACAAUCGAUCGAGUGACCAGUGGUGGGAGAGCUAGGAAUAUUAGCAAGCUGCAUUUUCUCAAUUCCCACUCUCACUUGUUUGAGCAUACCGACUAAUAUGCUUGUUUCUUGACUUGUGGAUGUAUCCCAAGGUCAAUAUGGAUGCAUGGCAUGCGAUGUACGUCAGGAGGUUUUUCUUCUUUUCAAAAGCAGUAUAUGUUGGAAAAGUUAGACAUGGAAUUGAUACCACAGUUAAUAUGCUUUUGUACCUCAUUCCCUAUAACCAAAAAUUGCAUCAAGUAAAAAUUACCUUAUUUCGCAACAUUUCUUCAACUGGCUACUGGCUCUCUAGUUUUUCAAUUGUCAUCAUGGUCCAAGUACCUAAGCUGGGUCGGAUCAUUUUCUUCUUUGAGCAGAAGGACGUUAACCAUCGGAUUACCAUCGAUGAUUGCACAUGUUAUGCACUAAGAAAAGGUUGCAAGCGGUUAUUUGCUUGUAGAGCUACCGGCUGCCUUAUAGUACAAACUAGAAAAAGUUCUACCCGAACCGUAACGAACGUUGCUGCAGGAUUAAAAAUUGUGUAAAAAAAAUUAUGUUUCAAAGGUAUAAACCUAUCAACUUGUAUCACAUCUAACUGAACUACAACAACAUAUUGAAGCACUUAAUAUGAAAUUUCAUAAGCUAUUUGACAAUAUGAAAUCAAGCAAUUAUUGAAAAUCAGAAACGGAGCUUAGAAAGUAAAAAAUCCUACCUCAUUAUAUUAAAACAAUUAACAAAUUCUCAGUGAAUGAUCACAAAAAAGGCUCAGUUCUCACCAUAAUGAAAAUUAUGACAUCGUUUUAACAUGAACUUGAGUUCAUUUCAGUCACCAGCAUUAAUAAAACCAGUGACUUCAACCUGUGCAAGGAAACAACUGACUUAGACGCAAGCCAACCAACUUUGAAUCUAACCAAAUAAAAAAAGUAAUCACAAUCGAACUAACCUCUUCUUCCCAAAUGAAGUAGAAGAUGUCCCCUGUUUUGCCAUUGUGAACAGUGUACUCUACUCUCAACACACAAAAAGAACACACUCAAAAUGCUGAGCAAUAUUAUAAAAGCUACACAUACAUCAUUGUAUAUAUAUUUGGACAUAAAGUAUAAAGAUCUGCUGACAGUAUCAAGCUUAAAUUUAACAAAAGCAGUAAUUACGAAUUGAAAUCAAACGAUAAUAUAGUUGUUAAAAAAAAUUCUAACUAAAUUUUACAAAUAGCAUCAUAAAUGUUAAAAAAAAUAACACCAUUGAAAAAACUCAUUACUCAAAUCUGUAAUUCUAUAAAAGCACAUCACUGAAAACUUCAAUUUCAUCAAAACAUGUCAACCUAUAUCACAUCCAAAACCCAUUAAUAAUCUCUUCUUGUGUAUAGCUUGUCCUCAGAAUUCGCAGCUGAAAACGGAAUGUAAGUUCAGAGUAUGAUGAAAAAGAAGAAAUGAAAGAGUUGUGUCAAUGAAAAAGAAUGAGAGAGCGGGUAUCAGAACAAUCUACAAAGAAGAAGAAUUUGAGAUGAAUAAGUGGAUAAAUUGCUUACAUGAAGAGCUGAUUUCAAAUCGAUGAUCCAUUUCUCACCCUAAUAAUAUUUAACAAUUGCAAUUAGUAAAAUUUUCUUGAUAAGAUGAAAUCUAGGAGCAUAAUAAUAAGCAUUAGAAAUAGAAAAGCCUUAUAUAGUGAUUAAGGCCCUUAAUUAACUUGCGAAGCUUGAAAAGUCAUUCUCUUCACGUGGUUAAUUUGGAAGUUAUCCAAUGUAUGUAAAAACAUGAAUCAGAAGCAAAUUGAUGAAAUCGGAGGGAAAAAAUGUUACUUAGUAAUUGUAUAUGUUAUGAAGGCAUCAAAUAAAGUCCUGAUAAAAUACCAGCAUCUUUAUAUUAACCACUUUACAUAUAAAUUAUAAAUGAUUAUCACAGCCUUAAACAAAUUUCAUUUAGGGAAGACUGAUGAGGGGAUAUACGACUCACAAACAACUGAGACUGUCCUUUUUUUUUUCUUUUUUUUUUUUCAUAUCAACAAACACACAAAUUCUUAUAUUUCCGAAAGCACCUGCAUCCCAACAUAAAAACUUAAAUAAUACAUGAAUCAUCGAUGUUUUGCUUUGCAAACAGCCAAGGGGAUAGGAACUAAAAUAAAUUUCGUGACCAAGAACCUCUUAAAAACCAAGCUUGAAAGCAUAAAAACAAAGCUUUCAAUCUUUCUGUGCAAAUUAAUAUCACAAUCAAUUCAACCCCAUUUCCGCAAUCCAAAGCUUCAAACUUCAUACAAAAAUACAAUAAUUUUUAGAAUUUCACCCAAACAUAAAGAGAAUAAUAUUGUUAGGUGCGGAGAAGAAAAAACCAGGGAAAAAUGGAAGAUGGAUUUUAGCAUGGAAAAGCAAUUCACAGCAACAAUAAAAAGGUGAAAUUAAAAACUCAAUUGAAUCAAAUGAAGAAUUUUCUAGUGUGCAAACAAUUAGUGUUAUCAGCAAGAAGUUUCAGACCUUAAAAUGCAAAAGCAUGUGCCCAAAAUGCAAUCCUAUAAAACAUGAAACAACAGCCAUAAGAUAAUCGGAAAUUUUCUAAUAAAAUGAACCGAAGACCAACUUUGAAUAAUUGGUAACGAUGACGCUUUGACAUUGAUAGAGUGUAUGUAUGUGAGAGAGAGAGAGAGAGAGAGAGAGAGAGAGAGAGAGAGAGAGAUGGAAAUAGAGUUAGAAUUAGACCAAUUCAGAAAUCAACCUUAAGAUUCCCUCUGGGUCAACUGGUUGCACCAUUGAUGAGAAACAGUCGGUAGAGGUUGAUAGUAGGAGAACUAACAUUGCAUUCCUGAAACACAAAGGAUUAACCUUUUUCAAUUAUCAUCAGUGAAUGCACUAAUACAGGACUUAAAUUCUGAUAUAUUCAAUAAUCUAAUUACCAGAGAAGGACUUUUAUCCUUCUAUAAAGAGGCAGUUGAUAAAGGUGACUCUGGCCCAGUAUAACUUGACUCAUAAACUGGAAACUUUGAGGCUUCAAACUCUGAGCUAAAAGUUGAAGCUUCUCACUCAACAAACAAAAAUUACAAAUCCAAAACUAAAAAGAAUCAGAAACAAACUAAAACAUGGGAUUGGUGAAGGCCAUACCUUCGAAAGCAUAGACGCAGGCAGCUCUACGAGAGUGAUCCCAACUCCGGGGUCGGAGGCGGAAACAGAGGCCAAUAUCCUCAAGAUUUUGCGUUGAUGAUUGUGAGAUCGGGAUAAAACGGUCGAAACCAAAUUUGCAAGUUUUGAAAAAACGUUAAGGAAUCUGGGUUUCAAUGAAUAAGGAGGCUGCAAAUAAAAUCCCCAAAGAAACAAAAAAAGGGUCUCCCAUGUCGGUAUUUUGUGAGAGAAAAAGCGCAAGAUUCGAGAGCGAGUUCAACAGCGGCAGAAGCACAGAUUUGUGAGAAAGAAGAAACCGAAGGAAAAAUCGAGAAGAUGCAAGAGAGGCUUGAGGCAAGCAUGGACAAAUAGGUAAUCUUACGUGUAAAGAGGAGAAAGAACGGAGCAGGAAAACUGUUUGACAGGGCAAUAUCGCUAAUUUAAUUCUGGUGAGCAACGCUUUUCCACCAGGUGGAUGGCAAGGGCAAAAACGCCUUUUUACUGUGAAAAAGACGCAAAAAAAAAGGCACAUAAAAAAGCAUUCAGAGGGCAUUUUCGCCCGUUUACCACUGGUGAACAGUGUUUUUUUGCUUGAGUUUUAGUAUAGGUUCAACUAAAAAUUGUUAUCCGCGUGAUUAGAAAUUGUUAAAAAAAAAUUAUCAUAGACUAUUAAUAUUAUUUACAUUAAAAAUGUUACACGAUUUUAACAAACAAAAAAUUUAAUCUAUACAGUAUACACACAAACAAUUGUAGAACUUUUGUCUCUACAUAAAAAAAAAAAUAAAAAAAUCUAAGUUAUUCACUGAAGCACCUAAAGUUUCUUGAUUGUGAAGAAAGCAACCUCAGCAAGGAAAAAUAUGAAAUAUUAAAAUACAUGCAAUUAAUUUAUACAUCAACGGGCUUAUAUUACAAAAAAAUAAGGAUAAAGUAUUGCUACCUAGUCUUUUUUUUUUUGGAGGAAAAUAAUCUGAUUUUAUACCAAUUAGAGAGAACUUUUUUCAGCAAUUUAAUAGUCUAAUAAAUUGAUUAUACAAAAAAUCCAUUAAAAAAACCUAAAAACAAUAAACUAUUCACUAAUUUUUCAUACGAAAUAGAACAAAGCUAUAGAAUAUACCUUUUCAUGGUGAGUAUUGUGAAAAAUACAACAUAGCUUGAGACAAUGGUAAUUAACGUGUUUGGAAAAGUCUACCUGCGUGGUGGUGUAAUCGUCACACAGAUAAACUUCAAUGCCAAUUGAUUGAACUAAGUUUUUUUUUAACAAACAAUAUUAUCUACACUAAAGAGAAAAAGGUAAGCUUAGACUCACAACAAGAGAAGCCUUGCGCAGAGCUCUGCCUCUAACAACUCAAUUAUAUCUUGAAAUCGGCUAAGUUGGUAUUGUAACACGGUAAGGUUGGGUAGAUUUUAGAUCCAAAUGUCACCAAACAAUAUUCUGCAGAAUGGCAGUGUUCUAUCUAGAUUGUCCAUGGCACGGGCGUAAACUGGAUGAUAACGCAGGGCAACACUGGUACUAUACCCUAAACAUCCACAAGCUAUAAACAAAUAGUUAAAGUUGAUAUGCACCAAGGGUACUAAAACUCAAUCCAUUGUUUAGUAAGAAGAACCACAAAAACAAAUUAGUAAAAACCGAAAUGGUUAUCAGAUGGACACAAAGGUUUUUGUACUACGUGAAACUUUGCGUCGAGAAAUUGAAACAACUAUCAGGAGACAGUUAUACGGAUUUCCUACAAUUCUAUAAAUAAUAUAUUCUUUCACCAUUGUUUCAAUUCAAACAAAAAUUAAAGAACAGAAAAGCUAGAAGCAGGAAAAUUGCAACUGAUCAAUAUUUUCCAAACAAAACCAACCUGCAAUGUCCUAGUUGCAAAUUCAACUCCAAUGGUGGACUUAGACUCCAAAGAAAACUCAUUCCUCGUAAACCUCAAAAGAAUGUUCGAUUUUCCAACACCCGAAUCUCCAAUCAAUACAAUCUUGAAGAGGUAAUCGUAUUCGUGAUCCACCUUGUACGCCAUACGUUCUACUCCUCACACACACACCCCACAACACCUGCCCAGAUCCAGAAUUCACCAAACAAAAAGCUGUUAGCAGUCAAAAAACCAAAAAAAUAAACCCAUUCUCUUGUUUUGACAGAAGGGAUGAGAAAAGUGCUGAUCAGAGAGCAUUUUCUUUACCCACGGUUUCUUUCCAAUGUGAUUUUCCCGAGAAACAAACGGAAAUUGGGUAAUCAUAAAACAAUGGCGCGUAGAAUGGUGAUUAACAAAAUAGAGGAUAUUUUGAAUGUUGGGUUUUGUUAUGUUUGCAUUGAAGUUUGUGGAAACAGAGGAGAGGAGAAAAGAAGAAGAAAAGGAUGGCGUUGUACAAAGUUAGAAACAGAACAAUUGAUGAAAAUGCACUUAAAACGGCCUUUCACGAGGGAAAUGACGCGCCGAAUUCGGAGUCUGUGUAAAGUAAACGACCCUUCAUAAGACAUGCCGCAUAAAAUUUAAGCCCAUUCUCAAUGUGGGCUUAGGGCAUAUGUUUGUAACCCACUGAAAAGCUCCAUUAGGGUUUCCUAUCACACACUAUUUAUCUCUCUACACACUUAUGUCAUGUAGUCAUGUUUAAUCAUAUCGGUUGACUAUUGAUUUUAUCAACUUGGGUUACUAAAAAUUAAGAAAUGAGUGCAAUUAUCAUUUCUAACUGUUUUAAAAUGUUAGGAUGAUUCAUAAACAAAUUGGAAGUUCAAAAGAUAAGUCGGAAUGAGCCCCUAAAUUCAAAGGGUAUUUGCCAUGUCUCUCCGUUUUGUGAAUCAUUAAAAGUGACAUUAUUUAUCCUUACAUAUUUUGUCUUUGGUGCACAAAGUGACUACUACUGCCAACCACUACAAACCUAACCUCUUACACCACCAUUGUUACCACCAAGCCACCACCACGACCAUAACACAUAAGCGUCACCACUACCACCACUUACCUCUGUAGCUCAACCACCACACCCCUUAAUCAGCAGCACCACCACCACCACUACUAUCACAACCAUUGUCCUAGCCACCGUUGUCAACGUCAUCACGCAAAUUAUCAUGUCCAUUUUUGUUAUUAUAUACAAUUAUAUCAUUUUACAUUAAAUUUUACCAAACACGCUUUUACAAUGCUUUUCAUACUCACAACACUUAUAAAAAUACAGUUAUCAAACACUCAGCUACUUUAUUUUGUAGCUGAUUAUUCUUAAAGCACAACAUAAACAAUUUUUUUUAAAGCAUAGUACUCCCCAACUGGCCCUAAGUCCACAAAUGAGUCAUCCAAAGCAAAGCCGGUCUUGAGUUUUUUGGUGCCCGGAAAAGGAUCAGAAAGUGCCUUUUCUUAAUACACAGGUAUAUAUUAAAAAUAAAUAUUUAAAAAGGGUGGGCCAAGCCCUUCUUACAUAUUAUAUUACUCAAGUGCAAAGGUAAACGUUCAUAGCUAAUAAGGAUAAAACUGUUAAAAGCAUAGUUAGUUAGAAUUGUUAUAAGGUGGUUAUGAUAGCUUGUAAUUAGUGAAUGUUUGUUUGGGUAUUUUUGUAAUUAGCUUGUUAGCUAAGACUAGUGAGUCACUAGUAUAUAUAUGUACAUACCAUUGUAUAAUUUUAUCUUGAUGAAAUGAAAAGAUAACAUUUCUAAUAUGGUAUCACCCGCCUAAAAGUCUCACGACAUUUUCGAUCCUAUUUUUCCCGCCUCUCUCUCUGCAUUGUCUCCUAGGGUUUGCUUCUUCUUCUCCGAUCAAUCGAUCGCUUCAACGCUCUUACUUCUUCUUCUUCAAGCUAUGACGACCUCUGCAACUUAGUCUUCUUCCGCUUCGGAUUCUCCUAUUCAUCCAAUUCUUGCUGCCCUUUCUAACCCUAAUUCUGCAAUUACGAUCCAAAACAUUGGAUCCAUGGUUCCAAUCAAGCUUACAACGACGAACUACCUGACCUGGAGUGCUUUAUUCGCUCCGAUUUUCCGCCGGUACAAUCUUACCGGAUUAAUUGACGGCACAAUGGCUGCUCCGUCAAAAUUCCUUCUCGAUGCAUCUGGAAAUCGCACUGCCACUCUGAAUCCCCAAUAUGUUGCGUGGUAUAUGAAUGAUCAGAACAUCUUGAUCUAGAUCAACUCUACGCUCUCGGAUGCUCUCAUUCUUUACACUGUUGGUGUUAAUUCGGCUCGGGAGUUAUGGUCCAAGUCAUGUAUUUCUCUUUCUAGUGUUUUAAAUAAAACUGUCUGCUCCAGCUGUGCUCUAGGCAAGUCUUCAAAAUUACCUUUUGUUUCUGUUUCCUGUACCUCCAGUAAACCUCUGGAAUUGUUACACACUGAUGUAUGGGGUCCAGCCCCUCUUCUUUCUAUCAAUGGACAUCGUUACUACAUCAUUUUUGUUGAUGAUUAUACCAAAUACACUUGGUUCUUUCCUCUUGCAUCCAAGUCUGAUGUCUUUGACACAUUUGUCAAGUUUAAAGCUCCCGUGGAAAAUCUACUCAGUUCUAAAAUAGUUACUAUAAGAUCUGAUUCUGGUGGAGAGUUUCUUAGUCUCAAGCUCAUCAAUUAUCUGCAAUUACAUGGCAUUUCACAUCAGUUAAGUUGCCCUCACACACCUGAACAGAAUGGAUGUGCUGAACGCAAACAUCGGCAUCUAGUUGAAACUGCUAGAACUCUUCUAGCAGCCUCUCAAGUUCCUAAGCUCUAUUGGGAUGAUGAUUUUGCCACGGCUAUCUAUCUGAUUAACAGAAUGCCGACAGCUACCAAGUAUUCUCCUUGGGAAUUACUCUUUCACAAACCUCCGGAUUAUUCCUCUCUGAAAGUGUUUAGCUGCAAAUGUUUUCCUUGGUUGAAGCCUUACACUUCCUCUAAACUUGAUUCAAAGAGCAAAGUAUGUGUCUUCUUGGGUUAUAGUUUGAAUCACAAGGGUUAUAAAUGUCUCGAUCCUCAUACUGGCAGAGUAUAUCUUUCACGGCAUGUUAUUUUUGAUGAAGUCACUUUUCCUUUUGCUCAACAAGACUUAUCUCAGUCUCUCCCAUCCAGUUCUAGUUCUUCAAUACUGAGGAAUCAUCACACCAUUCCCACAACCUUAACUUUUCCCACUAUAUCUUCACCUUUACCAUCUCCUUCCCUUACUGCACCUAGUUCCCUUGCUGCAUCUAGUUCUCUUGCUGCACCUAUUUCCUCUUCCUCAUCUCCUCACCCUAUUUCUCAUCCCAUCUCUGCCCCUAAUCCACUUGCCGCACCCUUCAUACCUCAAAACACUCAUUCCAUGCAAACUCGUUCCAAAUCCGGUAUUGUCAAACUAAAGGUUUUCUUAGCAACCAAACAUCCUAUUUCCUCUGAGAUGUCACUUGACUAUAUACCAUCCACUUAUCUUCAAGCCUCCAAACACUCUCACUGGAGGCAAGCUAUACAGGAAGAAUUUAAUGCUCUUAUUCAAAUUGGCACUUGGUCUUUGGUCCCUUCUCAUUCUUCUCAGAAUUUGGUUGGUGCAAAAUGGGUAUUCAGAAAUAAAUGCAAGCCUGAUGGUACCAUUGACAGGUACAAAGCAUGGCUUGUUGCCAAAAGAUUUCAUCAGCAACAAGGUUUGGACUACACUGAAACAUUUAGUCCAGUUGCAAAGCCGGUUACCAUUUGGCUUCUUCUCACUUUGGCUGCCAAGUUUGAUUGGUUCCUCAAUCAACUUGAUAUUAGCAAUACAUUUUUGCAUGGUAAUCUCACUGAAUCUGUGUUUAUGGUACAACCACCAGGAUUUGAAGACCUUACAAUGCCUUCUCAUGUUUGUCAUUUGCAUAAGUCUUUGUAUGGUUUGAAGCAAGCCCCCAGGGCUUGGUAUGAGAAAUUAACAACUGCCUUAAAGUCUCUCGGUUUCUCUGGUUCUCAUAAUGACUAUUCUCUGUUUGUAAAACGGGAACCAGCUCUGGUCUUCAUUCUGAUUUAUGUUGAUGACAUUAUUGUCACUGGUCCAAGUUCCCAUCUUUGCCAAGAGGUUAUAACUCAACUCGGUGUCUUAUUUCCUGUCAAAGAUCUUGGCCCCCUUCAUUACUUUCUUGGCAUUGAAGUAACAAGAUCAUCCUCAAGGAUAUUGCUUUCUCAGACCAAAUAUAUUCUUGAUCUCCUCACUAAAGCUCAUAUAGAGGGUUCCAAGCCUUGUGUUACCCCGAUUAGCACCACUAAAUUGGAUCAUGAAUCUCCUUUACUUGAUAAUCCUGAAGAAUAUCAAUCUUUGGUUGGUGGUUUGCAGUAUUUAACUUGGACUAAGCCCGACUUAUCUUAUGCAGUGAAUUUGGUCUGUCAAUUCAUGCAUAGUCCUCGGCAAGCACAUUUCCAGGCCGUCAAGCGCAUUCUUCGAUAUCUUAAGGGUUCCUUGCAAAUUGGCUUAUGGUUUCCUAAGUGUUCCAAGUCUCUCACUCUCACUGCCUUCUCCAAUGCAGAUUGGGCAGGUUGCAGUAUUGACAGACAAUCCACUAGUGGUUUUGUAAUUUUUUUGGGAGACUCUCUUAUUAGCUGGAGUGCAAAGAAACAGCCUACUGUGGCUUGAUCCUCAACUGAGGCUGAAUAUCGAUCUUUUGCAAACACUGCGGCUGAACUCACCUAGAUUUCCAAGUUACUGACUAAUGUUGCUCUUGUUCUUCCCUCUUCUCCACAGCUUUGGUGUGAUAAUAUCUCUGCAAUUUCCUUGGCUAAGAACCCUAUUUUUCAUGCACGAACCAAACAUGUGAAGAUAGAUUAUCACUAUAUCCGCGAAAAAGUGCUCGCCAAUCAAGUGCAAGUUCUUUUUGUCUGCACGGAGGAUCAACUUGCUGACAUUUGUACUAAACCUCUAUCCAAGCCUCGGUUCAUCUUCCUUCGCAACAAACUCUCUCUUCGGUUCCCUCAGUUAGGUUUGCGGGGGGGGGGGGAUAAUAAGGAUAAAACUGUUAAAAACACAGUUAGUUAGAAUUGUUAUAAGGUGGUUAUGGCAGCUUGUAAUUAGUGAAUGUUUGUUUGGGUAUUUUUGUAAUUAGCUGGUUCGCUAAGACUAGCGAGUCACUAGUAUAUAUAUGUACAUACCAUUGUAUAAUUUUAUCUUGAUGAAAUGAAAAGAUAACAUUUCUAAUAAUAGCCACUUUAAACUAUAAUCAUUAAGUUCAUCUCCAAUUGAACGCUGGCCAAAUGGCUUGUUUUAUCCAUCUGAUCCUCUAAGAAAUUAAUAUUUUAAUGAACUAUGCAUGACCAUAUUUCUUACCAUCUCCAACCGAGGGCCAAACAUAAUUUAUUAUUUAAAUUUAAAAAUUACAACUUAAAUUAAAAAACUACAACUAAAAUUUUAAAAAUACAACUUAAAUUUAAUAACUACAAGUAAAAUUUAUAAAAUACAACUUAUAUAUCUCAAGUCAAAUGUGAGAGGUUUUAUUUAGAGUAGAAAAAAAAGGAAAUAAGUGGGAGAGGAAGUAGGAGAAACUAAAAAUGUGGAAGUGGGUGGGAGAGGAAGUAUAAAAAUAUAAAAAAAAAUGGAAGUGGGUGGGAGUCCCACAUCGGUUGUGAGAAAGAUUUGAGCAAGUUCCAAAGCCUAUAAAAAGAACACCUAACAUUCAAUGAAACAUACUUUCUGGGCCUAUAAUUGAAUAUAUUUUUUAAAAAAUUUUGGCUAACAAAAAAAAAUUCAAAUAACUGUAAAAAAAAAACAAAAAAAAGGGCUAGCUAACUUUAGCUAGUUGACAGUUGCUUUUGAAUUCUAGCCCGGCCAGUUGGCCCUUUGACCAUUUUUUAUCUAGUGGGGCCCACAAGCCAUUUGGUCUAGCUCUCGGUUUGAGACGAUUUUAGGGUCAUUUUCGACCCUCUGACACCUUUUGGUUGAAGAUGACCUAACAGAAAAAAAUUGAACAUUUUAUGAGACUUCUCUCUCCGAAGAGGUCCCAAAUUUAAGUACUAGCAAACGGGUGCAUUUUUGCUCACCCACAUUAACUUAGGUGUAUGCUCACCACACAUCUCCAAGCUUGCCAAGUGUCCCUUUGCUUUAAUCCUGGUUAACAUUUUCAUUUGUUAUUAAUAUUUUACUAUAAUAAUACAUUAAUAAUCAUCUUAACAUUUAUCUUUGAACUUUUUAAUCAAUAUUUGUAUCUCAACCGUCCAUCUCCCCUCUUCCUCCCCCCUCCCAUCUCUCUCCUCUGUCACUUUUCCCCCUUUUCUGUCAUUUGGGCGAAUAUCCCAAAUCUAAAAUCUCAAAUUCUAAUACAAAUUUAAAGGGGAAUGGGUGAAUUGAUUUGACGGGGUGAAGUCCAUCGAUAUCGCGAGAAAGGAGCAUGAUGAGUAGAUUUUAUAUUAUAUAUGUUACCCUAAUCUUAGUAUAUUUUGGUUAACAUUUUGGAAGAAUUUUGAUACUUUGAAUUGUAUUUCCAAUAUAGGACUUUCGACUUCUUCUGGAGCAAAACAGAAUCAAAUAGACGAAUUUUUAAGUAAUUCUAGUUGGAGAACGUUCGUGAGUCACUUAUCUUGAUCGUAUCAAAAUCUGGGAUUUUUCCACCAUGCAGUUAUUUUCUGGCGAUAAAAUAAAGGAGCGAUGUGCAGUGCUGGAAAAUGACUUUUUUUGGCUUAAAUUACGUUUUUGUAGCCCACGAUGACCUCGGAUGGGUUCGUGGCCUUCUGGAGAAGUGUUCAGAAUGUUCCAAACAUUAAAUUCAGCUAUAUUGGGCUGGUUUUGGAGCAGCUUAUGGAUCCAAAAUGUGGCUGUUCAGAUUUUAGGCGAAUUUUACCAUUUAAUUUAGAGUUAUGUUUCCUAUUUUAUUUAUUGUUACUAUUAGUUUCCUAGAGGGAAAAAAUGACCUGUUUUUAGGGUUUGUGUGGUGGUUUAGCAAAUAUAUUGCUUAGCCGUCUACCACAUUUUUCUCUACGCUUUAUUUUAUGCAAUUUUGAAGACAGAGAGAAAUGCUAGGGUUUUGGAGAUUUUCUACUUAAAGGUGUUUUCAAUUAUUUUCUUAAUAAUAUUUUCUAUGAUUUCAAUUAUGAAUAUGCAUAACUAAUUUCCUAUUGCUAGGGCGAAGCCUUGAGCCUUAACAUGAAUACGUGAUUUUUAUUUAAUUGCUUAUGAUUGAUUGCAUGCAUACUUUGAAUUGUUAAUCACCGGGAUAAAAACUAUCUAAUUAUCUUAAUGCCUGAUCACCAUUAUGAUCUUUAGAAAAGUAAUUUGAUGCAAUUUUGGUCGGAAGGUUCCUUGAAAUUGACACUGGCUGCAUGUGAUUAAUAAUUGUAAUUUCACUUAAGAUGAACACCACGUCUUAAAGGUUGCAUGAUUUUUCAAGGGAUUUUCAUAAAGUAUAAUGAGUCUUUGAUGUUCAGAUUUGAUCUGAACGUCCGGACAGGUUGCAUGUUAGAUAUACGUUCUAUGUUGGAGGUUCCAAGUAGAAUAUGAAUUAGGAAAAUCUAACCUUCAAAGUGGCAUGUGUAGAUCAUAAGUAAUUGGUAAAAAUUCAUAGGAUUGCUAGGUGAUGGUGGAACCCUAGCGUUUUCUUAAUUUGAUUCUUCCAAAACUGUUUUCUUUUUCCCCAAAUUUUAAUAUUGCAGAUUGUCUUAUUUGUUUUAAUUAAAUUCGUUUUUAAUUUAAGUAGGCUAUAAAAUCAAUCAUCAUAAUUUCUACUUUACAAUAAUUAAUUGAACUUUGGUUUGUUUCGAAUUAUUUCAUAAUCCCUGUGGAGAACAACCUUGCGAGAUCCGUUUACACUACAACAACCUUGUGAUUCUUGUAAAUAUUAUAGGAAUUUUUAUCCCAUUCACAUGAUUAGUAAAAUCCCUAUCAGAGCACAAGUUGCCUCCAUUCACUCGAAGCAAAGAUGCACAGAUAAGUGAAGAAAAUUUGUACCUAGAAGAUUGUUCCAAAUUGUGGGUGGUUGGCAUGGGGUGGUGAGAGGUGGGAGGGAGCAAAUAACAAGUGAGAGGAAUAAAGGGUCGUCUUUGCUGCUUCAAAUGCUUGAGCAAUUUCCAUUAGAAUAUUAUACAUAAAUAAAAUUACAAUUAGGAGAUAAUUUCUGUGAUUCGAAACGCCAUGGAUGAUUUGGUGUAGGAGGACAAUUUCUUUGAAACUGAAUAAACGCUUCGGGAGGUGAGUUGCAGACGGUUUUUUAUUUGUCUAUUUUUAGUUUAUUUUUAUUUCUUUAUUAAAUUAAUAAAGAAGAUGUCGCACUUGGUGCGAUGGCAAGUGCCUUCGCCCAUGAGCGGUAAGUCUCGGGUUCGAGACUUGGGAGCAGCCUCUCCAUAAAAUGGGGGUAAGGCUAGCCGACAUUCACCUCUCCCAGACCCUGCGUAAAGCGGGAGCCUUGUGCACUGGGUAUGACCUUUAUUAAAUUAAUAAAGAGUAAUUAAAUCACAGUUAACCAUGGUUAAGGCAAGGGAACACUUGGCAAGCUUGGAAAUGUGUGGUGAGCAUACACCCAAAAUGGGUGAGCAAAAAUGCACCCCUAGCAAACUUAUUCGGUUCUUUAAUUAUCAUCACAUCAAAUGCCUAGAAAGGUUUUGCCCAACUCAAUCAACACGAGUCAACAAAUUUCAAGAAUAGUAUUAAGUAUAAAGAGAAAUUAGAAGCCCCUGCAUUUUUCAAAUACAUUUUAGAUCAAACAUUGGUUCUUCUCUAAGAUUUGAUUAAGAAGCUUUGACCAAUUGCCACAUCAACAUUUUUCUAUAUUUUAAAUUACAUAUAAUUUGUUUAAAGCCAUCUUCACUUCACCUUGUAACUAAUUGCUUACAAUAUAGGAAAUUUUAUUUUCAUUGUCCUAUAAACUCCUACGUUUUAAUGACUCUUUUGAUAUAAAAAAAAUAAUUAAUUAAAGUAAUUUAAACUUUUACAUUGUUAAACGACUCUUUCUAUAAAAAAAAAUAGGGUAAAGUACAAAAAACUAUCUCAACUAUUAGUGUCACGAUACUUUCAUAUCUCAUCUUUUAAAAUUGACAAUGUCAUACUUCAUCUUUAGAAUUUGGUCCAAUAUUAUACCUUCCGUUACUUGGCUGUUUACUUUUCAAUUAAAUGCUGACGUGACUUGAUUAAAAAAAAUUAUUUAAUAAUUUUAAAUAUUAAAAUAAUAAAAAAAAGUAAAAAAAAAAAAGAAAACAACCCUAAGUUCGUCCCUCCCCCUCCCCAUCUUCAUCUUCUUCGCCCCCCCCACCCAAAAAAAAUAAAUAAUAAAAAACUCAGAUCCCGUCGGCGGGAAGAUGGGUGCGCGGAGAAGGUGGAGGAUGGGUGCGGAAUAGGAUGUGGAGAAUGGAUGGGUGGUGGAUUUGGGGUUGGGUUUUUUUUUUGGGGGCGGGGGGGGGGGGGACGAACUGGGUUCGCUUUGGAUUUUUUCUUUCUUUCCUUUUCUUCUUCUUCUUCUUCUUUUUCUUCCUCAUUCUUCUUUCUGGGUUGUUGGGGGUUGAGCGAACUGGGUUGGGUUGGAAUUUUUUUUUUCCUCUUCUUCUUCUUCUUUUUUGGGGGAGGGGGGUUCUUCUUCUUUCUGGAUUGUUGGGGGUUGGGCGAACUGGGUUGGGUUGGAAAUAUUUUUUUUCCACUUCUUCUUCUUCCUCCUUUUUUUUUUCCUCUUCUUCUUCCUCCUUCUCCUUCUUCUUCUUCUUCGGGGGAGGGGGGUUCUUCUUCUUCUUCUUCUUCCUCUUCUUCUUCUUCCUCCUUCUUCUUUCUGGGUUGUUGGGGGUUGGGCGAACUGGGUUGGGUUGGAAAUUUUUUUUUUCCUCUUCUUCUUCUUCCUCUUCCUUUUUUUUUCCUCUUCUUCUUCCUCCUUCUCCUUCUUCUUCUGCUUCUUCUUCGGGGGAGGGGGUUCUUCUUCCCCCUUCUUCUUUCUGGGUUGUUGGGGGUUGGGAGAACUGGGUUGGGUUGGAAAUUUUUUUUUUCUCUUCUUCUUCCUCCUUCUCCUUCUUCUUCUUCUUCGGGGGAAGGGGGUUGAUGGGUUUUCAAAUUUAUUUAUUUUUGGUUGAAGAUUAAGCAGGGAAGAAGAUGAAGAUGGGAAGAGAAAGGGGGAAGGGACGAACAGAGGGAUUUUUAAUUUUUUUUUUACUUUUCUUUAUUAUUAAAAAAAUAUUAAAUAAUAAUUUUUUAUUAAAAAUGGGCCCUGAAUCAAGUCACGUCAGCAUUUAACUGAAAAAGUAAACGGCCAAGUAACGAAAGAUAUAAUAUUAGACCAAAUUCUAAAGAUGAGGUAUGAAACUGUCGUGACACCAAUAGUUGAGGUAGUUUUUUGUACUUUAACAAAAAAAAUAAAUAAUUAAAGUAACUUCUCGUUAUACCAUCUUCAAUGGUGGGCUAAAUACUAAAUUACCCCCCAAUUCCCCCCCCCCCCACCAAACAAUCUCCAACCCAUGAUAAAACAUUGGGCUAAAUGCCAAAUGUUAAAGCUGGGCCAAAUACCCCCCAAAAUUCCCUCCCCAUGUGAUUGGAUUCGCUGGCAAUUGGGCCAGUCUCAGCCCGGUCACGCUUCAACGUGUCCCACGCGGUGCGCUUGCAAACCUUUCCCAACAGGGGUGUGCCCCUCUGUUAGUCGUUCGUCUGCUACCCAAAAAUCCCAACAACUAUAAUUUGAAUCCAAGGGCUUGGUUUAAUGGAUCGUUGGUUGAUCCAACAGUCCAGAUUCAAAUUUAAUUUUUUUUUAAUAUGUUAUUUUAAAAUACAUUGAAUCCAAUGACUGAGUUCGAAUAUAAUCAAAUCUAACGGUAAAAAAUAAGAUCUAACGAUCCAAAUUUAAAUUCAACGGCUAAAAUAAUUUUAAAAAAUCAUUUAACUCAAAAUUCACCAAAAAACUCUAUAAAUACCUAUGUGUUUGUUCAAACAUCCACACAAAACUCAAUUUUCUCCUACGAUUCUUCCAAUUUAUCUUUUUACCUUUUCUUUCCAUUUCCAAAUUGUUCAACAUGACAAGAGAGCAUAUUAGAGGUCGUAAUUGGACCUAUGAGGAAGAUGUUGCUUUAUGCUUGGCAUGAUUUUCUAUUAGCAAAGAUGGUGGAGUUAGCACAAAUCAAAAUAAGAAGGUUUUGUAGGAUAAAAUCAUUGCAAAGUUUUAAGAAAACUGCAAUGGCGGCAGGCAUGAUGGUGGUGGUGUUUAUGAUUGGUGGAAGACUAUCAACAAAGCAUGUACUUUAUGGAAUAGAAGUUUUGAGAGAGCCGUGGUUGGCAUGGCUAGUGGAAGAAGGGCCACAGAAAUUGUGAGUUUUGUUCUUAAUAUUUUAUUUAUCAUGUACAUAAUAUUAUUUUCCAACUAAGUAUUUUUAUGUAUUUUUUGCAUAAGGUGCCAAAGCAAUGAAAAUUUAUAAGACAAGAGCAACACCAGAAAAUCAAGUUUUUAAGUUGCAACAUGCUUAGAACGUCCUCAAGGAUUGUCCAAGGUGGGGAACCGAUGCGGACCAACAAUGGGGAAGAUUAUUUCAACGUGAAGCCGCACAGACAAAUGCCGGAGAUGAAGGUGUCGAUGAAAUGACCCCAUCUCCUUCUUUUGCAAGGCCCCCGGGAAGAGAUAAGCAAAAGGAAGCAAAGAGAAAAGGGAAGUCCCAAGAUCCGAUGAGUGGACACUUUGGUACUAGAAUUGCAAAAUUGAACGAAACUCAUAGCGCUCGCUAAGAAGAAACGGCCCGAAUGCGUUUGCAAAUGAAGGAAAUCUCAUAUCGGGAGCAAGAUAGGUUUGAAAUUGAAUUCAUGAUGGAGGACCUCAACAAAUACACUUUAAAGAGGAAGAAGUUCUUACAUGGUAAGCAAAAGGAAAUUUUGCAAAAGUCUGUCUCAAGGAGUAUGUUUCAAGAUGAUGAAUCCUCUGAAUCCUAUAUCCCAAGAUUUCAAGAAAGUCCAUCACCAAGUGAAGAUGGUGGAUAUGAUUAUUAAGUUUAUGUAGUGUAUGAAUUAUGUGCUUUAUUAAUUGAGUUUAUUAAUUGUCGAUUGUAUUAAGUUUAUGUGGUUUAUGAAUUAUCGGUUGUAUUAAGUUUAUGUGGUUUAUGUAUUAUCAGUUGUAUUGUUUCUAUUAAUUUAGAUGUCUUCAAUAAUUAUUGUACUUAUUAUUUCACACUUUGAUGUAGAAUAGAUGUCUUCAAUAAUUCAACGUACUAGACAAAAUACUUUGCACAAGAAGACAUUUAAAUUUAUUACUAGAAAAUAACAACAUAGUACACUUAAAAUUAAUCUAGAUGCCUUCAAUAAUUAUUGUACUUAUUAUUCCGCACUCUUCUAUAUCACGCUACACAUAUGAACGUCCCGUGACAGAACCACGAUGGCUAGAUUCACUAUGGUGGUCAGAUUGCAUAAACGAGUUGACAAGUUCAACUUUGGCGUUGAACAAUUCUGCAUCCUCAAUCUCGAUCCUUGCUUGGUAUUGUGUCAUCUGCAUUGUCAUGCUACAUAUUUUUCUAUCACCAAUUGAUGAGAUAUUGAGGAUUUUUAGGAAAUAAAAACUCUUUGAAAGUUGAAAGAUUAGUGAAUAUAGAGGAUGAUUGAAGGUUAAAAGAUUGUGUGAUCAACAAAUAUUGGACAUAUGUUUAUAUAGAGGAUGAUUGAUGAAAGUUGAACAGUUGGUGAAAGUUGAAAGUUUGGUGUUGAACGGUUGGUGAAAGUUGAAAGUUUGGUGUUGAAGGGUUGGUGAAUUGAAAAUUUGGUAUUGAACGGUUGAUGAAUUGAAAGUUAGCACAUGGUUGAAAGAUUGGUGAAAGUUGAAGGCUUGCUUUGUGAAAAAUUUAGUGAUUUUUCAAUAUUUAUUGGAAUUUAAAUUUUUUUUAGAUUAAAAUAUUCAUAAAAUUAAUUUACGAUAGUCUACAUAUUUAUUUAAAAAAAUUAAUUUAAGAAAAAAAAUCGCCUAAAUUUAUUCUUUAAUAAUCCCGGGCUAAAAUUUUAUGCCAGAACAGUUGGAACAGAAAAACUGUUUCUAAGCUAAAAUAUUUUGCUUUUAGCCCAACCAUUGGAGAUGGUCUUAUUAGGACAAAAAGUAAUAAAACUUAUGUUUAGAAAACAAAUGUACCAAAAAUUCAAGAAAAUUUUAACAAAAAACUCCCGGUACUGUUUACUUUAACUAAAAACCACAUUUUUACACUAAAGAAUCAAUUCUGGUACUAUUCACUUUAUCUUUUAUUUUGUCCUUAUCGUUAAAACUCAAAGUUUUCGCCAAUUUCAUUAAUUUUCCUAAAAUUCAAAUGUACCAAGAAGCCAAAUGAACCAAAAAUUCAAAUGUACCAAGUAACAACAUGUACCAUUAUAAUUAAAUGUACCAAUAUAACCAAACGUACCUAUCAACAAGUUUUGUUACAUUCUAUUUAAUUUACUAAAAUAACUAUUUCAAUAAAAAAUAAAAAAAUCUUAAAUCAUCAUAAUUAGAGAUACAUAAAAAUUGGAAGAAAAAAGAAAAUGCUAUCGUGAAUAGACUUUUAAUGAAAUAAAAUUAAGGGUAAAGUACAAAAAACUACCUCAACUAUUGGUGUCACGACACUUUCAUACCUCAUCUUUUAAAAUUGACAAUGUCAUACCUCAUCUUACAAAUUUGUGUCAAUGGUAUACCUUUCGUUAGGGUUGGCAUGAAUUUCUCAAUUAAAUGCUGACGUGGCUUGAUCCAAGACCAAUUUUCUAUUAAAAAAUUAUUAAAAAUUAAAAAAAUUUAAUAUUUUUUAAAUAUUAAAAUUAAAAAAAAAAAUAACUCUCAGUCAGUUCGUCCCCUCCCCCCUUCUCUCUCUUCUCCCCAUCAUCAUCUUCUUCCCCCUUCCUGCAACUGCAACCCAGAAAAAAAAGAAGAGAAAAAAAAAACCAAUUUGUCUUCCCCCCUCCCCACCCCCUCUUCACCCCGCACCCACUCUCCGCACCCAACCUCCCCACCUUUGCACCCAACCUCGCACCCACUACCAGCAACCCAAAAAAAAAAAAUCCAAAUCCUGUUGAGGUGGAAUUAGGAAACCUUCGCCAGGACGAUUUCGAAGGUUGAGACCCUAAGCGCGGAGAAAAUAGGGGGAAUGGGUGUGGAGGGAAAAGGGUGGGUGCCGGGGGGGGGACGGACGAACUGGGUUUCCUUUUUAUUUUUUAUUUAUUCUCUCUCUUCUUCUUCUUCUUCUUUCUUCUUUCUGGGUUUGUUCGGGGGGGGGGGGGAGAAGGGACUGGGUUGGGUUGGGUUUUUUUUUUUUUUUUUUGUCUUCUUCUGCUUCUUCUUCUUUCUCCUUUUUUCUGGGUUGCAAUGGGUUGGGUUUGUGGUGGGGGGAGAAGGGACGAACUGGGUUUGGUUUGGGGUUUUUUUUUUCCUUCUUCUUCUUCUUUCUGGGUUUGUUGUUGAGGGGGGGGAAUUGGGUUGGGUUUUUUUCUUCCUCCUUUCUUUUUUUUUUUUUUUUGUCAAUCCUUCUGCUUGGGUUGCAGGAAGAUGGGAAGAGAGAGAGAGGGGGAAAGAUGAACUGAUCUGAGGUUUUUUUUUUCCCCUUUAUUAUUUUAGUAUUUAAAAAAAUAUUAAAUAAUUUUUUUUUAAUUUUUAAUAAUUUUUUAAUAGAAAAUGAAACCGAAUCAACCCACAUCAGCAUUUAAUUGAAAAAUUUACGAUCAAGUAAUAGAAUGUAUAACAUUAGCACAAAUUCGUAAGAUGAUGUAUGAUAUUGUCAAUUUUAAAAGAUGAGUCAUGAAAGUUAUGAUAAUUUUUUGUAGUUUACCUAAAAUUACGUACCAAAAAUUGUAGGAAAAAUGUUUAAUCAAAUUUGCAGAAUAUACGUUCAGUAACAUUUAAAAAGUUUUGCCCAACUCAAUAAACACGAGUCAACAACUUUCAAGAAUCUGUAUAAUGUGUUCGUCCCUUAUAAAAACAUAUCACUUGAGGUGAUUAAUUAUACGAACAUAAUCAACUUCUAGAAACUUAAAAUUACAUGAUUAACCAAAAUCAUACUUAGGAAUCUAAGCAAAGAAUCAGAAGAAAUAUGAGAAAAAAGGAAUGGGGAACUUACAAGAUCUUUGAAAAUGAUAAAAGCGAUUACGAAGACAACAAAAGAGGAUUUCGAUCUCGGCGAAUGGAACGAACCGAAAGACCGACUUGACACCCUGAGUCAAUGCGGAUGCAUUUGAAACUCGCUUCGCCACGGCUGCGCGGUCGGGUUGGGCUUUGGAGUCGGAUUUAAUACCAUCGGAAUUAGAUCGGCGAUCAUCCGAUGAGCGAUGGUGGUCAGGUGGUGGUGUGAUUGGUGUCACGGAUGGGUGGAGCCGCGGAGAGCUGGAGGCGGAGGUGGAGGCAGGCAGGUCUGUGUGGACAGUUGGAUCUGGGUGUGGGUGGACGAUGCGGCCUUAGCCUGUAGUCUGGUCGCGAAGAACUUAUGAAGACGAAGAGAAAGGCUUGGAGCUUGGAAGACGGAGAGACCGAAGCGUCGAUGGUGAAGAUUCGAAGAUGCAGGAGGGUGAAAAUUUGGUUUGGUUAUUCUCUAUAUUGCUAAUUGGUUUUGAUGGAAUCUCAACUUUCUUCAUGGUAUCAGAACAAGUUGUUCCAUGUGUAAAGCCAAAUUGCCACAUGGGCUCCAUGUCAUCCCGUUAUGUUGUCCACAUGUUAGACUUGAAAAUUUGCCACAAGUGAAAUCAGAGGAGGGACCUUGUAUUAGCUUAUAAGAGGUUAUAUUGCCAAUUGGUUUAAUUUUAAGAUGUGUUAUCCACACACAUUUUUUCACUUUUCACACACCUUAAUUUUUUGUCUUCAGAUCGAAUAAGUUGAGGAAGAUCAACUAAAUUAAUAAAGGAUGUCUGAGAAGUCCACACAUCCCUUAAUUUAUGAUAGAACCUCAACUUUCUUCAGACACCCAUGGCCAUGAGACUCACACUGCAUCAAUAGCAGUAGGGAACUUGGUCAGCAAUGCAAGUCUUACCAUUUAUAUUGGACAAGGAGUUUAACCAUUUAUGCUUAGUACUGAUCACUUCGGUUCUUUGGAUGAAUGUAUGUAUAGGUAUGAAUGGUGUGGUGUCUGUUUUCCCCAAUGAAAAGAAGAAGCUCCUCACAAGAACGUUAUGGGACUUUAUUGGGUUCCCGGAAAGAGAGUCGAGUAGCAACAAUCUUGACGAAAGCAAUAUCAUUGUAGGAGUGACUGAUACUGGAAUUUGGCCGGAAUCUGACCUAAAAAUGGGAAGGCACAUGACAAUCCUAAGCCAACAUUACUUGUAAUUUGUAUGGCAAACUAGUUUGUUGUCUGUUACUCCAAUCAUCAAUACAUGUAGAAUGUUGUUUUAUUAAAUUUGAUCAUGUGAAAUGAUGACUUUUGAAAACAUUAGGAAAUAGGAAAAGGCUAUAGUUUUCAAAUAAGGAUUUGGAUCUCAUCCGGAUCAAAAUUAUGGGGAUCAUAGGGAUCCUCAUAUCCUAACUAUUUAUCGUAUAUCGUGCGACCAGAAAUCAUUUUGAAAUUUUUAUUUAAAAAUUAAACGCAAAUAGUACUUAACGAAAACUGAUCGCACGUUAUACGAUGAACGAUUAUGAUGUGAGGAUCCUUAGGCCAUCUCCAACCGAAGGGUCCGGAGGGCCAGAUGGCUGAAAGAACCAAGAUGUUCAAUCUCAAUGACCUUCUCUUUAACUUUGUCUUGAACUUUCAGAUAUUCGAUAUCCAUUAGCCUCGAUGCUUUUGAUCUUCUUUUGGUACCUUAGAACUUUCUGAAUCAAAUGAUUGUUUUUUUUUAAAUUUUUUUUUUUUUUUUUUGAACAAACAAUAUUAUCUACACUAAGGGGGAGAGAGUGUGCUUAGCCUCACAAUGGGCUAGCAAUAAUGUGAUUCAAUCAGUUAUUUAUUAAAUAUUAUUCUCUCUAUUUUUAAACACAUUCAAAACAUCUUAAGAGGUGCAUACCACCGGUGACAAAAAAAGGUCUUUCGCAAGCGCACAAUAAUGUGAUUCAAUCAGUUAUUUAUUAAAUAUUAUUUUCUCUAUUUCUAAACACUUAAGAGGCAUGCAAUGCCGGUUAUAAAAAAGGCAUUUUGCCCGCGCAUAACAAUGUGAUUCAAUGACACACCUCGACCCGGAAUGUCCACUAGGACUCUGAAUCGAGCUAUGUUGGUGGAAGAUGACAAAGCCAUAAAGUAUAGUGAUGUGGAAAAUGUGAAUAAAUUUAAACCUAAAAGUGCCUAAACACAAGGGUGCGCUGUGAGCGGGAAUGAACCCAUUUCACAUGCAACGUCAGAGCAUAAGUAAAGUACAGUAGUGUGGGUAAGGAUCAUACCCUCAGAGGUAGCCACCUAUACUAAGAUUCGCCAAGAAUCCUUGUCGAUAUCAGUAGCUAAAACUUGGAGAGGCAAAAAAAUAAGGGUGAGUGAGCCUGAAAAUAAAGUUUUAAUAAAAACCUUUUGAAAACGUUUUAACCUUUCGCUGUAAAACCUGUAUAGUUUCUAGAAAUUAAUACUAUAUAUAUAUGUAAAACAAUGCACAAAGACAGUAAAAACCAAGUAUGACAUGUCAUAACGUUUCAACAUUGAAAUAUGUGAGCCAGGUGUGAAAAUCAAGGUAAAAUAAUAUGCCAGCUGGAGUCACCUAACGUGACCUGUAUGGCUGAACCUAUAACUCAUCAAUGUAUGCUUGCACACGAGUCAGAACCACCUAAUGUGGUCUGUAUGACAUGCUAGGUGUAAAUAAAUACGCUCAAGUUCUACGAUCACGUGAAGGCUGUGCGAAUAAUCGCAGGUCAGCUACGAGUUAGAACCACUUAUUGUGGUCUAUAUGACAGGGAUGGCACCAAGUUUGGAUCCAAGGUGAGCGUGCGGUGCAUGAGGUGAACAUUACAUGAAAGAUUAUGCCUGGCCUAGGGUGGAAGCACUAACACCGAGGUGCAUCAAUGAUGAACUCUAAAUGCAUCUAUGCAUAACAAUGUGCAAUACAACCAAUACCAUCACAAUAUACUCACCUGAAGCUUACCUAAGCCUCUGCAGCAUCAAACGAUAUAAUGCAUAACAAUAGUAAUGAAAUACUAAAAAUAUAAUUCAUUCAUGACAUGGCAUUCAAAGCAUAGCUCAUAUAAAAAUGUUUCUGGAAACCGUAAAGCAUAUAUAUAAAUACUGUAAAAAGGAAGAAGACCCACUCACUUAGAGUCUGUGCUACAAUUCCCUAGCACAAACAUCGAGCCAUCAAGAACGAUCGGUGCCUAGAACAAUUAUCAAACCACAUCUCAGAAUCCUUAUCAAUAGAACAUAUAACUUACAUAAAACACAUCCCCGAGGACGUUCUAGAAUGAUUUGAGACCCAUUGACCAAAAGUUAACCGUCGCUUAAAGAUUGACAGUAGGGUCUACAACCCUAGAUAAUUCGAUCUGGAAGAUCUGCAUCUCAGAUUUUCCAAUCCGUAACUUCCAAAUAUCCACAUUAUGCUUCUAAAACAUCAUAUUAAAGUUUCAUUACGAUCCAACGGUUUGAUCUUCGCCAAUUACCAAAACCAAGUGGCGGCCGACAUUUUAUUUUACGAACUUACAAAUCCAAUUCGGAAAUACCCACACUUUAGAUUCCAUAUCUGUAAAUUCCUAUGGUCCUCAAAUAUUACGUACUAUCUGUAAAUUCCUAUGGUCCUCUUUAUUCAGUUGAAUAUCCAAUAGUUCUCAUUCUCCAAUGCCUCUAUCAUUUCAUCUCAAAUACGCUACAAAGAAAGGUAGGCCUACAAAUAACAAUCAGAGGGAGUACAAAAGGUGACCAAAAUAUAGCGCCCGAGCACAGUGAUAAGUGAGCAAGGGUCGCUGUAUCUCCAUCGGCACCCGGAUGCAGUGUUAAAUGAGCAAGGGGGCCAUAGAAACUUCUUUUCGAACGACUCCACUCAAAGUUGUUUGGGAGCAUAUGCUCCUAUCAACUUUACCCGGGACACACAAAAGAAGUACUUUGAUCCUAUUAGACGGGGGAGGGUGAAGAAGCUAGGACAGAAGGGUAGAGUUCAAGAGAGCAAAAUGCGUUUAGGAACGUGGAAUAUAGGAACCUUAACGGGAAAAUCUAUGGAAGUAGUGGAAGUUAUGGUGAGGAGAAGGAUAAAUAUUAUGUGCCUACAAGAAACUAAGUGGGUUGGUAGUAAGGCAAAGGAUCUAGAAAACUCAGGGUUUAAACUUUGGUAUUCGGGCACAAAUAGAACGAGAAACGGUGUUGGCAUCAUCGUGGACAAGACCUUGGUACAAGAUGUUGUAGAUGUCAAGAGGGUAGGAGAUAGAAUCAUGGCAAUCAAGAUUGUAAUAGGACAAGAACUUAUCAAUGUGAUUAGUGCGUACGCACCUCAAGUAGGGUUGGAUACGAGUUCGAAGGAGAAAUUUUGGGAAGAUCUUGGAGACUUGGUGCAAGGAAUUGCUCAGACGGAGAAGUUAUUUAUAGGAGGAGAUUUAAAUGGACACGUGGGCAGGGAGACAGGCAACUAUGGAGGUUUUCAUGGUGGCCAUGGUUUUGGGGAGAGAAACGAGGAUGGGGAAGCUAUCUUGGAUUUUGCAAUGGCAUAUGAUCUCUUCUUAGCCAACACCUUCUUUAAGAAGAGAGAAGAACAUGUGAUCACCUACAAGAGUGGGUCGUCAAAAACACAAAUAGAUUUUCUUCUAAUGAGGAAAGGGGAUCGUAUAACUUGUAAGGAUUGCAAAGUUAUACCAGGAGAGAGCGUGGCUAAUCAACAUCGCUUGUUGGUGAUGGAUGUACAUAUCAAAAUAGUAAGACAAAAGAACAAGACUUGGAAGUGCCCAAGGACUAGAUGGUGGAAUCUAAAAGAAGAAAAACAAGUUAUUUUCAAAGAGAAGGUAAUCACCCAAUGUGUGUGGGAUAGAGAGGGGGAAGCUAGCCAAAUGUGGGAUUCCAUGGCUAGUUGUAUCCGAAAAGUAGCAAAAGAGGUAUUAGGAGAGUCCAAGGGCUUUGCCCCACACCAAAAGGAAUCUUGGUGGUGGAAUGAGGAGGUACAAACAAAGGUGAAAGCUAAGAAGGAAUGUUGUAAAGCCUUAUACAAGGAGAGGACCGAUGAAAAUGGUGAAAGGUAUAGAAAAGCGAAGCAAGAGGCGAAGAAAGCUGUCAGAGAAGCUAAGUUAGCGGCUUACGACGAUAUGUAUAAACGACUAGAUACCAAAGAAGGAGAGUUGGAUAUCUAUAAACUAUCUAGAGCAAGGGAAAAGAAGACAAGAGACCUAAACCAAGUGAGGUGCAUCAAGGAUGAGGAUGGAAAGGUUCUUGCUACAGAGAACGCGGUUAAAGACAGAUGGAGAGGUUAUUUUUCAUAAUCUUUUCAAUGAACGACAUGAAAUGAGUGCUUCUUUAGGGGAGUUGAGUAACUCAGAAGAGUGUAGAAACUACUCUUUUUAUCGUCGAAUCCGGAAGGAAGAAGUGGUUGUAGCUUUGAAGAAGAUGAAGCAUAAAAAAGCAAUAGGCCCAGACAAUAUACCAAUCGAAGUGUGGAAACUUUUGUGAGAGACAGGUAUAACAUGGCUCACUGAUCUUUUCAAUAGGAUUUUGAAAACGAAGAAGAUGCCAAAUGAGUGGCGAACGAGCACUUUGGUGCCUAUCUACAAGAAUAAGGGCGACGUACAAAAUUGCAUGAACUAUAGGGGUAUUAAGCUAAUGAGUCAUACAAUGAAGCUCUGGGAGAGAGUCAUUGAGCAUAGAUUGAGGCAAGAGACACGGGUUUCGGACAACCAAUUCGGGUUCAUGCCAGGCCGCUCAACCAUGGAGGCAAUCUAUCUCUUACGAAGAUUGAUGGAAAAGAUAUAGAGAUGGGAAAAAGGAUUUACACAUGGUCUUUAUAGAUUUGGAAAAAGCGUAUGAUAGGGUCCCAAGAGACAUUCUUUGGAGGAUUUUAGAGAAGAAAGGAGUACGAGUAGCAUAUAUCCAAGCUAUAAAGGAUAUGUAUGAAUGAGCAAAGACUGCCGUAAGAACUCAUGAAGGACAAACCGAAAGCUUUCCCAUAACUGUAGGAUUACAUCAAGGCUCAUCCUUAAGUCCUUACCUUUUUGCGUUGGUAAUGGAUGAGUUAACAGGACAUAUUCAAGAUGAUAUUCCUUGGUGUAUGCUUUUCGCAGACGAUAUAGUGUUGAUAGAUGAAACUCAGGAAGGGGUAAAUGCAAAGCUUAACCUUUGGAGAGAAGUGUUGGAAUCUAAAGGUCUUCGCCUAAGCCGAUCAAAGACAGAAUAUAUGGAGUGCAAGUUCAGUGCAAAUGGAGGCCAAAACGAGUUAGGGGUGAGGAUCGGAGAUCAAGAAAUACCAAAGAGCGACCGUUUUCGUUACCUAGGAUCUAUCUUGCAAAAGAAUGGAGAAUUAGAUGGAGAUCUCAACCACAGAAUACAAGCUGGAUGGAUGAAGUGGAAGAGUGCAUCCGGCGUGUUGUGUGACUGCCGUAUGCCACUGAAGCUCAAGGGAAAAUUUUAUAGGACGGCAAUAAGGCCGGCGAUGCUGUAUGGCACAGAAUGUUGGGCGGUGAAACAUCAACACGUACACAAAAUGGGUGUAGCGGAGAUGAGGAUGCUUCGUUGGAUGUGUGGGCACACGAGAAAGGAUAAGAUUAGGAAUGAGGAUAUCCGGGGUAAAGUAGGAGUAGCCGAAAUUGAAGGAAAGAUGAGAGAAAAUCGGUUACGGUGGUUUGGACAUGUGCAAAGAAGGCCUACUGACGCUCCGAUUAGAAGAUGCGACUAUGGGACAGAGGUUCAAGGCCGAAGGGGUAGAGGAAGACCUAGGAAAACUUUGGAAGAGACUCUAAGAAAAGACUUAGAGUACUUGGAUCUAACGAAGGACAUGACUCAGGAUCGAGCACAAUGGCGUUCUAAGAUUCAUAUAGCCGAUCCCACUCAGUGACUUGGAUUUUCCAAGUCUCUAACCGAGAAGUUUUCCUCACUCGGGAAAUUAAGGGAACACUACCCCAACCUACAUGCUCCACUCAGAAAGCUUUCAACAUACAAGCUUCAACAAAAGAAAAUUCAAAGAACUUAGCGAAGAAGGCUUUGGUGUAUUUAACACAAUACGUUGAAAUGAAGGAAAGCUUAUUUAUUGAUAUCCCCGAUAAGCUACAAAUAUGUACAUAUACAUGAGUCAAAAUAAACACACAAGAGGGAGCCUUCACAAAGGUUGCUUAGGAGAAGUCUCAGCAGUCGGUAGAGCCCCAGAAAGAGAAGGCACCGGAGGGGGAUCAUUUGGAGCCUCAGUACUGGACAGAACCCUAGAAGGAGGAGGCAUCAGAGGUUGAUCAUUCGGAGCUUCAUUAUGCGGUACAGCCCCAGAAGACGAAGGCAAUAAAUGCCUUUGGAACAAACCCACAAAUCUCUGAUGAUCAAGUAAAACCUGACCAUCAGUUUCCUUCAUCUGGUCAAGCUUCCUCUUCAUGUUUGUAGCAUAGUCAUGUGCGAGUCGGUGCAACUGUUUAUUCUCAUGCUUGAGCCCUCUAAUCUCCUGUUUGAGACUCAUCACUUCAGCCGCCAAUGAUUCAACUUGGCGGGUUCGAGCAAAUAGGCGUUGGGCCAUAUUAGACACAGAACCUGCACACUGAACACUGAGAGCCAGUGAAUCCUUAACAGCUAACUCAUCAGACCGUUUGGAAAGUAGUCUGUUAUCUUUGGGGGUGAGAAGGUUCCUGGCCACCACCGCAGCGGUCAUAUCAUUCUUCAUCACGGAAUCCCCAACGGUAAGAGGACCAGUAGGGGAGACGAAGGAUGGGCACCAUAUGUUGUCUGGAGAAGGCGGGGCUUGCCUCUUCAACAAGGUUCAAGUCAAAACGACGGUCGGAGGGGCCAGACAUUUUCAAAGGUGUUGAAGAGAGAAGAGGUCGGACAAAUCAAGAUCUUAGAAGUGCAAGAAUGAAGCUUCUACUGGUGGAGAUUCAAGUGUGCUUUGGAACUUAAUGCCAGCCCCUAUAAAAAUCUGCACUCGACGGAGCUUCAGAAAUCGAAGAGGCGCCUGCUCAGAAAUCGAAGAGGCGUUUGCUUUCUCAAAAGCUGGGCUGCUUAGAGAUCACGAGGGUUGAUCUCAGAAAUCGAAGAGGCGUUUGCUUUCUCAAAAGUUGGGCUGCUCUAAGACCACGAAGGUCGAUCUCAGAAAUUGAAGAGGCGCUCGCUUUCUCAAAAGCUGGGCUCCCCAGAGACCACGAGGGCCGAUCUCAGAAAUCGAAGAGGCACCUACUUUUCCAGCCUUGUCAGCACCUGUCACACGCACACUCAGCUUUGCGGAAAUUAUGGGCAUUCUGUCGAAGACUUCUGGGGAAGUAGAAAACUCAUGAAUCUUACUGUUCAAUCACCCACUUCCCACACGCAACAAUAGCUCAUGGGUACCACAGAUAACUUUGCCAAAGUUCUCUGCCAAAGUUGAGCACGUGAAGCUUGCAGCUCCCACUACAUCGCUCUGACCAAGAAGGGUAAAAGAAUAGCAAAGAAACAGCACUAACAAAGUUUAGACCCAUAAAUUUUGAAGGUCUAGCUACCAUAUUAUUACCCACAAGGGUAAAGGAACAGUACCACUGCUGGAUAAUUGGAAAGUCCCUGUGUGUCAACCUCUGUGCUUCGUGGCAAGGUAGACUAGCAAACAUGCCCAACCUUUACUCACAUUCGAGAAAACACUCCCCAAUAAGAUUGCUUGCUCCAAAAUCGAAGAGGCACCGUCCUCCGAAUCUCGAGAGCCAGACUCCCAACAUGACUACUUUCUUAAAAAUCGAAGAGAGGGUAAAGGAACAGUACCAUUGCUGGAUAAUUGGAAAGUCCCUGUGUGUCAACCUCUGUGCUUCGUGGCAAGGUAGACUAGCAAACAUGCCCAACCUUUACUCACAUUCGAGAAAACACUCCCAACAGGAUUGCUUGCUCCAAAAUCGAAGAGGCACCGCCCUCCGAAUCUCGAGAGCCAGACUCCCAACAUGAUUACUUUCUCAAAAAUCGAAGAGACACUGCUCCCCGAAUCUUCCAGAGCCAGAGCCCCAGCAUGAUUGCUUUCUCAAAAAUCGAUAAGGCAUCGUUCUCCAAAUCAAUCGAAGAGGCGCUCGCUUUCUCAAAAGCUGGGCUGGUCAGAGACCACGAGGGCCGAUCUCAGAAAUCGAAGAGGCACCUACUAUUCUAGCCUUGUCAGCACCUGUCACACGCACACUCAGCUUUGCAGAAAUUAUGGGCAUUCUGUCGAAGACUUCUGGUGAAGUAGAAAGCACAUGAAUCUUACUGUUCAAUCACCCACUUCCCACACGCAACAAUAGCUCAUGGGUACCACAGAUAACUUUGCCAAAGUUCUCUGCCAAAGUUGAGCACGUGAAGCUUGCAGCUCCCACUACAUCGCUCUGACCAAGAAAAGGUAAAAAGAAUAGCAAAGAAAACAGCACUAACAAAGUUUAGACACAUAAAUUUUGAAGGUCUAGCUACCAUAUUAUUACCCACAAGGGUAAAGGAACAGUACCAUUGCUGGAUAAUUGGAAAGUUCAUGUGUGUCAACCUCUCUGCUUCGUGGCAAGGUAGACUAGCAAACAUGUCCAACUUUUACUCACAUUCGAGAAAACACUCCCAACAAAAUUGCUUGCUCCAAAAUCGAAGAGGCACCGUCCUCCGAAUCUCGAGAGCCAGACUCCCAACAUGACUACUUUCUCAAAAGCGAAGAGAGGGUAAAGGAACAGUACCAUUGCUAGAUAAUUGGAAAGUUCCUGUGUGUCAACCUUUGUGCUUCGGGGCAAGGUAGACUAGCAAACAUGCCCAACCUUUACUCACAUUCGAGACAACACUCCCAACAGGAUUGCUUGCUCCAAAAUCGAAGAGGCACCGCCCUCCGAAUCUCGAGAGCCAGACUCCCAAAAUGAUUACUUCCUCAAAAAUCGAAGAGACACUACUCUCCGAAUCUCGAGAGCUAGACCCCCAGCAUGAUUGCUUUCUCAAAAAUCGAAGAGGCAUCGCUCUCCGAAUCUCGAGAGCCAGAUACCACAGACCACUUUUUCAAAGUGCUCUGACAGAGUUAAAACAUGUGAAACUGGCAGCUCCCACUACCGUGCUAUGACCAAGCAGGGUAAAUGAAUAGCAUUACUACUUGUUAGGGAGACUCCUAUAUAUGUCGACCUCCAUCCCCAACGGACAGGCAGACCUGCAAAAAUGCUCAACCCUUCAUCAUAUCUGAGAGGGCACUCCCAACGAAGCCUUUCGAAAUAUUCAGCUUUCUUUCCCCCCGAUAAUACCUCUGCAAACAAGCUAUACUAGAGCAAGAAUAUCUCAUAUCAUCAGGGUUAAAAGCAAGAGUAUCCCAUAUCAUGCUUUUUCCCUGUCUUUUCCUUUGGCCUUGUUUUUACCUGCAAGACAAGGAGAAAGAGAGCAAUCAGUCAGCACUUGGAAUCAAGCUUCCAGCCAGGAACUAACUGCCUGGAACCCCUUACCUGAUUACUUACCUGGCAUUGCUCUCGAGUACUCAUCUUCAACAUCUUAUGUUUCCAGGGAAGAUUCCGCAUCUGCUUGAGGAACAGAUAGGGCAAGUGCGAAGGAUACAAGGAAGCAUGUGGAGACAAGCGUAACAGCACACGUGCCGAUACAUCCAUUACUCUGUCAAAAGCAAAAGUAUCCCAUAUCAGCAGGGUGGAACGUACUCUAGAUUUGAUGGACUUGUUUUGACCCUCAAAUUCUUCAGUCGGCCUUAUACUCUGGAGGAAACCAGAAAACCCUCCAGCUCAGUUCAAGAAUAAGCCUGUGGAAAGUUACUUCUUCAAAAGCAAAAGUAUCUCAUAUCAUCUCUUCUCAUUUUUCUUCUCUUUAUCCUUCAUGCUGCUGCAAGAUGGGGAGAAGGUGAACAAUCGGUCGGAGCUCUGAUUGCUUACCUUGUCUGUCACCUCUUUCAGCAGACCCCCUAGCUCGGCGACUUGGGGGACUCCUACUACAUGGUUUGUAUCGCGCUUGACCAAGCUUGAAACUACAAGUAAGCUUCAAGUGAAAUUGAUACAUUACCUUGUGCAUCUCCACCAGUUAAAGAUACCACCCCUGGAUGGAGGAAGAGUACUUCCAGAGAAAGAUGCCACAUCUACCUAUGAGACAGAUAAGGCAAGUCAAGACGACACCACACUCCGAUACUUAGAAGUUUCGUGAUUACGAGAUCAUUCUCCCACAAUAUUUCCUAAUGUCAUUUGUACUAAAUCAUUCACUUGUACUCAUUAAAGGAGAGCAUGAACCUAUGUACUUGUGUAAACCCUUCACAAUUAAUGAGAACUCUUCUAUUCCGUGGACGUAGCCAAUCUGGGUGAACCACGUAUAUCUUGUGUUUGCUUUCCUAUCUCUAUCCAUUUAUAUACUUAUCCACACUAAUGACCGGAGCAAUCUAGCGAAGAUCACAAAAAGCGACCGUUUUCGCUACCUAGGAUCUAUCUUGCAAGAGAACGGAGAAUGAGAUGGAGAUCUCAACCAUAGAAUACGAGCUGGAUGGAUGAAGUGUAAGAGUGCAUCCGGCGUGUUGUGUGACCGUCGUAGGCCACUGAAGCUCAAGGGAAAAUUUUAUAGGACGGCAAUAAGACCAGCGAUGUUGUAUGGCACAGAAUGUUGGGCGGUGAAGCAUCAACACGUACACAAAAUGGGUGUAGCGGAGAUGAGGAUGCUUUGUGGGAUGUGUGGGCACACGAGAAAGGAUAAGAUUGGGAAUGAGGAUAUCCGAGGUAAAGUAGGAGUAGCCGAAAUUGUAGGAAAGAUGAGAGAAAAUCGGCUCCGGUGAUUUGGACAUGUGCAAAGAAGGCCGACUGACGCUCCGGUUCGAAGAUGUGACUACGGGACAGAGGUUCAGGGCCGAAGGGGUAGAGGAAGACCUAGGAAAACUUUGGAAGAGACUCUAAGAAAAGACUUAGAGUACUUGGAUCUAACGGAGGACAUGACACAAAACCGAGCGCAAUGGCGUUCUAGGAUUCAUGUAGCCGACCCCACUUAGUGGGAAAAGGCUUUGUUGUUGUUGUUGUUGUUGUAGUUGUAGCAAAUAAAUAGACAGUUCACAAUACUUAAUCUCAGUUUACUACCCUCGAGUUUUUUGGUUUUCGACAUUUGGCACAUCAAAUUUUGUUUCAACCCAAAAUGGUAUUUGAAGUCAUAAUUUAGAGAAACUUUCAUACAUAUGUUAAGGUUAAUGUUAAAUCAAUCGUUGACCAGUGACGUGAUGCCCACAUAGACAAUAACCGGACGUGUAUGAUUUACUCGGGAUUUUAUUCGUUUUAAAUGUUGUUUGCCUUAGUCCUUUGGCAUGUGUGAUUUACUUGUUGUGCAUAUGUAAAGUUGGACAAAAUCUAUAAGGUCGUUUGGUCAAUCAGCUAUGGCAAAUAAAUAAACAGUUCAUAAUACUUUUACUCAUUUGUUUUUAUAUAGUUGAAUGACUUAAUGAUUUCAUAUUUUAUUAUUAUUAUUUUUUAGAUAUGAUAUUUACAAAGUAUUUUAUAAUAUGAACAAUUUCGAUCAUAAACACGAAAUUUCAUGAAUUGAAAACUAAGUAUUUUGAGGAAGUUAAUUUAAUAAAAAAAAAUGAUACUAUUGUAUAUAAUGACAAAUAUAGGCAUAGUUGUGGGGAUGGUGGCAACAACAGCAGUGGUAGGGGUAGCGGCAAAUGUGGGGGCUUUGGUGGUUGUGACAAUAAUAGGGUGUGGUGGUUGGGGUGUAGAGGUAGCAGUGGUGGUAGCGGUAGUAGUUACGAUUGUGGUGGUGGUGAUAUAAGGUUAAUCGUUGUAGUGGUAGGUGGUGGCGGUCUUUGUUAUCCGAGGGCAAAAAUAUAUGUAAAAGGAUAAAUAAUGUUAAUUUUCAUUAAUGAGGGUAUUAUAAGAAUUAAAAAAAUAUUCAUUAAACGCUUAGCUCCGCUUUUUAUAAAAGUUGUUGACUGGAUGCGACUGCAUUAAAAAUAGGUAUGAUAUAGGUGUAGAGAGUAAGUUGGGUGUAAAAAAAAGUUAUAUGGGUUCAAAUAAAAUUUCUAAUUUGUUUUUGUUAUGAAUAAUGCUAGGAAGACCAAAUUUUUAACAAAAUGCUACUUUUACCAUCUAAUUGUACCAUCGUUUGUACCAUAUCUCUAAUAGAGAUGGAACCCAUAUGUGUUGACAGACCUUACCUCUAUUAGAAUUAGAAAGAUGGUACAACUAGGUGAUAAGUGUAACAUUACCCAAUUUUUAAUCAAAUAUGCAAACCAAAUGACGUGUAUCAAUAAGAAAUAAGCAUGUUAAUCAACACUUAACUAAUAAUAACAUUCAUGUCAUUUGGUUAGUAAAUUUGGUUUAAAAUUUUGGUCUCCCUAUCAUUAUUUGUUAUUGUGCGGUGAUUUGUGGUUUGUGUUAACCUAAAAUGAGAUCCAUUUUUUGUCCGUAAUUAAUAUCAAAUCCAAUAGUGAAUGACCAUAUAUUUCUUGGUCUCUAGAAACCAAGAGAACAUUUUUGGAUUUUGGUCAUCCAAAUUUUGUGACACUAGGUUCAGAGUACUCAAUGCCUGAGCUGGAGCAUAACAAAAUCAUGCACAUGGAAGUAGUUCACAGCUCAAAAUACAAGCUUGCAUCAGAUUUAUAUAGGCAAGAAAAUGUCUUUGCAAAUUUAAAGAGAAAAAAAAAUGAGGAGCAAAAAUAUUGCUACAAGGUAUGGUGGACUUGUAUAUGGACCAUUAGUGUCACAAUCAUAUCAAUUUUAUAUGAUGGCGAAUUUCUUUGGGUUCUUGGUCAUCUCAGCCAAAUUUCGGAUGUCAUUUCGUCUCAAACACUGUACAAAAGAGAAGUUGAUUUAACAUAAUUAUUUCAGUCAAAUCUAGGUUCUACUCCUCCAGUUGGCUUGCAAUUUCGUCCUCUCUGCAUUUAAUCGUCAUUUUAGCAUCCCCAUGUCAAAACCCACAUGUAGGAUGAUGACUAAUGGUAAAAUGCCAAAAGCACAAUAAUUUCCCAUCUUAAAAACAAUUACAAUCAAGAUCAAGAGGCAGAAACAUAAUUAAUCAAGAGUGCAUUGCCUUUGCCCCUGUCAAGUCUAGUUUUGAAAAGUCAACAUGUUGUCCAUCUGUGUGGACAAUAUCAACCAUUAGAAAUAGAUCUAUCAACCAUAUAAAUUUGAACUUUAUUCAUUUAUUUUCUACGCGCAACGAAAUGUCUUUCGCUUGCUCCUUUGUCUUGUUCCUUCAUAUUCUUUCUAUGGUAAUACUGAUAAAUGUCACCGACUAUAUAUUUGGGUGGAGAAAUUUCAAGCCAUGGGACUAAAAACCAAAUUAUAAAAAGAGAAUACCACAAAAUGAGAAAAUUCUUCAAUGACACGUAAUAAUGAAAGAUGUGGAAUGAAUGAACAAGAUUGAAACUAGAUUAUUCAAUACUUGUGGAAAUUUUUGUACAAUAAAAUAACUAAUAGUUCUCCUUCUCCAAUGCAUUUUCCAUUUCAUGCGCUACAAACAAAGGUAGGCCUACAAGUAACUAUCAGAGGCAAUUCAACAAGUGACCAAAACAUGGCCACAUUUUUAAUUAUAUAGGAAUUAAAGUUUCCACAAUUCAAGUGGGAAUGUAUUGACUUCUUUAAACUUUGGUCCUUGAAAUUAUUAGUUCAGAACAUACAAUAUUUGUUGACUUAUAGUGCAUGCAUAAAGUUGGAUAAAAUCUAAUACUCAAUAUUUAUUAUCCGUUUUAAAUGUUGUUUGCCUUAGCCCCUUGGCAUGUGUGUGAUUUACUUGUAUUGCAUGCGGAAAGUUGUACAAAAUCUGUAAGGUUGUUUAAUCAAUUAGCUGUAGCAAAUAAAUAGACAGCUUAUAAUAUUUUUAUUCGUUUGUUUUUAUAUAGUUGAAUGACCAAAUGAGGCCUUAGUGUUACAAGUUUACACCAAGGGUGGAGAGAAUAAAUUUGUUAUAUUUACACCCUUUUCUUAAUACUUUUUCUUUAAUACUUUUUGAAUUCCUUGCUAUAUUUACAUCAAGGAUUGAUGAGAAUAAAUUGAUUACAAAAUCGUAAUACACGAUUCGAACCUAAAUUUUCUUUUAUUUCAAGUAGAGAAAAUGGAGCUUUAUAUAUAGAGACAAAAACUUCCACUAUAUUUCAAGGAAUUCCACUAGUUUUUAGACAUGUCAAUGAGAGACAAAAAUAUUAAAAAAAAAAUAAACCCCAUCUCAAUAACAUGGAACAAUGCUUUAAAAUAUCAGUCAUACCUCUAAAGCUUUAGGGUUGUUAAUAGAACACAACCCUCACAAUUCCAACAAAAUUAAUAUGUGACAUAAACUCAACUCAUCAUCGACUAUUUCUGCAGAAUCAGUUUUGAAAUUAUAUGUAGAAUCAAUUUGUAUCCUUUAUUACUAGAAUCAGUUUAAUCAGUCCUCAAUCAUUUUUGCAGAAUCAGUUCAACCAGUCCUUUACCAUUUUUGCAGAAUCAGUUCAACUUGGUCUCGUCUAUUUUUGCAUAAUCAGUUCAACCCGUUCUCGACCAUUUUUGCUCCAUUUUUGCAUAAUCGGUUUAACCUGUGGUCGACCAUUGUUGCAGAAUCAGUUCAACCCGUCUUGGUCAUUUGUGCAGAACCAAUCCAAUCCGUCCUCGUCCAUUUUUGCAAAAUCAGUUCAACCCGUCCUCGACCAUUGUUGCAGAAUCAAUUCAACAUGUCCUCGACCAUUUUUGCAUCAUCAGUUCAACCCGUCUAUGACCAUUUUUUCAAAAUCACUUCACCAUUUUUGCAGAACCAGUUUAACUUGUCCUCUGCCAUUUUUGCAAAAUCGGUUUAACCCGUGCUUGACCAUUAUGCAGAAUCAGUUUAACCCGUCCUCAAUCAUUUUUUGCAGAAUCAGUUCAACCCGUCAUCGAUCAUUUUUGCAAAAUCAGUUCAACCUUUAAGUGCAAAUCUUAACCCUGAAGCCGAAAUUGCAUACGGUGCUGGCCUAAUAAAUCCUAGCAAUGCUCCAUAUCCUGGUUUGGUAUACGAUGCUGCUGAAAUCGAUUAGGUAAAUUUUUUGUGUGCACAUGGCUAUAGUACCAGAUUAUUGAAAGCUCUUAACGGGGAUAGCUACUUAUCAUCACAAUCUAAUCAUGGAACACUCAAUGAUCAUCUAAACUAUCCUUCUGUUGCACUUUCCACCUCGAACCCUAAAUCCGUCAAUGGCAUUUCAAAAGAACCGUCACAAAUGUUGGAUCACCAAAAUGCACAUAUAAAGCUAAAGUGAGUGCACCACCAGGACUUGAAAUCAAAGUUAAUCCAAGCGUUUUAAAGUUCGCAUAUCUCGGGCAGAAGCUAUCGUUUCAAGUCACGGUGAAAUGGUUGAUUGAAAAAAUCAUAGUCCCUAGUUCUCUGGUGUGGGAUGAUGUUAAUUUCCAAGUGAUGAGCCCCAUUGUUGUGUAUUUUGUGUUUUGAGAACAAGGUAAUUAAACUAUGGUAGCCAAAGGCUUCAUCCAUUUUCUAUGGCAGCCAAAGGCGUCAUCCAUCUUCUCCACAAGGUAACCCCCAAAACAUUCCUUUUAAAUUAUGUUAAUUGGCUAAUUAAUAGAUUUAUUACCUAAUUAAUCUAUUAAUGGCCAAUUAAACUACCAAUUACACCCAAAAAACACACAAGAGGCCGGUCACCUUCUCUCCCAAGGGAACCGGCCAUACCUUAUAUAUUCUACCUCAUUUUCUCUAAAAAGCUAAGUCUACACUCUUGCUAAAUACUCAAAAUUCUCCAAAAAAAUUUCCUUCAAAAUUCUAACUUUGGUAUCAGAGGUUCUUCGGCCAAAGUCCCCUCUCCCCCAAAUUCAUCGUGGGUGCGUGAGGCUAUUGGCCUUGACCUAAGGUGUUAUUUGUUUUGUAGGUGCAAUUUUGUCCAAGAUCAAGGAGGAAGAAAUUUGCAUCCACAGUAUGUGUAAUAAUGUAUGAAUAAGCAAUUGCAAGAAGCUAGAAAGGGUUCCAAUGAAACAAAAGUGCAACGUACUGAUCACGAUGAUGUGUUAAAUAUAAAUUAAAUUAUUAUAUAUUUAUGAACCUUUAAAUGAUGUAGUACAUCAAAUUUGAAACGUACCCAUUUAAGGAUAUUUCAUAAUUCUCUGUGCAAUCUAAUUGUAUAUUUGAUUGUUCAUUGACAUUUUAUAUUAGCACCCCACAAAAUAUUGAAUGUAUUUCAUAUUAAAAUUUAAUGUUAAUAACUUAUUUACUCUACUAUGCAAUUACAAUUUUGACCUUAUUAGGUUUAAAAAAAUAAAAAAUUUCUAAAUACACCCCAAAUCACUUUUAACGUAUUAUUUAUCUACUUCAACCAUCAAAACCCCUCCCACCCUCCAUUGUUGAAUAAAACCCUAAGCAAUGAAAUUACAAACAUGUUGAUUGAGAAAAAUUAUUUUUAACCGGAACAUGAAAUCGGUGUUUCAAAAGCUUUACAUGAGGUAAGACUUCGUAUUUUUCUUUGUUUUAGUGAUUUCGACGACAUUGAUAAUUAUUUAAUCUCACUCAAUCUAAUAAUUCAAGAAUUAGCACUUAUGAAUCUCAUAAUUAAAAAAUCAUGGCAUGCGAACUGAUUGCAGAUUGAGUCAAUGACAUUCAUAAGGUGCUUUCUUGCAGGUCGACUUGGUUCGACCAAAAAAUGCACAAGAAAAUGGAAACAACAUGGUAGCUUUGAAAUCAUUAUUAUUGUUAUUGAAAAACGUUCAAAUGAACGUAAACAUUUUUUUCAAAUCAUUCAAUUUGAAAUCAUUCGGCAAACUAACGUUCAGAUGGUUUGAAAUCAUUCGGCAAAAUUAAAAAUGAGUGUUACAAGAUUUGAGAAAUGUGGGGGUGUAUGUAGAAAAUGUAAGGUGUAUAUUAAGAAUGUAGGGUGUGAGGGUAUUAUGGGGAAUGAAGUGGGGUGUAUUAAGAUAAGGGGUUUUUGAACAUUAGUCCUUACAAAAGAUUAAAAUUUUAAAAAAACCUGGCGCUAGAUUAAAUAUUCAAUUUAAUCCCUUGAAUAGUGCUUUUAUCAAAUUUUAGAUUCAAUUUUUGUUAUUUAAUGUGUAUUUUUAUUUAAUCACUCCAUAUUAAAUUUUAAUUUUAUUAAUAUGCACAUAUUUAGUUUUUUAAUUAUAAAUGAACGUAAAUGAGAAAAUAUUAAAAGACAUAUUUGUGAUACAAAAAUAUAUAAAUACAUAAGUGUACAGAAAUAACUAUGCCGAAAUAUAUAAAAUUGACUUUUUUUGUACCGAAAUAUUGUACCUACAUGAUUGUACCGAAAUAUAUUAUAAUUAACCUAAAUGUAUGUACCAAAAUGUAUUAUUGAAUUAAUGUACCUAAAUGUCAAUACCAAAAUAUAUGUACCAAAAUGUACGUACCGAAAUGUAUGUACCUAAAUGUCAAUACCGAAAUGUAUAUACCUAAAUAUCCAUACCAAAAUGUAUGUACCAAAAUGUACGUACCUAAAUGUAUUUACCGAAAUAUAAUAUAUUGAAUUAAUGUACCUAAAAGUCAAUACUCAAAUAUGUGUACCAAAAUGAACGUAAUGAAAUGCAUUAUAUUGAAUCAAUGUAACUAUAUGUUUGUACCAAUUGUCACAUCCCGGCCCGAGGCGGACCACUUCCCGAGCCCAUUCCACCACCGUAGCACGAUAUUGUCCACUUUGGGCCCCGACCAUGCCCUCACGGUUUUGUUUUUGGGAACUCACGAGCAAAUUCCCAGUGAGUCACCCAUCAUGGGAGUGCUCUAUCCUCCUUCUCCCUUAACUUCGGAGUUCCUACGGAACCCGAAGCCAGUGAGCUCCCAAAAGGCCUCGUGCUAGGUAGGGAUGAGAAUAUACAUUUAAGGAUCACUCCCCUAGGCGAUGUGAGAUGUUACAAUCCACCCCCCUUAGGGGCCCAACGUCUUCGUCGGCACACCACGGCCAUGGUUAGGCUUUGAUACCAAAUUGUCACAUCCCGGCCCGGGGCGAACCACUUCCCGCGCCCAUUCCACCACUGUAGCACGAUAUUGUCCGCUUUGGGCCCCGACCAUGCCCUCACGGUUUUGUUUUUGGGAACUCACGAGCAACUUCCAAGUGGGUCACCCGUCAUGGGAGUGCUCUAGCCUCCUUCUCGCUUAACUUCGGAGUUCCUACGGAACCCGAAGCCAGUGAGCUUCCAAAAGGCCUCGUGCUAGAUAGGGAUGAGAAUAUACAUUUAAUGAUCACUCCCCUAGGCGAUGUGGGAUGUUACACCAAUGGAUAUACCGAAUUAUUCAAAUAUAUUAAUGUACCUAAACGAAUAACAUACAAAAUUGUUAUCGGAAUAUAUAUUAUAAAAGAAUUACUUACCUAAAUGUAGACAUUAAAAUAUAUUAUGAUGAAUGAAAUAAAAAUUAAAUUUAAAUGUAAUUGAUACAUUAAAAUAAAAAUAAAUAAAUAAAUAAAUAAAACAUCAAAAUAUAACUAAUAAAUGAUAUGAUUAAAUGUACUAGGGACUAAAAUUGGAUUUUAAUCUUACACAAGGUUAAAAUCUAAAACUCAUAUUUUUUAAGGAUUAAAAUGAGGUUUUCUAAUAAGAUAAUUUUUAAUUGAAAAAGUAAAUGUGGGGUGUAUUAAGUAUGUAGGGUUUAUUCAACAACUUGUGGGGUGCUAAUAUAAUUACCCUUGUUCAUUUUUGGUGUGCCUGGAAAAUAUGGAUUUUCUCCUAUGUUGAUUACUUGAUUGAAGGCCCCAUCGCUCGUUUCCCGUUAUUCACGUCUUGAUUGAAGGCCCCAUCCCUCGUUUCCCGUUAUACACGUUGUAUCUAUCACUAGAUCAAGUUAUCAAUGAGACUUUAGUCGGAACCUUCCUGAUUAAAAACAAAAGACCGAAAAACUUCGGUGGGGACAUUUGCAAACAACUACAAAUGAAAAAUAAAAUAGUAGCAUCAUGCAUCGGUGGCAUAAAAAUCUUUACGCACCCACUUGUUCCAGAUGUUGGCACAUGAUCAUGCAUCGAUAGAUAUACGUAUGGACAAUGCAUGCCCUACCUUUCAAAUUAUGCCAAGAACAAUCGAUCGAGUGACCAGCGGUGGGACUUGGGAGAGCUAGGAAUAUUAGCAAGCUGCAUUUUCUCGAUUCCCACUCACUUGUUUGAGCAUACCGACUAAUCUGCUUGUUUCUUGACUUGUGGAUGUAUCCAAAGUUCAAUAUGGAUGCAUGACAUGUGAUGUAGGUCAGGAGGUUUUCGUUCUUUUCAAAAGAAGUAUAUGUUGGAAAAGUUAGACAUGGAAUUGAUACACAGUUAAUAUGCUUUUGUACCGUCAUUCCCUAUAACCAAAAAUUCGUUAUUGUCAUUAAAAAAAGAGAGAAUUUUUUAUUUCUAUUAUUAUAUUUAAUUAGUCUCUUGCUACAUUAAAUAAAAGUUAUUGAUACUUUCAUAAUAAAGCUUCAUUAAUUUGGUAAAAUUUUACAUAUAGUUAUAUAAAUGUAUUUAAAACUCAUGAUACAUUUGAAAAUAAACAUACCGAUUUUUGGUACGUUUAGAUUUUAAAUGAACUAAUAAACAAAUGUACCAUAAAACUAAAGAGUAAAUUGUAGCUAUGGUCCCUUAACUUUAACUCAAUUGGAGCAAUGGUCCCUCAACUAAAAAUCCAUUACCAUUGGUCACUCAACUUUAAUUCAACUGGAGAAAUGGUCCUUUAACUUUAACACAAUUGUAGCAAUGGUCCUUUAACUUUAACCCAAUUGUAGCAAUGGUCCUUCCAACAUAACUCAUUUUGACAAAAUUUUUGAUGUAGUUGACGAAAAUGACCAUAAUUACACACUUUGAUGAGUUGAAGGACCAUAAUUAUAUAAAUGGUUAUUCCAACAUUACUUAUUUUGACAAAAUUUUGACGAAAUUAAUGAAAAUGAUUAUAGCUACACAUUUUGAUAAGAUGAUGGACCAAUGGUAAUGGAUUUUUAGUUGAGGGACCGUUGCUCCAAUUUGAUUAAAGUUGAGGGACCAUUGCUACAAUUUACUUCUAAAACUAAAAUUACCCAUAUUAUAGGUAAUCAAUUGUACCAAUACAAUCAAACGUACCUUUACUAUGAUUAUGUAUGUGAUAAGGAGUUUUGAACCUUCUAUUUAAUUCACUAAACCAAAUAUUAUAAUAAACAAUAAAAAAUCUAAAAUCUCCAGAACGAGAGAUGCAUAUAACUAUAACAAAUUCAUAGGUAAGGAAUGAUAGGGAAAAAAGGAAAACGAAAGUGAAGAUGUAAUGUGAAAUUUGUUAGGGUGGCUAGUAAACAAUUUCAUGAAAAUAAAGGUAAAAAAAAAAGAAAAAAAGAAACGUCUAAAAUUGAACCUUUAAUAAAAUGAAAUUAAUCACCAAAACUGUACGAAAAAUGUUUAAUCAAAUUCUUAAAGGGAGUUUUAAUGAAAAGCCCGCGCUACUGUUCACUUUAAUAAAAAACCAUAUUUUUACACUAAAAAGUCAAACCUGGUAUUUUUCACUUUACCCUUUAUUUUGUUAAAAUCGUUAAAACUCAAAGUUUUUAAAUCAUUUUCAUUAGUUUUCAUAUUCUUAAAAGUAAUAGAUGUUUAAUCACCAAAAUUAAAAAACAAGGCGUUUAUAUCAAAACACCCCCAAACUAUGUAAAAUAAUCAUGGGAGCACAAACCAUACCCCUAAGAAUAAAGAGAAAUUGCAACACGUGAAAUGCAUGGCUUUUCAUUUUUAGUAUAAACAGGGUUGUCUCUGAAAUUUCGGGGAUCCUAUGCAAAUUUAUAAAAGGGCCCUUUUUAAGAUAAUCUUAAAAAAAAAAAACAAAAAAAAAAAUUUGAACUUCGUGGUUGUUUUUCUUUAACAAAAAACCUAUCAAUAACUCGUUUUUUAGACGAGUCAAUUGUUCAACUUUUUUUCUUUGGCGUUUCAAGUAGCUACAUAAAUAUUUUUAGUAGGUGUCAUCUUUUAUAUCUCAAACAAUAUCAUAAUUAAAUUAUACUAAGCAUAUACAAUAAAACCUAAUAGUUCGCAAUGCAUGUGCGUCUAAUGGUUUUUGUUUACUGCUCCCCUCUUGCUAUGACAAUUACUUGAUUAAUUUUUAUGAGUUUUGCCCUAAAAAGUACAAAAGGAAAAAAAAUAUCAUUAUUAAUAAAAAUACCUAAAUCUUCUAAUUCCAACUUAAUAUACUUGAACUAGUAGUACCUCAUUUUAAUCGAAAUCUACACCACUCUGACCACUUCAAUUGUCUUCAUGAUUUGGAAAUUUUUCUUCAAUGACAGGAAAUUUUGUUUAAGAUAAUAUAAUAUAAUAUCUUCAAUGACAGGAGUGAGAAUUGAGAAACAUUGUGAAUAAUAUCAUUAUUUUAUAAUUUUUAUAAAAUUUCUUACGAUUUGAUGACUUAUGUAGGCAUUCAUGUAGUUUGUGGUUUGUGGUUUGUGGGGCCCACUAGGAUUUUUUUAUCUUUUAUGUGGUUCUGAUUAGCCUUUUUAUUUAUAUAAAUAAUAUAAUAUUAUUUCAUAAGAUAUCCGAUUAGAUAGAAAACUAUUUUGGGGAUUCUUAAAUUUUGAGACCGUGUGCCAUGGAACCGGUAGCUCCCCCUCAACGUCAGCUCUGAUUAUAAAUACAAGAUGGUGUUCUUGGAUGAGAUUGUCCAUCUUUUACAUGCUUUCUAGAACUUCGCUACAAUGGCUUUAAUCCCAUGGUUUCUCCUUCUCAUCAGCCUCAUAUCUACUCUGCCAGUUGAUGUCACUCUAUCUGCUGAUCACCAGGAUAACCGGAAGGCAUUCAUAAAAGAUGCAUUUUGAACAAUUCCGUUUCUCUGCUCAAAAUAUGUUCAUUAAUUAAUUUAAUCUUCUGAUCUUGGAUAUAUUAACUGCAGGAUUAUAUUGUGUAUAUGGGUGACAAGCCAAAGCCAGAGGUUUCCACCACUACCACAUCAGCUCUUCAUGUAAACAUGCUACAAAACGUCAUCGAUGACAGGUUUAAUUAAUUAUCACAUAUGAUAGUGGGCUUAGUUAUAUAUACUGAUCACUGUUUGAAAAUACUCGCAUCGAGGGCCUUAGCGGGUGGCUUGCCGUCUAUAUUUUGUGGGAGUCGGCGAAAAACUCGCAUAGCUUCGUCGGGGCGUGCCUCAGGACGUUUGAUUGGGCGUCAGUUUUGUAUAAAGGUUGUCGAAUCUGAAAAAAAAAUAAAAAUUGAUUGAAAUCUGGGUUUUGUUUUCAGUUGCAUAGCAGUCUGAAGAAGAUGAAGAAGACGCCAACUUGUUGGCUGAUUUUUCUUUUCUUUUUUUUUUAAUUAUUUUUUUCACUUUAUUAGCCGCUGUUAAAUCAUAUCUUUUAGCAUAUUCUAUCUUUUAGCAUAUUCUUUAUUAGCCGCUGUUAAAUCAUAUCUUUUAUAUUAUUUUUAUGAAGUAUAUAGACCUAAAAAAACCUCAAAAGACCCUAUAAAAACUCAAAAUAUAUCUUUACUUUUUAACGUUAUAUAUUACCCUUUAUUUUUCUUUUUAAGACUCCACAUCCACAUAUCUCAUCAAAAUAAUAUGUAUAUGUAUGUAUGUAUUGUAUAUAUAUUAAAAAAUUUAAGUUCCGUGAGGUUUCGCCUCAUGCCUCAAUGUUUUCACCUAGACAGAGCUAUCCACAACACGUUCACCUACACAUUCGCCUUUUAAACAUUGAUACUGAUUAACAUUAUUCGUGACAAGUGUACCAUUUAAUUUAGUCAUCUCUCAUACAUACACAUCUUCUCUUUGUUUUUCAAGCUUAAUUAUGGCAGAGUUUGAAAGUGUCAAAUUUUUUAAGAUUUUGAUUUUUGACGUUUAUUUAUCCAGCAAUAUUGCGCACGAAUCUCUGCUUCUGCACAGCUACAAGAGAACCUUCAAUGGCUUUGCUGCCGAGCUAACAGAGGAAGAAGCACAGAAGUUGGCUGGUUGUCUUAUGAACCCAACUUAAUUUUAUUUUUCAACUUGAAUAAACAUUAAAAGUGACCAUUGUAUGACUUGAAAAAUAUAUGCAGGAAUGGAUGGUGUGGUGUCUGUUUUCCCUAGUGAAACUAAGAAGCUCCAAACAACACGGUCAUGGGACUUCAUUGGGUUUCCUAAAAUAGUGAAGAGAAGCGCCAUUGAAACUGAUAUCAUUGUCGGGGUGAUUGACUCUGGAAUUUGGCCUGAAUCUGCCAGCUUCAGUGACGCCGGGUUUGGUCCACCCCCCAAAAGGUGGAAAGGCGCAUGCAAGGGCGAAGGCAAUUUUACUUGCAACAAGUAAAGCAAACCAGUUUAUUUCAACCAUCCACUGCACAUUUCAAAAAACGAAAAAAAACAAAACAUCACGUGUUGUUGUUAAUUACACUUAGACAGAAACAAAAAGUGCGAACUUGAUUUAUACGAUAUGUUGUCAAAUUGUAACUCUGACUUAAAUAAUAUGACAUACUGUUGUUACACUUGGACAGUAAAAUUAUCGGAGCACGGUAUUACCGCGGUCAACCCUACCCACAAAAUAGCAGUGAUAUCUUGUCUCCGAGGGACACGGAUGGCCAUGGAACCCACACUGCAUCAACAGCAGCAGGGAACUUAGUUAGCAAGGCAAGUCUGUAUGGUUUAGGGUUGGGGACAGCAAGAGGAGGCGUGCCAUCAGCACGCAUUGCGGUGUACAAAGUUUGUUGGUUAGAUGGGUGCCCGGAUGCUGAUAUUCUAGCGGCAUUCGAUGAUGCCAUAGCUGACGGUGUUGACAUACUCUCUGUCUCCCUUGGGGGGUUUAAACCGUUAGAUUAUUUCAGAAAUUCCAUUGACAUUGGAGCUUUUCACGCUUUAAGAAAAGGAAUAUUCACUUCCGCGUCUGCUGGUAAUGAAGGGCCAAACCUGAAAACUAUUACAAACUUUGCACCAUGGUAUCUUGCUGUGGCUGCUAGCACCAUAGAUCGCCACUUUGAUACCAAGGUUCAAUUGGGAAACCACAAAAUUUAUGAGGUAACUGAUACAGAAUCUAACCUUUGCUCAUUUAGGGCUUUGUUUGGUAGUGAUUCUGGUUGGGCAGUAUAUACACUUUUGGAGAAUCAACAUUAUAUAUAUAUAUAUAUGCUGCAGAUGCACCAAAAUACUAGAGAAUUGAUUAAAACAUGAAAGUUGAUUAUGAUUUGUUUUUGCUUCCUUGGUAGGGAAUAGUAACAAACACAUUUGAACUCAAGGGUAAAUUCUACCCCAUAGUAUAUGCUGCAGACGUUCCAGAUACGGCAGCUGGUUACGAUGGGGAAACAUCCAGGUAUGUGUACGCAUUUUGAGAGUAUAUAUACCAUUUAUAUUGAAGAACCACGGUAGUCUAGCAUAAGUCUAACCAGGUGCUAAUAACAUGGAUAUAUAUAUAUAUAUAUAUAUAUAUAUAUAUAAUAUAUAUAUAUAUAUAUGGAGCAGGUUAUGCCGAAUAGGCACGUUAGACAAAAAAUUGGUGGAGGGUAAAAUUGUUCUUUGUGAUGGGCCUACUGGGUAUGGGGCUAUAUAUGCAGGCGCAUUUGGUUAUGUUUUGACAAGCCGAAUAGCAGCAGAUGUAAUCGAUCCUGUUCCAGUACCAGCAGCUUCCGUUUGGUUCCACGUUGGUAACGAAAUUGCCCAUUACUUAAACUCAACCAGGUAUUAAUAUUUGAGAAUGACAGUGCAUGAUUGAUUUAAAAUAUUACUAAUGCGCCCGUUUGUUAGAGUGAGGCCCAACGGGCUCGUUAAUCCAAAAAUUCCAAUGAGCUUGUCACCAGGAAUGAAACAAGCCAGGACUCUUAACAAAGAGCCGGCAUCUAAGUUCCAUUAAAAACAAGUUUGGACUCUUAACAUACAGCCAACCUUCGAGUUUCAAUUGCCGAUGUGUUGAUCUCUAUGUAUGAACCACUAAAUGAGGUUACACGUGAAGGGAAGUGUUGGAAUCCUACAUCGGUGGGUGCAAAAGAAAAUAACAGGUUUAAGUAUGAUUGCCCCACUCUAACUAAUAUCGAGACCUUCUGUAAUAAAACCCCAUACUUGACGGAUUAGGUAUGUAGUAAAGUUGAGGACAGUAUUGAUGUUGUUAGAGUAGAGCCCAAUGGGCUCGCCGAUCCAAAAAUCCAACAAAACUAACAUAAAUCAAAAGAUCACUUUUAUGCUAUUGCUAAUAAAUCCUGAAUCCCUGUAAUGAUUCGCAGGAACCCAACAGCAACAAUUUGGAAAAGUACUGAGGGCAUGGAUGCACUGGCCCCAUACGUACCUUCAUUCUCAUCAAGGGGUCCAAAUCCAAACACUCCUAACAUUCUCAAGGUAACUUCAAGGCCCCGUAGGUGUGUGAAUGCUGACUUAAAAAAUGAACAAACCGAAUCAUGAAUAUUGAGGGGUCUUAAUUGUCCUAUUUGUUUUCUCCUAUAUGUUGCAGCCAGAUAUCGCUUCUCCUGGAGUUUCCAUUCUAGCAGCAUGGCCUCCAAUUGCCCCAGUUUCAGGUUUUGAAGGUGAUGACAGGGUAACUGCAUACAAUAUAUUAUCGGGGACAUCAAUGGCAUGCCCACAUGCUGCGGGCGUGGCUGCAUACGUCAAAUCAUUUCACCCCAAUUGGUCACCUGCUGCUAUCCUGUCAGCUCUUACGACUACUGGUAUAGAUGCAUUUUCAUAUAUGUACCCAUUACAAUACAACCAUUCUCUCACAUAUUUGAUGACCAAUUAUUGUCAGAGAUCAUGUGACCAAGUCUUGUGAGAGACUCCACAUAUAAUUAGACUUUGUCUAUGAUGUACAUUGUAUUACCUAAGAUUUAUAUGUUUGAUUAUUUUGUAACAAUUUUGCAGCCAAACCUAUGCGUGCAAAUCUUAACCCUGAAGCCGAAUUCGCAUACGGUGCUGGCCUAAUAAAUCCUAGUAGGGCUCCGUAUCCUGGUUUGGUAUACGACGCUGCUGAAAUCGAUUACGUAAAUUUUUUGUGUGCACAUGGCUAUAGUACCAGAUUAUUGAAAGCUCUUACCGGGAAUAGCCAUAGCUGCUCAUCAUCACAAUCUAGUCAUGGAACACUCAGUGAUCAUCUAAACUAUCCUUCUGUUGCACUUUCCACCUCGAACCCUAAAUCCGUCAAUGGCAUUUUCAAUAGGACCGUCACAAAUGUUGGAUCACCGAAGUCCACAUAUAAAGCUAAAGUGAGUGCACCACCAGGACUUGAAAUCAAAGUUAAUCCAAGCGUUCUAAAGUUCACAUCUCUCGGGCAAAAGCUAUCGUUUCAAGUCACGGUGAAAGGGUUGAUUGAAAAAACCAUAGUCUCCGGUUCUCUAGUGUGGGAUGAUGGUAAAUUCCAAGUGAGGAGCCCCA